UGCAUUAGUGCUGGUAUGAUCGCAUCAGUUACUACAUGUAAUGCAAUCAUAUAUAUUCUUUUUUGAAGACUUUAUGAUCCAUUUGCCGUAGGUCCCACCAGCUAUGUAGGAAUACCCUAUCUUGUUUAUAAGAGCUUUGAUACAUGCAAAAUAUUCGAAAACAAUGUCCGAACAUAUAAUUUUUGUCCCGUAAUAUAGCAAAGAUCACGAAAAGGCCAGGAAAAAUACAUUUCGGUCAAAAUUUGGAGUAGAAAAAAAACCCUUCCUCAUUCAUUGGACAGCUCUCUUUGGGCUUUCCGAAAAGGUAUCACAUGCCAAGUUUGGCCUCACGGUCUAAACCUUAUAGACUCAUACAUUUUUCACGAAAAAAAGAAGAGAAAAACCAAAAAAAAGAGUGAUUAAACACGAGGACUUUCCUGGAGGUCACCCAUCCUAGUACUACUCUCGCCCAAGCACGCUUAACUGCGAAGUUCUGAUGGGAUCUGGUGCAUUAGUGCUGGUAUGAUCGCAUCUGUUACUACAUGCAAUGCAAUCGUAUCUAUUCUUUUUUGAAGAUUUUAUGAUUCAUUUACCGUGGGUCCCACCAGCUAUGUAGGAAUAACCUAUCUUAUUUAUAAAAGCUUUGAUACAUGCAAAAUAUUUGAAAACAAUGUCCGAACAUAUAAUGUUCGCCCCAAAAUAUAGCAAAGACCACAAAAAUGCCAUAAAAAGUACAUUAAGGUCAAAAUUAGGAGUAGGAAAAAAAUCAAUAGGAGAAUUCCAUUUUCCUUCCUUCAUUCAUCGGAGAGCUCUCUUUGGGCAUUCCAAAAAGGUAUCACACGCCAAGUUUGGCCUCACGGUCUAAAAGUUAUAGAGUAUUACAUUUUUAACAAAAAAAAAAGAGAAAAACCGAAAAAAAGAGGGAUGCAACACGAAGACUUUUCUGGAGGUCAUCCAUCCUAGUACUACUCUCGCCCAAGCACAUUUAACUGCGGUGUUCUGAUAGGAUCAAGUGCAUUAGUGCUGGUAUGAUCGCAUCAGUUACUACAUGCAAUGCAAUCAUAUAUAUUCUUUUUUGAAGACUUUAUGAUCCAUUUGCCGUAGGUCCCACCAGCUAUGUAGGAAUACCCUAUCUUGUUUAUAAGAGCUUUGAUAGAUGCAAAAUAUUCAAAAACAAUGUCCGAACAUAUAAUUUUUGUCCCGUAAUAUAGCAAAGAUCACGAAAAGGCCAGAAAAAAUACAUUUCGGUCAAAAUUUGGAGUAGAAAAAAAACCCUUCCUCAUUCAUUGGACAGCUCUCUUUGGGCUUUCCGAAAAGGUAUCACAUGCCAAGUUUGGCCUCACGGUCUAAACCUUAUAGACUCAUACAUUUUUCACAAAAAAAAGAAGAGAAAAACCAAAAAAAAGAGUGAUUAAACACGAGGACUUUCCUGGAGGUCACCCAUCCUAGUACUACUCUCGCCCAAGCACGCUUAACUGCGAAGUUCUGAUGGGAUCUGGUGCAUUAGUGCUGGUAUGAUCGCAUCUGUUACUACAUGCAAUGCAAUCGUAUCUAUUCUUUUUUGAAGAUUUUAUGAUUCAUUUACCGUGGGUCCCACCAGCUAUGUAGGACUAACCUAUCUUAUUUAUAAGAUCUUUGAUACAUGCAAAAUAUUGGAAAACAAUGUCCGAACAUAUAAUGUUCGCCCCAAAAUAUAGCAAAGACCACAAAAAUGCCAUAAAAAAUACAUUAAGGUCAAAAUUUGGAGUAGGAAAAAAAUCAAUAGGAGAAUUCCAUUUUCCUUCCCUCAUUCAUCGGAGAGCUCUCUUUGGGCAUUCCAAAAAGGUAUCACAUGCCAAGUUUGGCCUCACGGUCUAAAAGUUAUAGAGUAUUACAUUUUUAACAAAAAAAANNNNNNNNNNNNNNNNNNNNNNNNNNNNNNNNNNNNNNNNNNNNNNNNNNAAAAAAAAGAGUGAUUAAACACGAGGACUUUCCUGGAGGUCACCCAUCCUAGUACUACUCUCGCCCAAGCACGCUUAACUGCGAAGUUCUGAUGGGAUCUGGUGCAUUAGUGCUGGUAUGAUCGCAUCUGUUACUACAUGCAAUGAAAUCGUAUCUAUUCUUUUUUGAAGAUUUUAUGAUUCAUUUACCGUGGGUCCCACCAGCUAUGUAGGAAUAACCUAUCUCGUUUAUAAGAGCUUUGAUACAUGCAAAAUAUUCGAAAACAAUGUCCGAACAUAUAAUGUUUGCCCCAAAAUAUAGAAAAGACCACGAAAAUGCCAUAAAAAGUACAUUAAGGUCAAAAUUUGGAGUAGGAAAAAAAAUCAAUAGGAGAAUUCCAUUUUCCUUCCUCAUUCAUCGGAGAGCUCUCUUUGGGCAUUCCAUAAAGGUAUCACAUGCCAAGUUUGGCCUCACGGUCUAAAAGUUAUAGAGUAAUACAUUUUUAACAAAAAAAAAAGAGAAAAACCGAAAAAAAGAGGGAUGCAACACGAAGACUUUUCUGGAGGUCACCCAUCCUAGUACUACUCUCCCACAAGCACGCUUAACUGUGGUGUUCUGAUAGGAUCAAGUGCAUUAGUGCUGGUAUGAUCGCAUCAGUUACUACAUGUAAUGCAAUCAUAUAUAUUCUUUUUUGAAGACUUUAUGAUCCAUUUGCCGUAGGUCCCACCAGUUAUGUAGGAAUACCCUAUCUCGUUUAUAAGAGCUUUGAUACAUGCAAAAUAUUCGAAAACAAUGUCCGAACAUAUAAUGUUUGCCCCAAAAUAUAGCAAAGACCACGAAAAUGCCAUAAAAAGUACAUUAAGGUCAAAAUUUGGAGUAGGAAAAAAAAUCAAUAGGAGAAUUCCAUUUUCCUUCCUCAUUCAUGGGAGAGCUCUCUUUGGGCAUUCCAAAAAGGUAUCACAUGCCAAGUUUGGCCUCACGGCCUAAAAGUUAUAGAGUAAUACAUUUUUAACAAAAAAAAAAGAGAAAAACCGAAAAAAAGAGGGAUGCAACACGAAGACUUUUCUGGAGGUCACCCAUCCUAGUACUACUCUCCCCCAAGCACGCUUAACUGUGGUGUUCUGAUAGGAUCAAGUGCAUUAGUGCUGGUAUGAUCGCAUCAGUUACUACAUGCAAUGCAAUCAUAUAUAUUCUUUUUUGAAGACUUUAUGAUCCAUUUGCCGUAGGUCCCACCAGCUAUGUAGGAAUACCCUAUCUUGUUUAUAAGAGCUUUGAUACAUGCAAAAUAUUCGAAAACAAUGUCCGAACAUAUAAUUUUUGUCCCGUAAUAUAGCAAAGAUCACGAAAAGGCCAGGAAAAAUACAUUUCGGUCAAAAUUUGGAGUAGAAAAAAAACCCUUCCUCAUUCAUUGGACAGCUCUCUUUGGGCUUUCCGAAAAGGUAUCACAUGCCAAGUUUGGCCUCACGGUCUAAACCUUAUAGACUCAUACAUUUUUCACAAAAAAAAGAAGAGAAAAACCAAAAAAAAGAGUGAUUAAACACGAGGACUUUCCUGGAGGUCACCCAUCCUAGUACUACUCUCGCCCAAGCACGCUUAACUGCGAAGUUCUGAUGGGAUCUGGUGCAUUAGUGCUGGUAUGAUCGCAUCUGUUACUACAUGCAAUGCAAUCGUAUCUAUUCUUUUUUGAAGAUUUUAUGAUUCAUUUACCGUGGGUCCCACCAGCUAUGUAGGACUAACCUAUCUUAUUUAUAAGAUCUUUGAUACAUGCAAAAUAUUGGAAAACAAUGUCCGAACAUAUAAUGUUCGCCCCAAAAUAUAGCAAAGACCACAAAAAUGCCAUAAAAAAUACAUUAAGGUCAAAAUUUGGAGUAGGAAAAAAAUCAAUAGGAGAAUUCCAUUUUCCUUCCCUCAUUCAUCGGAGAGCUCUCUUUGGGCAUUCCAAAAAGGUAUCACAUGCCAAGUUUGGCCUCACGGUCUAAAAGUUAUAGAGUAUUACAUUUUUAACAAAAAAAAACGAGAAAAACCGAUAAAAAGAGGGAUGCAACACCAAGACUUUUCUGGAGGUCACCCAUCCUAGUACUACUCUCCCCCAAGCACGCUUAACUGUGGUGUUCUGAUAGGAUCAAGUGCAUUAGUGCUGGUAUGAUCGCAUCAGUUACUACAUGCAAUGCAAUCAUAUAUAUUCUUUUUUGAAGACUUUAUGAUCCAUUUGCCGUAGGUCCCACCAGCUAUGUAGGAAUACCCUUUCUUGUUUAUAAGAGCUUUGAUACAUGCAAAAUAUUCGAAAACAAUGUCCGAACAUAUAAUUUUUGUCCCGUAAUAUAGCAAACAUCACGAAAAGGCCAGAAAAAAUACAUUUCGGUCAAAAUUUGGAGUAGAAAAAAAACCCUUCCUCAUUCAUUGGACAGCUCUCUUUGGGCUUUCCAAAAAGGUAUCACAUGCCAAGUUUGGCCUCACGGUCUAAACCUUAUAGACUCAUACAUUUUUCACAAAAAAAAGAAGAGAAAAACCAAAAAAAAGAGUGAUUAAACACGAGGACUUUCUUGGAGGUCACCCAUCCUAGUACUACUCUCGCCCAAGCACGCUUAACUGCGAAGUUCUGAUGGGAUCUGGUGCAUUAGUGCUGGUAUGAUCGCAUCUGUUACUACAUGCAAUGAAAUCGUAUCUAUUCUUUUUUGAAGAUUUUAUGAUUCAUUUACCGUGGGUCCCACCAGCUAUGUAGAAAUAACCUAUCUUAUUUAUAAGAGCUUUGAUACAUGUAAAAUAUUCGAAAACAAUGUCCGAACAUAUAAUGUUCGCCCCAAAAUAUAGCAAAGACCACAAAAAUGCCAUAAAAAGUACAUUAAGGUCAAAAUUUGGAGUAGGAAAAAAAUCAAUAAGAGAAUUCCAUUUUCCUUCCCUCAUUCAUCGGAGAUCUCUCUUUGGGCAUUCCAAAAAGGUAUCACAUGCCAAGUUUGGCCUCACGGUCUAAACGUUAUAGAGUAAUACAUUUUUAACAAAAAAAAAAGAGAAAAACCGAAAAAAAGAGGGAUGCAACACGAAGACUUUUCUGGAGGUCACCCAUCCUAGUACUACUCUCCCCCAAGCACGCUUAACUGUGGUGUUCUGAUAGGAUCAAGUGCAUUAGUGCUGGUAUGAUCGCAUCAGUUACUACAUGCAAUGCAAUCAUAUAUAUUCUUUUUUGAAGACUUUAUGAUCCAUUUGCCGUAGGUCCCACCAGCUAUGUAGGAAUACCCUUUCUUGUUUAUAAGAGCUUUGAUACAUGCAAAAUAUUCGAAAACAAUGUCCGAACAUAUUAUUUUUGUCCCGUAAUAUAGCAAAGAUCACGAAAAGGCCAGGAAAAAUACAUUUCGGUCAAAAUUUGGAGUAGAAAAAAAACCCUUCCUCAUUCAUUCGACAGCUCUCUUUGAGCUUUCCGAAAAGGUAUCACAUGCCAAGUUUGGCCUCACGGUCUAAACCUUAUAGACUCAUACAUUUUUCACAAAAAAAAAGAAGAGAAAAACCAAAAAAUAGAGUGAUUAAACGCGAGGACUUUCCUGGAGGUCACCCAUCCUAGUACUACUCUCGCCCAAGCACGCUUAACUGCGAAGUUCUGAUGGGAUCUGGUGCAUUAGUGCUGGUAUGAUCGCAUCUGUUACUACAUGCAAUGAAAUCGUAUCUAUUCUUUUUUGAUGAUUUUAUGAUUCAUUUACCGUGGGUCCCAGCAGCUAUGUAGGAAUAACCCAUCCUUGUUUAUAAGAGCUUUCAUACAUGCAAAAUAUUCAAAAACAAUGUCCGAACAUAUAAUUUUUGUCCGGUAAUAUUGCAAAGAUCACGAAAAGGCCAGAAAAAAUACAUUUCGGUCAAAAUUUGGAGUAGAAAAAAAACCCUUCCUCAUUCAUUGGACAGCUCUCUUUGGGUUUUCCGAAAAGGUAUCACAUGCCAAGUUUGGCCUCACGGUCUAAACCUUAUAGACUCAUACAUUUUUCACAAAAAAAAGAAGAGAAAAACCAAAAAAAAGAGUGAUUAAACACGAGGACUUUCCUGGAGGUCACCCAUCCUAGUACUACUCUCGCCCAAGCACGCUUAACUGCGAAGUUCUGAUGGGAUCUGGUGCAUUAGUGCUGGUAUGAUCGCAUCUGUUACUACAUGCAAUGCAAUCAUAUCUAUUCUUUUUUGAAGAUUUUAUGAUUCAUUUACCGUGGGUCCCACCAGCUAUGUAGGAAUAACCUAUCUUAUUUAUAAAAGCUUUGAUACAUGCAAAAUAUUCGAAAACAAUGUCCGAACAUAUAAUGUUCGCCCCAAAAUAUAGCAAAGACCACAAAAAUGCCAUAAAAAGUACAUUAAGGUCAAAAUUUGGAGUAGGAAAAAAAUCAAUAGGAGAAUUCCAUUUUCCUUCCCUCAUUCAUCGGAGAGCUCUCUUUGGGCAUUCCAAAAAGGUAUCACAUGCCAAGUUUGGCCUUACGGUCUAAAAGUUAUAGAGUAAUACAUUUUUAACAAAAAAAAAAGAAAAAAACCGAAAACAAAGAGGGAUGCAACACGAAGACUUUCCUGGAGGUCACCCAUCCUAGUACUACUCUCGCCCAAGCACACUUAACUGCGGUGUUCUGAUAGGAUCAAGUGCAUUAGUGCUGGUAUGAUCGCAUCAGUUACUACAUGCAAUGCAAUCAUAUAUAUUCUUUUUUGAAGACUUUAUGAUCCAUUUGCCGUAGGUCCCACCAGCUAUGUAGGAAUACCCUAUCUCGUUUAUAAGAGCUUUGAUACAUGCAAAAUAUUCGAAAACAAUGUCCGAACAUAUAAUUUUUGUCCCGUAAUAUAGCAAAGAUCACGAAAAGGCCAGAAAAAAUACAUUUCGGUCAAAAUUUGGAGUAGAAAAAAAACCCUUCCUCAUUCAUUGGACAGCUCUUUUUGGGCUUUCCGAAAAGGUAUCACAUGCCAAGUUUGGCCUCACGGUCUAAACCUUAUAGACUCAUACAUUUUUCACAAAAAAAAGAAGAGAAAAACCAAAAAAAAGAGUGAUUAAACACGAGGACUUUCCUGGAGGUCACCCAUCCUAGUACUACUCUCGCCCAAGCACGCUUAACUGCGAAGUUCUGAUGGGAUCUGGUGCAUUAGUGCUGGUAUGAUCGCAUCUGUUACUACAUGCAAUGCAAUCGUAUCUAUUCUUUUUUGAAGAUUUUAUGAUUCAUUUACCGUGGGUCCCACCAGNNNNNNNNNNNNNNNNNNNNNNNNNNNNNNNNNNNNNNNNNNNNNNNNNNUCACGGUUUAAAAGUUAUAGAGUCAUACAUUUUUCCCAAAAAAACCAAGAGAAAACCAAAAAAAAAGAGUGAUGAAACACGAGGACUUUCCUGGAGGUCACCCAUCCUAGUACUACUCUCGCCCAAGCACGCUUAACUGCGAAGUUCUGAUGGGAUCUGGUGCAUUAGUGCUGGUAUGAUCGCAUCAGUUACUACAUGCAAUGCAAUCGUAUAUAUUCUUUUUUGAAGACUUUAUGAUCCAUUUGUCGUAGGUCCCACCAGUUAUGUAGGAAUACCCUAUCUCGUUUAUAAGAGCUUUGAUACAUGCAAAAUAUUCGAAAACAAUGUCCGAACAUAUAAUGUUUGCCCCAAAAUAUAGCAAAGACCACGAAAAUGCCAUAAAAAGUACAUUAAGGUCAAAAUUUGGAGUAGGAAAAAAAUCAAUAGGAGAAUUCCAUUUUCCUUCCUCAUUCAUUGGAGAGCUCUCUUUGGGCAUUCCAAAAAGGUAUCACAUGGCAAGUUUGGCCUCACGGUCUAAAAGUUAUAGAGUAAUACAUUUUUAACAAAAAAAAAAGAGAAAAACCGAAAAAAAGAGGGAUGCAACACGAAGACUUUUCUGGAGGUCACCCAUCCUAGUACUACUCUCCCCCAAGCACGCUUAACUGUGGUGUUCUGAUAGGAUCAAGUGCAUUAGUGCUGGUAUGAUCGCAUCAGUUACUACAUGCAAUGCAAUCAUAUAUAUUCUUUUUUGAAGACGUUAUGAUCCAUUUGCCGUAGGUCCCACCAGCUAUGUAGGAACACCCUAUCUUGUUUAUAAGAGCUUUGAUACAUGCAAAAUAUUCGAAAACAAUGUCCGAACAUAUAAUUUUUGUCCCGUAAUAUAGCAAAGAUCACGAAAAGGCCAGAAAAAAUACAUUUCGGUCAAAAUUUGGAGUAGAAAAAAAACCCUUCCUCAUUCAUUGGACAGCUCUCUUUGGGCUUUCCGAAAAGGUAUCACAUGCCAAGUUUGGCCUCACGGUCUAAAAGUUAUAGAGUCAUACAUUUUUCACAAAAAAAACAAGAGAAAAACAAAAAAAAAGAGUGAUGAAACACGAGGACUUUCCUGGAGGUCACCCAUCCUAGUACUACUCUCGCCCAAGCACGCUUAACUGCGAAGUUCUGAUGGGAUCUGGUGCAUUAGUGCUGGUAUGAUCGCAUCUGUUACUACAUGCAAUGCAAUCGUAUAUAUUCUUUUUUGAAGACUUUAUGAUCCAUUUGUCGUAGGUCCCACCAGUUAUGUAGGAAUACCCUAUCUCGUUUAUAAGAGCUUUGAUACAUGCAAAAUAUUCGAAAACAAUGUCCGAACAUAUAAUGUUUGCCCCAAAAUAUAGCAAAGACCACGAAAAUGCCAUAAAAAGUACAUUAAGGUCAAAAUUUGGAGUAGGAAAAAAAAUCAAUAGGAGAAUUCCAUUUUCCUUCCUCAUUCAUUGGAGAGCUCUCUUUGGGCAUUCCAAAAAGGUAUCACAUGCCAAGUUUGGCCUCACGGUCUAAAAGUUAUAGAGUAAUACAUUUUUAACAAAAAAAAAAGAGAAAAACCGAAAAAAAGAGGGAUGCAACACGAAGACUUUUCUGGAGGUCACCCAUCCUAGUACUACUCUCCCCCAAGCACGCUUAACUGUGGUGUUCUGAUAGGAUCAAGUGCAUUAGUGCUGGUAUGAUCGCAUCAGUUACUACAUGCAAUGCAAUCAUAUAUAUUCUUUUUUGAAGACUUUAUGAUCCAUUGUCGUAGGUCCCACCAGCUAUGUAGGAAUACCCUUUCUUGUUUAUAAGAGCUUUGAUACAUGGAAAAUAUUCGAAAACAAUGUCCGAACAUAUAAUUUUUGUCCCGUAAUAUAGCAAAGAUCACGAAAAGGCCAGAAAAAAUACAUUUCGGUCAAAAUUUGGAGUAGAAAAAAAGCCCUUCCUCAUUCAUUGGACAGCUCUCUUUGGGCUUUCCGAAAAGGUAUCACAUGCCAAGUUUGGCCUCACGGUCUAAACCUUAUAGACUCAUACAUUUUUCACAAAAAAAAGAAGAGAAAAGCCAAAAAAAAAGAGUGAUUAAACACGAGGACUUUCCUGGAGGUCACCCAUCCUAGUACUACUCUCGCCCAAGCACGCUUAACUGCGAAGUUCUGAUGGGAUCUGGUGCAUUAGUGCUGGUAUGAUCGCAUCUGUUACUACAUGCAAUGAAAUCGUAUCUAUUCUUUUUUGAAGAUUUUAUGAUUCAUUUACCGUGGGUCCCACCAGCUAUGUAGGAAUAACCUAUCUUAUUUAUAAGAUCUUUGAUACAUGCAAAAUAUUGGAAAACAAUGUCCGAACAUAUAAUGUUCGCCCCAAAAUAUAGCAAAGACCACAAAAAUGCCAUAAAAAGUACAUUAAGGUCAAAAUUUGGAGUAGGAAAAAAACCAAUAAGAGAAUUCCAUUUUCCUUCCCUCAUUCAUCGGAGAUCUCUCUUUGGGCAUUCCAAAAAGGUAUCACAUGCCAAGUUUGGCCUCACGGUCUAAAAGUUAUAGAGUAAUACAUUUUUAACAAAAAAAAAAAGAGAAAAACCGAAAAAAAGAGGGAUGCAACACGAAGACUUUUCUGGAGGUCACCCAUCCUAGUACUACUCUCCCCCAAGCACGCUUAACUGUGGUGUUCUGAUAGGAUCAAGUGCAUUAGUGCUGGUAUGAUCGCAUCAGUUACUACAUGUAAUGCAAUCAUAUAUAUUCUUUUUUGAAGACUUUAUGAUCCAUGUGCCGUAGGUCCCACCAGCUAUGUAGGAAUACCCUAUCUCAUUUAUAAGAGCUUUGAUACAUGCAAAAUAUUCGAAAACAAUGUCCGAACAUAUAAUGUUUGCCCCAAAAUAUAGCAAAGACCACGAAAAUGCCAUAAAAAGUACAUUAAGGUCAAAAUUUGGAGUAGGAAAAAAAAUCAAUAGGAGAAUUCCAUUUUCCUUCCUCAUUCAUUGGAGAGCUCUCUUUGGGCAUUCCAAAAAGGUAUCACAUGGCAAGUUUGGCCUCACGGUCUAAAAGUUAUAGAGUAAUACAUUUUUAACAAAAAAAAAAGAGAAAAACCGAAAAAAAGAGGGAUGCAACACGAAGACUUUUCUGGAGGUCACCCAUCCUAGUACUACUCUCCCCCAAGCACGCUUAACUGUGGUGUUCUGAUAGGAUCAAGUGCAUUAGUGCUGGUAUGAUCGCAUCAGUUACUACAUGCAAUGCAAUCAUAUAUAUUCUUUUUUGAAGACGUUAUGAUCCAUUUGCCGUAGGUCCCACCAGCUAUGUAGGAACACCCUAUCUUGUUUAUAAGAGCUUUGAUACAUGCAAAAUAUUCGAAAACAAUGUCCGAACAUAUAAUUUUUGUCCCGUAAUAUAGCAAAGAUCACGAAAAGGCCAGAAAAAAUACAUUUCGGUCAAAAUUUGGAGUAGAAAAAAAACCCUUCCUCAUUCAUUGGACAGCUCUCUUUGGGCUUUCCGAAAAGGUAUCACAUGCCAAGUUUGGCCUCACGGUCUAAAAGUUAUAGAGUCAUACAUUUUUCACAAAAAAAACAAGAGAAAAACAAAAAAAAAGAGUGAUGAAACACGAGGACUUUCCUGGAGGUCACCCAUCCUAGUACUACUCUCGCCCAAGCACGCUUAACUGCGAAGUUCUGAUGGGAUCUGGUGCAUUAGUGCUGGUAUGAUCGCAUCUGUUACUACAUGCAAUGCAAUCGNNNNNNNNNNNNNNNNNNNNNNNNNNNNNNNNNNNNNNNNNNNNNNNNNNUAUGAUCGCAUGUGUUACUACAUGCAAUGUAAUCGUAUCUAUUCUUUUUUAAAGACUUUAUGAUCCAUUUGCCGUGAGUCCCACCAGCUAUGUAGGAAUAUUCUAUCUUCUUUAUAAGAGCUUUGAUACAUGCAAAAUACNUGGAAAACAAUGUCCGAACAUAUAAUUUUCCCCCCGUAAUAUAGCANAGAUCACGAAAAGGCCCGAAAAAGUACAUUUAGUUCANAAUUUGGAGUAGAAAAAAAAACAAUAGAAGAAUUCCAUUUUCCUUCCUCAAUCAUCGGAGAGCUCUCUUUGGGCUUUCCGAAAAGGUAUCUCAUGCCAAGUUUGGCCUCACGAACUAAAAGUUAUAGAGUCAUACAUUUUUAACAAAACAAAAUAGAGAAAAACCGAAAAAAGAGGGAUGCAACACAAGGACUUUCCGGGAGGUCACCCAUCCUAGUACUACUCUCGCCCAAGCACCCUUAACUGCGGAGUUCUGAUGGGAUCCGGUGCAUUAGUGCUGGUAUGAUCGCCCGUGUUACUACAUGCAAUGCAAUCGUAUCUAUUCUUUUUUAAAGAUUUUAUGAUCCAUUUGCCGUGGGUCCCACCAGCUAUGUAGGAAUACCCUAUCUUCUUUAUAAGAGGUUUGAUACAUACAAAAUAUUGGAUCACAAUGUCAGAACAUAUAAUUUUCCCCCCUUAAUAUAGCAAAGAUCACUAAAAGGCCCGAAAAAAUACAUUUAGUUCAAAAUUUGGAGUAGAAAAAAAAACAAUAGAAGAAUUCCAUUUUCCUUCCUCAGUUAUCGGAGAACUCUCUUUGGGCUUUCCGAAAAGGUAUCACAUGCCAAGUUUGGCCUCACGGUCUAAAAGAUAUAGAGUCAUACAUUAUUAACAAAACAAAAUAGAGAAAAACCGAAAAAAAGAAGGAUGCAACACGAGGACUUUGCGGGAGGUAAUCUAUCCUAGUACUACUCUCGCCCAAGCACCCUUAACUGCGGAGUUCUGAUGGGAUCCGGUGCAUUAGUGCUGGUAUGAUCGCAUGUGUUACUACAUGCAAUGUAAUCGUAUCUAUUCUUUUUUAAAGACUUUAUGAUCCAUUUGCCGUGGGUCCCACCAGCUAUGUAGGAAUACUCUAUCUACUUUAUAAGAGCUUUGAUACAUGCAGAAUAUUGGAAAACAACGUCCGAACAUAUAAUUUCCCCCCCCCCCCCCGUAAUAUAGCAAAAAUCACGAAAAGGCCCGAAAAAGUACAUUUAGUUCAAAAUUUGGAGUAGAAAAAAAAACAAUAGAAGAAUUUCAUUUUCCUUCCUCAGUCAUCGGAGAGCUCUCUUUGGGCUUUCCAAAAAGGUAUCACAUGCCAAGUUUGGCCUCACAGUCUAAAAGUUAUAGAGUCAUACAUUUUUAACAAAACAAAAUAGAGAAAAACCGAAAAAAAGAGGGAUGCAACACGAGGACUUUCCGGGAGGUAAUCUAUCCUAGUACUACUCUCGCCCAAGCACCCUUAACUGCGGAGUUCUGAUGGGAUCCGGUGCAGUAGUGCUGGUAUGAUUGCAUGUGUUACUACAUGCAAUGUAAUCGUAUCUAUUCUUUUUUAAAGACUUUAUGAUCCAUUUGCCGUGAGUCCCACCAGCUAUGUAGGAAUAUUCUAUCUUCUUUAUAAGAGCUUUGAUACAUGCAAAAUACUGGAAAACAGUGUCCGAACAUAUAAUUUUCCCCCCGUAAUAUAGCAAAGAUCACGAAAAGGCCCGAAAAAGUACAUUUAGUUCAAAAUUUGGAGUAGAAAAAAAAACAAUAGAAGAAUUCCAUUUUCCUUCCUCAAUCAUCGGAGAGCUCUCUUUGGGCUUUCCGAAAAGGUAUCUCAUGCCAAGUUUGGCCUCACGAACUAAAAGUUAUAGAGUCAUACAUUUUUAACAAAACAAAAUAGAGAAAAACCGAAAAAAGAGGGAUGCAACACAAGGACUUUCCAGGAGGUCACCCAUCCUAGUACUACUCUCGCCCAAGCACCCUUAACUGCGGAGUUCUGAUGGGAUCCGGUGCAUUAGUGCUGGUAUGAUCGCAUGUGUUACUACAUGCAAUGUAAUCGUAUCUAUUCUUUUUUAAAGAUUUUAUGAUCCAUUUGCCGUGGGUCCCACCAGCUAUGUAGGAAUACCCUAUCUUCUUUAUAAGAGCUUUGAUACAUACAAAAUAUUGGAUCACAAUGUCAGAACAUAUAAUUUUCCCCCCUUAAUAUAGCAAAGAUCACUAAAAGGCCCGAAAAAAUACAUUUAGUUCAAAAUUUGGAGUAGAAAAAAAAACAAUAAAAGAAUUCCAUUUUCCUUCCUCAGUUAUCGGAGAACUCUCUUUGGGCUUUCCGAAAAGGUAUCACAUGCCAAGUUUGGCCUCACGGUCUAAAAGAUAUAGAGUCAUACAUUAUUAACAAAACAAAAUAGAGAAAAACCGAAAAAAAUAGGGAUGCAACACGAGGACUAUCCUGGAGGUCACCCAUCCUAGUACUAAUCUCGCCCAACCACCCUUAACUGCGUAGUUCUGAUGGGAUCCGAUGCAUUAGUGCUGGUAUGAUCGCAUUUGUUACUAUAUGCAAUAUAAUCGUAUCUAUUCUUUUUUAAAGACUUUAUGAUCCAUUUGCCGUGGGUCCCACCAGCUAUGUAGGAUACCCUAUCUUCAUAAUAAGAGCUUUGAUAAAUGCAAAAUAUUGGAAAACAAUGUCCGAACAUAUAAUUUCCCCCCCCCCCCCCGGUAAUAUAGCAAAGAUCACGAAAUAGCCCAAAAAAGUACAUUUAGGUCAAAAUUUGAGUAGAAAAAAAACAAAUAGAGGAAUUCCAUUUUCCGUCCUCAUUCAUCGGAGAGCUCUCUUUCGGCUUUCCGAAAAGGUAUCACAUGCCAAGUUUGGCCUCACGGUCUAAAAGUUAUAGAGUCAUACAUUUUAAACAAAACAAAAUAGAGAAAAACCGAAAAAAAGAAGGAUGCAACACGAGGACUUUCCGGGAGGUCACCCAUCCUAGUACUACUCUCGCCCAAGCACCCUUAACUGCGGAGUUCUGAUGGGAUCAGGUGCAUUAGUGCUGGUAUGAUCGCAUGUGGUACUACAUGCAAUGUAAUCGUAUAUAUUCUUUUUUAAAGACUUUAUGAUCCAUUUGCCGUGGGUCCCACCAGCUAUGUAGGAAUACCCUAUCUUCUUUAUAAGAGCUUUGAUACAUGCAAAAUAUUUGAAAACAAUGUCCGAACAUAUAAUUUUCCCCCCGUUAUAUAGCAAAGAUCACGAAAAGGCCCGAAAAAGUACAUUUAGUUCAAAAUUUGGAGUAGAAAAAAAGACAAUAGAAGAAUUUCAUUUUCCUUCCUCAGUAAUCGGAGAGCUCUCUUUGGGCUUUCCGAAAAGGUAUCACAUGCCAAGUUUGGCUUCACGGUAUAAAAGUUAUAGAGUCAUACAUUUUUAACAAAAAAAAACUAGAAAAACAGAAAAAAAGAGGGAUGCAAUACGAGGACUUUCCAGGAGGUCACCCAUCCUAGUACAACUCUCGCCGAAGCACGCUUAACUGCGGUGUUCAGAUGGGAUCUGGUGCAUUAGUGCUGGUAUGAUGGCAUUUGUUACUACAUGCAAUGCAAUCGUAUCUAUUCUUUUGUAAAGACUUUAUGAUCCAUUUGCCGUGGGUUCCACCAGCUAUGUAGGAAUACCCUAUCUUGUUUAUAAGAGAUUUGAUACAUGCAAAAUAUUCGAACACAAUGUCCGAACAUAUAAUUUUUGCCCCGUAAUAUAGCAAAGAUCACGAAAAGGCCCGAAAAAGUACAUUAAGGUCAAAAUUUGGAGUAGAAAAAAAACACAAUAGAAGUAUUCCAUUGUCCUUCGUCAUUCAUCGAAGAGCUCUCUUUGGGCUUUUCGAAAUGAUAUCAUAUGCCAAGUUUGGCCUCACGGUCUAAAAUUUAUAGAGUCAUACAUUUUUAACAAAACAAAAAGAGAAAAACCGAAAAAAAGAGGGAUGCAACACGAGGACUUUCCUGGAGGUCACCCAUCCUAGUACUACUCUCGCCCAAGCACCCUUAACUGCGUAGUUCUGAUGGGAUCCGAUGCAUUAGUGCUGGUAUGAUCGAAUCUGUUACUACAUGUAAUGCAAUCAUAUAUAUUCUUUUUUGAAGACUUUAUGAUCCAUUUGCCGUAGGUCCCACCAGCUAUGUAGGAAUACCCUAUCUCGUUUAUAAGAGCUUUGAUACAUGCAAAAUAUUCGAAAACAAUGUCCGAACAUAUAAUGUUUGCCCCAAAAUAUAGCAAAGACCACGAAAAUGCCAUAAAAAGUACAUUAAGGUCAAAAUUUGGAGUAGGAAAAAAAAUCAAUAGGAGAAUUCCAUUUUCCUUCCUCAUUCAUCGGAGAGCUCUCUUUGGGCAUUCCAAAAAGGUAUGACAUGCCAAGUUUGGCCUCACGGUCUAAAAGUUAUAGAGUAAUACAUUUUUAACAAAAAAAAAAGAGAANAAACCGAAAAAAAGAGGGAUGCAACACGAAGACUUUUCUGGAGGUCAUCCAUCCUAGUACUACUCUCCCCCAAGCACGCUUAACUGUGGUGUUCUGAUAGGAUCAAGUGCAUUAGUGCUGGUAUGAUCGCAUCAGUUACUACAUGCAAUGCAAUCAUAUAUAUNNNNNNNNNNNNNNNNNNNNNNNNNNNNNNNNNNNNNNNNNNNNNNNNNNAAAGUCAAAAUUUGGAGUAGAAAAAAACCCAAUAGAAGUAUUCCAUUCUCCUUCGUCAUUCAUCGGAGAGCUCUCUUUAGGCUUUCCGAAAAGAUAUCACAUGCCAAGUUUGGCCUCACGGUUUAAAAGUUAUAGAGUCAUAGAUUUUUAACAAAACAAAAAGAGAAAAACCGAAAAAAAUUGGGAUGCAACACGAGGACUUUCCUGGAGGUCACCCAUCCUAGUACUACUCUCGCCCAAGCACCCUUAACUGCGUAGUUCUGAUGGGAUCCGAUGCUNUAGUGCUGGUAUGAUCGCAUCUGUUACUACAUGCAAUGUAAUCGUAUCUAUUCUUUNUUAAAGACUUUAUGAUCCAUUUGCCGUGGGUCCCACCAGCUAUGUAGGAAUACCCUAUCUUCUNUAUAAGAGCNUUUGAUAAAUGCANAAUAUUGGAAACCAAUGUCCGAACAUAUAAUUUCGCCCCCGUAAUAUAGCANAGAUCACGAAAAAGCCCAAAAAAGUUCAUUUAGGUCAAAAUUUGAGCAGAAGAAAAAGAAAUAGAAGAAUUCCAUUUUCCUUCCUCAUUUAUUGGAGAGCUCUCUUUGGGCUUUCCGAAAAGGUAUCACAUGCCAAGUUUGGCCUCACGGUCUAAAAGUUAUAGAGUCAUACAUUUUUAACAAAAUGAAAUAGAGAAAAACCGAAAAAAAGAGGGAUGUAACACGAGGACUUUCCGGGAGGUAAUCUAUCCUACUACUACUCUCGGCCAAGCACCCUUAACUGCGGAGUUCUAAUGGGAUCCGGUGCAUUAGUGCUGGUAUGAUCGCAUGUGUUACUACAUGCAAUGUAAUCGUAUCUAUUCUUUUUUAAAGACUUUAUGAUCCAUUUGCCGUGGGUCCCACCAGCUAUGUAGGAAUACCCUAUCUUCUUUAUAAGAGCUUUGAUACAUGCAAAAUAUAUGAAAAAAACGUCCGAACAUAUAAUUUUCCCCCCGUAAUAUAGCAAAGAUCAUGAAAAGGCCCAAAAAAGUACAUUAAUGUCAAAAUUUGGCGUAGAAAAAAAACCAAUAGACAUAUUCCAUUGUCCUUCGUCAUUCAUUGAAGAGCUCUCUUUGGGCUUUCCGAAAAGGUAUCACAUGCCAAGUUUGGCCUCACGGUCUAAAAGUUAUAGAGUCAUACAUUUUUAACAAUACAAAAUAGAGAAAAACCGAAAAAAAGAGGGAUGCAACACGAGGACUUUCCGGGAGGUAAUCCAUCCUAGUACUACUCUCGCCCAAGCACCCUUAACUGCGGAGUUCUGAUGGGACCCGGUGCAUUAGUGCUGGUAUGAUCGCAUCUGUUACUAUAUGCAAUGUAAUCGUAUCUAUUCUUUUUUAAAGACUUUAUGAUCCAUUUGCCGUGGGUCCCACCAGCUAUGUAGGAAUACCCUAUCUUCUUUAUAAGAGCUUUGAUAUAUGCAAAAUAUUGGAACACCAUGUCCGAACAUAUAAUUUUUCCCGUGUAAUAUAGCAAAGAUCAAGAAAAAGAAAAAAAAGUACAUUUAGGUCAAAAUUUGAGUAGAAAAAAACAAAUAGAAGAAUUCCAUUUUCCUUCCUCAUUCAGCUGAGAGCUCUCUUUGGGCUUUCCGAAAAGGUAUCAUAUGCCAAGUUUGGCCUCACAGUGUAAAAGUUAUAGAGUCUAACAUUUUUAACAAAACAAAAUAGAGAAAAACCAAAAAAAGAGGGAUGCAACACGAGGACUUUCUGGGAGGUCACCCAUCCUAGUACUACUCUCGCCCAAGCACCCUUAACUGCGGAGUUCUGAUGGGAUCCGGUGCAUUAGUGCUGGUAUGAUCGCAUGUGUUACUACAUGCAAUGUAAUCCUAUCUAUUCUUUCUUAAAGACUUUAUGAUCCAUUUGCCGUGAGUCCCACCAGCUAUGUAGGAAUACCCUAUCUUCUUUAUAAGAGCUUUGAUACAUGCAAAAUAUUGGAAAACAAUGUCCGAACAUAUAGUUUUCCCCCGUAAUAUAGCAAAGAUCACGAAAAGGCCCGAAAAAGUACAUUUAGUUCAAAAUUGGGAGUAGAAAAAAAAAACAAUAGAAGAAUUCCAUUUUACUUCCUCAGUCAUCGGAGAGCUCUCUUUGGGCUUUCCGAAAAGGUAUCACAUGCCCAGUUUGGCCUCACGGUCUAAAAGUUAUAAAGUCAUACAUUUUUAACAAAAAAAAAAGAGAAAAACCGAAAAAAAGAGGGAUGCAAUACGAGGACUUUCCACGAGGUCACCCAUCCUAGUACAACUCUCGCCAAAGCAUGCUUAACUGCGGAGUUUAGAUGGGAUCUGGUGCAUUAGUGCUGGUAUGAUCGCAUCUGUUACUACAUGCAAUGCAAUCGUAUCUAUUCUUAUUUAAAGACUUUAUCAUCCAUUUGCCAUGGGUCCCACCUGUAGGAAUACCCAAUCUUGUUUAUAAGAGCUUUGAUACAUGCAAAAUAUUCGAAAACAACGUCCGAACAUAUAAUUUUCGCCCCGUAAUAUAGCAAAGAUCACGAAAAGGCCCGAAAAAGUACAUUAAGGUCAAAAUUUGGAAUAGAAAAAAAAACCAAAAGAAGUAUUCCAUUGUCCUUUGUCAUUCAUCGAAGAGCUCUCUUUGGGCUUUCCGAAAAGGUAUCGCAAGCCAAGUUUGGCCUCACGGUUUAAAAGUUAUAAAGUCAUACAUUUUUAACAAAAAAAAAAAGAGAAAAAACCGAAAAAAAGAGGGAUGCAACACGAGGACUUUUCUGGAGGUCACCCAUCCUAGUACUACUCUCGCCCGAUCACCCUUAACUGCGUAGUUUUGAUGGGAUUCGAUGCAUUAGUGCUGGUAUGAUCGCAUCUGUUACUACAUGCAAUGUAAUCGUAUCUAUUCUUUUUUAAAGACUUUAUGAUCCAUUUGCCGUGGGUCCCACCAGCUAUGUAGGAAUACCCUAUCUUCUUUAUAAGAGCUUUGAUAUAUGCAAAAUAGUGGAAAACCAUGUCCGAACAUAUAAUUUUUCCCCUGUAAUAUAGCAAAGAUCAAGAAAAAGCCAAAAAAAGUAUAUUUAGGUCAAAAUUUGGAGUAGAAAAAAAAACAAUAGAAGAAUUCCAUUUUCCUUCCUCAGUCAUCGGAGAGCUCUCUUUCGGCUUUCCGAAAAGGUAUCAAAUGCCAAGUUUGGCCUCACGGUCUAAAAGUUAUAGAGUCAUACAUUUUUAACAAUACAAAGUAGAGAAAACCGGAAAAAAGAGGGAUGCAACAUGAGGACUUUCCGGGAGGUAAUCCAUCCUAGUACAACUCUUGCCCAAGCACCCUUAACUGCGGAGUUCUGAUGGAAUCCGGUGCAUUAGUGCUGGUAUGAUCGCAUGUGUUACUACAUGNNNNNNNNNNNNNNNNNNNNNNNNNNNNNNNNNNNNNNNNNNNNNNNNNNCCAAAAAGGUAUCACAUGCCAAGUUUGGCCUCNCGGUCUAAAAGUUAUAGAGUCAUACAUUUUUAACAAACCAAAAUAGAGAAAACCGGAAAAAAGAGGGAUGCAACACGAGGACUUUCCGGGAGGUCACCCAUCCUAGUACUACUUUCGCCCAAGCACCCUUAACUGCGGAGUUCUGAUGGGAUCCGGUGCAUUAGUGCUGGUAUGAUCGCAUGUGUUACUACAUGCAAUGUAAUCAUAUUUCUUGUUAUUUAAAGAUUUUAUGAUCCAUUUGCCGUGGGUCCCACCAUCUAUGUAGGAAUACCUUAUCUUCUUUAUAGGAGCUUUGAUACAUGCAAAAUAUUGGAAAACAAUAUCCGAACAUAUAUCUUUCCCCCCGUAAUAUAGCAAAGAUCGCGAAAAGGCCCGAAAAAGUACAUUUAGGUCAAAAUUUGGAGAGGAAAAAAAAAGCAAUAGAAGAAUUCCAUUUUCCUUCCUCAGUCAUCGGAGAGCUCUCUUUGGGCUUUCCGAAAAGGUAUCACAUGCCAAGUUUGGCCUCAUGGUCUAAAAGUUAUAGAGCCAUACAUUUUUAACAAAACAAAAUAGAGAAAAACCAAAAAAAGAGAGGGAUGCAACACGAGGACUUUCCGGGAGGUCACCCAUCCUAGUACUACUCUCGCCCAAGCACCCUUAACUGCGGAGUUCUGAUGGGAUCCAGUGCAUUAGUGCUGGUAUGAUCGCAUGUGUUACUACAUGCAAUGUAAUCGUAUCUAUUCUUUUUUAAAGAUUAUAUGAUCCAUUUGCCGUGGGUCCCACCAGCUAUGUAGGAAUACCCUAUCUUCUUUAUAAGAGCUUUGAUACAUGCAAAAUAUUGGAAAACAAUGUCCGAACAUAUAAUUUUCCCCCCGUAAUAUAGCAAAGAUCACGAAAAGGCCCAAAAAAGUACAUUUAGGUCAAAAUUUGGAGUUGAAAAAAAACAAAAAGAAGAAUUCCAUUUUCCUUCCUCAUUCAUUGGAGAGCUCUCUUUGGGCUUUCCGAAAAGGUAUCACAUGCCAUGUUUAGCCUCACGGUCUAAAAGUUAUAGAGUCAUACAUUUUUAACAAAACAAAAUAGAGAAAAACCAAAAAAACGAGGGAUGCAACACGAGGACUUUCUGGGAAGUCACCCAUCCUAGUACUACUCUCGCCCAAGCACCCUUAACUGCGGAGUUCUGAUGGGAUCCGGUGCAUUAGUGCUGGUAUGAUCGCAUGUGUUACUACAUGCAAUGUAAUCGUAUCUAUUGCUUUUAAAGACUUUAUGAUCCAUUUGCCGUGGGUCCCACCAGCUAUGUAGGAAUACCCUAUCUUCUUUAUAAGAGUUUUCAUACAUGCAAAAUAUUGGAAAACAAUGUCCGAACAUAUAAUUUUCCCCCCGUAAUAUAGCAAAGAUCACGAAAAGGCCCAAAAAAGUACAUUUAGUUCAAAAUUUGGAGUAGAAAAAAAAAUAAUAGAAAAUUUCCAAUUUCCUUCUUCAUUCAUCGGAGAGCUCUCUUUGGGCUUUCCGAAAAGGUAUCACAUGCCAAGUUUGGCCUCACGGUCUAAAAGUUAUAAAGUCAUACAUUUUUAACAAAACAAAAUAGAGAAAAACGGAAAAAGAGGGAUGCAACACGUGGACUUUCCGGGAGGUCACCCAUCCUAGUACUACUCUCGUCCAAGGACCCUUAACUGCGGAGUUCUGUUGGGAUCCGUUGCAUUAGUGCUGGUAUGAUCGCAUGUGUUACUACAUGCAAUGUAAUCGUAUCUAUUCUUUUUUAAAGACUUUAUGAUCCAUUUGCCGUGGGUCCCACCAACUAUGUAGGAAUACCCUAUCUUCUUUAUAAGAGCUUUGAUACAUGCAAAAUAUUGGAAAACAAUGUCCGAACACAUAAUUUUUCCCCCAUAAUAUAACAAAGAUCACGAAAAGGCCCGAAAUAGUACAUUUAGUUCAAAAUUUGGAGUAGAAAAAAAACCAGUUUAAGAAUUCCAUUUUCCUUCCUCAUUCAUCGGAGAGCUCUCUUUGGACUUUCCGAAAAGGUAUCACAUGCCAAGUUUGGCCUCACGGUCUAAAAGUUAUAGAGUCAUACAUUUUUAACAAAACAAAAUAGAGAAAAACAGAAAAAAGAGGGAUGCAACACGAGGACUUUCCGGGAGGUCACCCAUCCUAGUACUACUCUCGCCCAAGCACCCUUAACUGCAGAGUUCUGCUGGGAUCCGGUGCAUUAGUGCUGGUAUGAUCGCAUCUGUUACUACAUGCAAUGUAAUCGUAUCUAUUCUUUUUUAAAGCUUUUAUGAUCCAUUUGCCGUGGGUCCCACCAGCUAUGUAGGAAUACCCUAUCUUCUUUAUAAGAGCUUUGAUACAUGCAAAAUAUUGGAAAACAAUGUCCGAACAUAUAAUUUCCCCCCUCGUAAUAUAGCAAAGAUCACAAAAAGGCUCGAAAAAGUACAUUUAGUUCAAAAUUUGGAGUAGAAAAAAACCAACAGAAAAAUUCCAAUUUCCUCCCUCAUUCAUCGGAGAGCUCUCUUUGGGCUUUCCAAAAAGGUAUCACAUGCCAAGUUUGGCCUCACGGUCUAAAAGUUAUAGAGUCAUACAUUUUUAACAAAACAAAAUAGAGAAAAACGGAAAAAAGAGGGAUGCAACACGAGGACUUUCCGGGAGGUCACCCAUCCUAGUACUACUCUCGUCCAAGGACCCUUAACUGCGAAGUUCUGAUGGGAUCCGUUGCAUUAGUGCUGGUAUGAUCGCAUGUGUUACUACAUGCAAUGUAAUCGUAUCUAUUCUUUUUUAAAGACUUUAUGAUCCAUUUGCCGUGGGUCCCACCAGCUAUAUAGGAAAACCCAAUCUUCUUUAUAAGAGCUUUGAUACAUGCAAAAUAUUGGAAAACAAUGUCCGAACAUAUAAUUUUCCCCCAUAAUAUAGCAAAGAUCACGAAAAGGCCCGAAAAAGUACAUUUAGUUCAAAAUUUGGAGUAGAAAAAAAGACAGUAAAAGAAUUCCAUUUUCCUUCCUCAGUGAUCGGAGAGCUCUCUUUGGACUUUCCGAAAAGGUAUCACAUGCCAAGUUUGGCCUCACGGUCUAAAAGUUAUAGAGUCAUACAUUUUUAACAAAACAAAAUAGAGAAAAACGGAAAAAAGAGGGAUGCAACACGAGGACUUUCCGGGAGGUCACCCAUCCUAGUACUACUUUCGCCCAAGCACCCUUAACUGCGGAGUUCUGAUGGGAUCCGGUGCAUUAGUGCUGGUAUGAUCGCAUGUGUUACUACAUGCAAUGUAAUCAUAUUUCUUGUUAUUUAAAGAUUUUAUGAUCCAUUUGCCGUGGGUCCCACCAUCUAUGUAGGAAUACCUUAUCUUCUUUAUAGGAGCUUUGAUACAUGCAAAAUAUUGGAAAACAAUAUCCGAACAUAUAUCUUUCCCCCCGUAAUAUAGCAAAGAUCGCGAAAAGGCCCGAAAAAGUACAUUUAGGUCAAAAUUUGGAGAAGAAAAAAAAAGCAAUAGAAGAAUUCCAUUUUCCUUCCUCAGUCAUCGGAGAGCUCUCUUUGGGCUUUCCGAAAAGGUAUCACAUGCCAAGUUUGGCCUCAUGGUCUAAAAGUUAUAGAGCCAUACAUUUUUAACAAAACAAAAUAGAGAAAAACCAAAAAAAGAGAGGGAUGCAACACGAGGACUUUCCGGGAGGUCACCCAUCCUAGUACUACUCUCGCCCAAGCACCCUUAACUGCGGAGUUCUGAUGGGAUCCAGUGCAUUAGUGCUGGUAUGAUCGCAUGUGUUACUACAUGCAAUGUAAUCGUAUCUAUUCUUUUUUAAAGAUUAUAUGAUCCAUUUGCCGUGGGUCCCACCAGCUAUGUAUGAAUACCCUAUCUUCUUUAUAAGAGCUUUGAUACAUGCAAAAUAUUGGAAAACAAUGUCCGAACAUAUAAUUUUCCCCCCGUAAUAUAGCAAAGAUCACGAAAAGGCCCAAAAAAGUACAUUUAGGUCAAAAUUUGGAGUUGAAAAAAAACAAAAAGAAGAAUUCCAUUUUCCUUCCUCAUUCAUUGGAGAGCUCUCUUUGGGCUUUCCGAAAAGGUAUCACAUGCCAUGUUUAGCCUCACGGUCUAAAAGUUAUAGAGUCAUACAUUUUUAACAAAACAAAAUAGAGAAAAACCAAAAAAACGAGGGAUGCAACACGAGGACUUUCUGGGAAGUCACCUAUCCUAGUACUACUCUCGCCCAAGCACCCUUAACUGCGGAGUUCUGAUGGGAUCCGGUGCAUUAGUGCUGGUAUGAUCGCAUGUGUUACUACAUGCAAUGUAAUCGUAUCUAUUGCUUUUAAAGACUUUAUGAUCCAUUUGCCGUGGGUCCCACCAGCUAUGUAGGAAUACCCUAUCUUCUUUAUAAGAGUUUUCAUACAUGCAAAAUAUUGGAAAACAAUGUCCGAACAUAUAAUUUUCCCCCCGUAUAUAGCAAAGAUCACGAAAAGGCCCAAAAAAGUCCUUUAAGGUCAAAAUUUGAAGUUGAAAAAAAACAAAAAGAAAAAUUCCAUUUUCCUUCCUCAUUCAUUGAAAAGCUCUCUUUGGGCUUUCCGAAAAGGUAUCACAUGCCAUGUUUAGCCUCACGGUCUAAAAGUUAUAGAGUCAUACAUUUUUAACAAAACAAAAUAGAGAAAAACCAAAAAAACGAGGGAUGCAACACGAGGACUUUCUGGGAAGUCACCUAUCCUAGUACUACUCUCGCCCAAGCACCCUUAACUGCGGAGUUCUGAUGGGAUCCGGUGCAUUAGUGCUGGUAUGAUCGCAUGUGUUACUACAUGCAAUGUAAUCGUAUCUAUUGCUUUUAAAGACUUUAUGAUCCAUUUGCCGUGGGUCCCACCAGCUAUGUAGGAAUACCCUAUCUUCUUUAUAAGAGUUUUCAUACAUGCAAAAUAUUGGAAAACAAUGUCCGAACAUAUAAUUUUCCCCCCGUAAUAUAGCAAAGAUCACGAAAAGGCCCAAAAAAGUACAUUUAGUUCAAAAUUUGGAGUAGAAAAAAAAACAAUAGAAAAUUUCCAAUUUCCUUCUUCAUUCAUCGGAGAGCUCUCUUUGGGCUUUCCGAAAAGGUAUCACAUGCCAAGUUUGGCCUCACGGUCUAAAAGUUAUAAAGUCAUACAUUUUUAACAAAACAAAAUAGAGAAAAACGGAAAAAGAGGGAUGCAACACGUGGACUUUCCGGGAGGUCACCCAUCCUAGUACUACUCUCGUCCAAGGACCCUUAACUGCGGAGUUCUGUUGGGAUCCGUUGCAUUAGUGCUGGUAUGAUCGCAUGUGUUACUACAUGCAAUGUAAUCGUAUCUAUUCUUUUUUAAAGACUUUAUGAUCCAUUUGCCGUGGGUCCCACCAACUAUGUAGGAAUACCCUAUCUUCUUUAUAAGAGCUUUGAUACAUGCAAAAUAUUGGAAAACAAUGUCCGAACAUAUAAUUUUUCCCCCAUAAUAUAACAAAGAUCACGAAAAGGCCCGAAAAAGUACAUUUAGUUCAAAAUUUGGAGUAGAAAAAAACCAGUUUAAGAAUUCCAUUUUCCUUCCUCAUUCAUCGGAGAGCUCUCUUUGGACUUUCCGAAAAGGUAUCACAUGCCAAGUUUGGCCUCACGGUCUAAAAGUUAUAGAGUCAUACAUUUUUAACAAAACAAAAUAGAGAAAAACAGAAAAAAGAGGGAUGCAACACGAGGACUUUCCGGGAGGUCACCCAUCCUAGUACUACUCUCGCCCAAGCACCCUUAACUACAGAGUUCUGCUGGGAUCCGGUGCAUUAGUGCUGGUAUGAUCGCAUCUGUUACUACAUGCAAUGUAAUCGUAUCUAUUCUUUUUUAAAGCUUUUAUGAUCCAUUUGCCGUGGGUCCCACCAGCUAUGUAGGAAUACCCUAUCUUCUUUAUAAGAGCUUUGAUACAUGCAAAAUAUUGGAAAACAAUGUCCGAACAUAUAAUUUCCCCCCUCGUAAUAUAGCAAAGAUCACAAAAAGGCUCGAAAAAGUACAUUUAGGUCAAAAUUUGGAGUAGAAAAAAAAACAAUAGAAGAAUUCCAUUUUCCUUCCUCAGUCAUUGGAGAGAUCUCUUUGGGCUUUGCGAAAAGGUAUCACAUGCCAAGUUUGGCCUCACGGUCUAAAAGUUAUAAAGUCAUACGUUUUUAGCAAAAAAAAAAGAGAAAAACCGAAAAAAAGAGGGAUGCAACACGAGGUCACCCAUUCUAGUACUACUCUCGCCCAAGCACCCUUAACUGCGUAGUUCUGAUGGGAUCUGAGGCAUUAGUGCUUGUAUGAUCGCAUCUGUUACUACAUGCAAUGUAAUCGUAAAUAUUCUUUUUUAAAGACUUUAUUAUCCAUUUGCCGUGGGUCCAACCAGCUAUGUAGGGAUACCCUAUCUUCUUUAUAAGAGCUUUGACACAUGCAAAAUAUUGGAAAAGAAUGUCCGAACAUAUUCUUUUCCCCCCGUAAUAUAGCAAAGAUCACGAAAAGGCCCGAAAAUGUAUAUUAAGUUCAAAAUUUGGAGUAGAAAAAAAAAACAAUAGAUGAAUUCCAUUUUCCUUCCUCAUUCAUUGGAGAGCUCUCUUUGGGCUUUCCGAAAAGGUAUGACAUUUCAAGUUUGGCCUCAUGGUCUCAAAGUUAUAAAGUCAUACAUUUUUCACAAAAAAAAAAAAAAGAAAAACCAAAAAAAAAAAGAGGGAUGUAACACGAGGACUUUUUUGGGAGGUCACCCAUCCUAGUACUACUCUCGCCCAAGCACGCUUAACUGCGGAGUUCUGAUGGGAUCCAGUUCAUUAGUGCUGGUAUGAUCGCAUGUGUUACUAUAUGCAAUGUAAUCGUAUCUAUUCUUUUUUAAUGACUUUAUGAUCCAUUUGCUGUGAGUCCCACCAGCUAUGUAGGAAUACCCUAUCUUCUCUAUAAGAGCUUUGAUACAUGCAAAAUAUUGGAAAACAAUGUCCGAACAUAUAGUUUUCCCCCCGUAAUAUAGCAAAGAUCACGAAAAGGCCCGAAAAGGUACAUUUAGUUCAAAAUUUGGAGUAGAAGAAAAAACAAUAGAAGAAUUCCAUUUCCCUUCCUCAGUCAUCGGAGAGCUCUCUUUGGGCUUUCCAAAAAGGUAUCACAUGCCAAGUUUGGCCUCACGGUCUAAAAGUUAUAGAGUCAUACAUUUUUAACAAUACAAAAUAGAGAAAAACCGAAAAAAAAGAGGGAUGCAACACGAGGACUUUCCGGGAGGUAAUCCAUCCUAGUACUACUCUCGCCCAAGCACCCUUAACUGCGGAGUUCUGAUGGGAUCCGAUGCAUUAGUGCUGGUAUGAUCGCAUGUGUUACUACAUGCAAUGUAAUCGUAUCUAUUCUUUUUUAAAGACUUUAUGAUCCAUUUGCCGUGGGUCCCACCAGCUAUGUAGGAUUAGCCUAUCUUGUUUAUAAGAGCUUUGAUACAUGCAAAAUAUUGGAAACCAAUGUCCAAACAUAUAAUUUUCACCCCGUAAUAUAGCAAAGAUCACGAAAAGUCCCGAAAAAGUACAUUUAGGUCAAAAUUUGGAAUAGAAAAAAAAAAAAUAGGAGUAUUCCAUUUUCCUUCCUCAUUCAUCGGAGAGCUCUCUUUGAGCUUUCUGAAAAGGUAUCACAUGCCAAGUUUGGCCUCACGGUCUAAAAGUUAUAGAGUCAUACAUUUUUAAAAAUACAAAAUAGAGAAAAACCGAAGAAAAGAGGGAUGCAACACGAGGACUUUCCGGGAGGUAAUCCAUCCUAGUACUACUCUCGCCCAAGCACCCUUAACUGCGAAGUUCUAAUGGAAUCCGGUACAUUAGUGCUGGUAUGAUCGCAUCUGUUACUAUAUGCAAUGUAAUCGUAUCUAUUCUUUUUUAAAGACUUUAUGAUCCAUUUGCCGUGGGUCUCACCAGCUAUGUAGGAAUACCCUAUCUUCUUUAUAAGAGCUUUGAUAUAUGCAAAAUAUUGGAACACCAUGUCCGAACAUAUAAUUUUUCCCGUGUAAUAUAGCAAAGAUCAAGAAAAAGCCAAAAAAGUACAUUUAGGUCAAAAUUUGAGUAGAAAAAAACAAAUAGAAGAAUUCUAUAUUCCUUCCUCAUUCGUCGGAGAGCUCUCUUUGGGCUUUCCGAAAAGGUAUCAUAUGCCAAGUUUGGCCUCGCGGUCUAAAAGUUACGGAGUCUAACAUUUUUAACAAAACAAAAUAGAGAAAAACCGAAAAAAGAGGGAUGCAACACGAGGACUUUCCGGGAGGUCACCCAUCCUAGUACUACUCUCGCCCAAGCACCCUUAACUGCGGAGUUCUGAUGGGAUCCGGUGCAUUAGUGCUGGUAUGAUCGCAUGUGUUACUACAUGCAAUGUAAUCGUAUCUAUUCUUUCUUAAAGACUUUAUGAUCCAUUUGCCGUGAGUCCCACCAGCUAUGUAGGAAUACCCUAUCUUCUUUAUAAGAGCUUUGAUACAUGCAAAAUAUUGGAAAACAAUGUCCGAACAUAUAGUUUUCCCCCCGUAAUAUAGCAAAGAUCACGAAAAGGCCCGAAAAAGUACAUUUAGUUCAAAAUUUGGAGUAGAAAAAAAAACAAUAGAAGAAUUCCAUUUUCCUUCCUCAUUCAUCGGAGAGCUCUCUUUGGGCUUUCCGAAAAAGUAUCACAUGCCAAGUUUGGCCUCACGGUCUAAACGUUAUAGAGUCAUACAUUUUUAACAAUACAAAAUAGAGAAAAACCGAAAAAAGAGGGAUGCUACACGAAGACUUUCCGGGAGGUAAUCCAUCCUAGUACUACUCUUGCCCAAGCACCCUUAACUGCGGAGUUCUGAUGGAAUCUGGUGCAUUAGUGCUGGUAUGAUCGCAUGUGUUACUACAUGCAAUGUAAUCGUAUCUAUUCUUUUUUAAAGACUUUAUGAUCCAUUUGCCGUGGGUCCCACCAGCUAUGUAGGAAUACCCUAUUUUCUUUAUAAGAGCUUUGAUACAUGCAAAAUAUAUGAAAAAAACGUUCGAACAUAUAAUUUUCCCCCCGUAAUAUAGCAAAGAUCACGAAAAGGCUCGAAAAAUUACAUUUAGUUCAAAAUUUUUAGUAGAAAAAACCCAAUAGAAGAAUUCCAUUUUCCUUCCUCAGUCAUCGGAGAGCUCUCUUUGGGCUUUCCGAAAAGGUAUCACAUGCCAAGUUUGGCCUCACGGUCUAAAAGUUAUAGAGUCAUACAUUUUUAACAAAACAAAAUUGAGAAAAACCGAAAAAAAGAGGGAUGCAACACGAGGACUCUCCAAAAGGUAACCCAUCUUAGUACUACUCUCGCCCAAGCACCCUUAACUGCGGAGUUCUGAUGGGACCCGGUGCAUUUGUGCUGGUAUGAUCGCAUGUGUCACUACAUGCAAUGUAAUCGUAUCUAUUCUUUUUUAAAGACUUUAUGAUCCAUUUGCAGUGGGUCCUACCAGCUAUGUAGGAAUACCCUACCUUCUUUAUAAGAGCUUUCAUACAUGCAUAAUAUUGGAAAACAAUGUCCGAAGAUAUAAUUUUCCCCCCAUAAUAUAGCAAAGAUCACGAAAAGGCCCGAAAAAGUACAUUAUGUUCAAAAUUUGGAGUCGAAAAAAAACCAAUAGAAGAAUUCCAUUUUACUUCCUUAGUCAUCGGAGAGCUCUCUUUGGGCUUUCCGAAAAGGUAUCACAUGCCAAGUUUGGCCUCACGGUCUAAAAGUUAUAGAGUCAUACAUUUUUAACAAAACAAAAUAGAGAAAAACGGGAAAAAAGAGGGAUGUAACACGAGGACAUUCCGGGAGGUCACCCAUCCUAGUACUACUCUUGCCCAAGCACCCUUAACUGCGGAGUUCUUAUGGGAUCCGGUGCAUUAGUGUUGGUAUGAUCGCAUGUGUUACUACAUGCAAUGUAAUCGUAUCUAUUCUUUUUAAAGACUUUAUGAUCCAUUUGCCGUGGGUCCCACCAGCUAUGUAGGAAUACCCUAUCUUCUUUAUAAGAGCUUUGAUACAUGUAAAAUAUUGGAAAACAAUGUCCGAAGAUAUAAUUUUCCCCCGUAAUAUAGCAAAGAUCACGAAAAGGCCCGAAAAUGUACAUUAAGUUCAAAAUUUGGAGUAGAAAAAAAAAACAAUAGAAGAAUUCCAUUUUCCUUCCUCAUUCAUCGGAGAGCUCUCUUUGGGCUUUCCGAAAAGGUAUGACAUUCCAAGUUUGGCCUCAUGGUCUCAAAUUUAUAAAGUCAUACAUUUUUCACAAAAAAAAAAUAAAGAAAAACCAAAAAAAAAAAAGAGGGAUGUAACACGAGGACUUUUUUGGGAGGUCACCCAUCCUAGUACUACUCUCGCCCAAGCACGCUUAACUGCGGAGUUCUGAUGGGAUCCGGUUCAUUAGUGCUGGUAUGAUCACAUGUGUUACUACAUGCAAUGUAAUCGUAUCUAUUCUUUUUUAAAGACUUUAUGAUCCAUUUGCCGUGAGUCCCACCAGCUAUGUAGGAAUACCCUAUCUUCUCUAUAAGAGCUUUGAUACAUGCAAAAUAUUGGAAAACAAUGUCCGAACAUAUAGUUUUCCCCCCGUAAUAUAGCAAAGAUCACGAAAAGGCCCGAAAAAGUACAUUUAGUUCAAAAUUUGGAGUAGAAAAAAAAACAAUAAAAGAAUUUCAUUUCCCUUCCUCAGUCAUCGGAGAGCUCUCUUUGGGCUUUCCAAAAAGGUAUCACAUGCCAAGUUUGGCCUCACGGUCUAAAAGUUAUAGAGUCAUACAUUUUUAACAAUACAAAAUAGAGAAAAACCGAAAAAAAAGAGGGAUGCAACACGAGGACUUUCCGGGAGGUAAUCAAUCCUAGUACUACUCUAGCCCAAGCACCCUUAACUGCGGAGUUCUAAUGGAAUCCAGUGCAUUAGUGCGGGUAUGAUCGCAUGUGUUACUACAUGCAAUGUAAUCGUAUCUAUUCUUUUUUAAAGACUUUAUGAUCCAUUUGCCGUGGGUCCCACCAGCUAUGUAGGAAUACACUAUCUUCUUUAUAAGAGCUUUGAUACAUGCAAAAUAUUGGAAAAAAACGUCCGAACAUAUAAUUUUCCCCACGUAAUAUAGCAAAGAUCACGAAAAUGCCCCAAAAAGUACAUUUAGUUCAAAAUUUGGAGUAGAAAAAAAAACAAUAGAAGAAUUACAUUUUCCUUCCUCACUCAUCGGAGAGCUCUCUUUGGGCUUUUCGAAAAGGUACCACAUGCCAAGUUUGGCCUCACGGUCUAAAAGUUAUAGAGUCAUACAUUUUUAACAAAAUAAAAUUGAGAAAAACCGAAAAAAAGAGGGAUGCAACACGAGGACUCUCCAGAAGGUAACCCAUCUUAGUACUACUCUCGCUCUUGCACCCUUAACUAUGGAGUUCUGAUGGGACCCGGUGCAUUAGUGCUGGUAUGAUCGCAUCUGUUACUAUAUGCAAUGUAAUCGUAUCUAUUCUUUUUUAAAGACUUUAUGAUCCAUUUGCCGUGGGUCCCACCAGCUAUGUAGGAAUACCCUAUCUUCUUUAUAAGAGCUUUGAUAUAUGCAAAAUAUUGGAUUACCAUGUCCGAACAUAUAAUUUUUCCCGUGUAAUAUAGCAAAGAUCAAGAAAAAGCCAAAAAAGUACAUUUAGGUCAAAAUUUGAGUAGAAAAAAACAAAUAGAAGAAUUCCAUUUUCCUUCCUCAUUCACCGUAGAGCUCUCAUUGGGCUUUCCGAAAAGGUAUCAUAUGCCAAGUUUGGCCUCACGGUCUAAAAGUUAUAGAGUCUAACAUUCUUAACAAAACAAAAUAGAGAAAAACCGAAAAAAGAGGGAUGCAACACGAGGACUUUCCGGGAGGUCACCCAUCCUAGUACUACUCUCGCCCAAGGACCCUUAACUGCGGAGUUCUGAUGGGAUCCGUUGCAUUAGUGCUGGUAUGAUCGCAUGUGUUACUACAUGCAAUGUAAUCGUAUCUAUUCUUUCUUAAAGACUUUAUGAUCCAUUUGCCGUGCGUCCCACCAGCUAUGUAGGAAUACCCUAUCUUCUUUAUAAGAGCUUUGAUACAUGCAAAAUAUUGGAAAACAAUGUCCGAACAUAUAGUUUUCCCCCCGUAAUAUAGCAAAGAUCACGAAAAGGCCCGAAAAAGUACAUUUAGUUCAAAAUUUGGAGUAGAAAAAAAAACAAUAGAAGAAUUCCAUUUUCCUUCCUCAGUCAUCGGAGAGCUCUCUUUGGGCUUUCCGAAAAGGUAUCACAUGCCAAGUUUGGCCUCACGGUCUAAACGUUAUAGAGUCAUACAUUUUUAACAAUACAAAAUAGAGAAAAACCGAAAAAAAGAGGGAUGCAACACGAAGACUUUCCGGGAGGUAAUCCAUCCUAGUACUACUCUUGCCAAAGCACCCUUAACUGCGGAGUUCUGAUGGAAUCUGGUGCAUUAGUGCUGGUAUGAUCGCAUGUGUUACUACAUGCAAUGUAAUCGUAUCUAUUCUUUUUUAAAGACUUUAUGAUCCAUUUGCCGUGGGUCCCACCAGCUAUGUACGAAUACCCUAUCUUCUUUAUAAGAGCUUUGAUACAUGCAAAAUAUAUGAAAAAAACGUCCGAACAUAUAAUUUUCCCCCCGUAAUAUAGCAAAGAUCAUGAAAAGGCCCAAAAAAGUACAUUAAGGUCAAAAUUUGGCGUAGAAAAAAAACCAAUAGACAUAUUCCAUUGGCCUUCGUCAUUCAUUGGAGAGCUCUCUUUGGGCUUUCCGAAAAGGUAUCACAUGCCAAGUUUGGCCUCACGGUCUAAAAGUUAUAGAGUCAUACAUUUUUAACAAUACAAAAUAGAGAAAAACCGAAAAAAAGAGGGAUGCAACACGAGGACUUUCCGGGAGGUAAUCCAUCCUAGUACUACUCUCGCCCAAGCACCCUUAACUGCGGAGUUCUAAUGGAAUCCGGUGCAUUAGUGCUGGUAUGAUCGCAUCUGUUACUAUAUGCAAUGUAAUCGUAUCUAUUCUUUUUUAAAGACUUUAUGAUCCAUUUGCCGUGGGUCCCACCAGCUAUGUAGGAAUACCCUAUCUUCUUUAUAAGAGCUUUGAUAUAUGCAAAAUAUUGGAUUACCAUGUCCGAACAUAUAAUUUUUCCCGUGUAAUAUAGCAAAGAUCAAGAAAAAGCCAAAAAAGUACAUUUAGGUCAAAAUUUGAGUAGAAAAAAACAAAUAGAAGAAUUCCAUUUUCCUUCCUCAUUCACCGCAGAGCUCUCUUUGGGCUUUCCGAAAAGGUAUCAUAUGCCAAGUUUGGCCUCACGGUCUAAAAGUUAUAGAGUCUAACAUUUUUAACAAAACAAAAUAGAGAAAAACCGAAAAAAGAGGGAUGCAACACGAGGACUUUCCGGGAGGUCACCCAUCCUAGUACUACUCUCGCCCAAGGACCCUUAACUGCGGAGUUCUGAUGGGAUCCGUUGCAUUAGUGCUGGUAUGAUCGCAUGUGUUACUACAUGCAAUGUAAUCGUAUCUAUUCUUUCUUAAAGACUUUAUGAUCCAUUUGCCGUGCGUCCCACCAGCUAUGUAGGAAUACCCUAUCUUCUUUAUAAGAGCUUUGAUACAUGCAAAAUAUUGGAAAACAAUGUCCGAACAUAUAGUUUUCCCCCCGUAAUAUAGCAAAGAUCACGAAAAGGCCCGAAAAAGUACAUUUAGUUCAAAAUUUGGAGUAGAAAAAAAAACAAUAGAAGAAUUCCAUUUUCCUUCCUCAGUCAUCGGAGAGCUCUCUUUGGGCUUUCCGAAAAGGUNNNNNNNNNNNNNNNNNNNNNNNNNNNNNNNNNNNNNNNNNNNNNNNNNNGAGAAAAACCGAAAAAAGAGGGAUGCAACACGAGGACUUUCCGGGAGGUCACCCAUCCUAGUACUACUCUCGCCCAAGGACCCUUAACUGCGGAGUUCUGAUGGGAUCCGUUGCAUUAGUGCUGGUAUGAUCGCAUGUGUUACUACAUGCAAUGUAAUCGUAUCUAUUCUUUCUUAAAGACUUUAUGAUCCAUUUGCCGUGCGUCCCACCAGCUAUGUAGGAAUACCCUAUCUUCUUUAUAAGAGCUUUGAUACAUGCAAAAUAUUGGAAAACAAUGUCCGAACAUAUAGUUUUCCCCCCGUAAUAUAGCAAAGAUCACGAAAAGGCCCGAAAAAGUACAUUUAGUUCAAAAUUUGGAGUAGAAAAAAAAACAAUAGAAGAAUUCCAUUUUCCUUCCUCAGUCAUCGGAGAGCUCUCUUAGGGCUUUCCGAAAAGGUAUCACAUGCCAAGUUUGGCCUCACGGUAUAAACGUUAUAGAGUCAUACAUUUUUAACAAUACAAAAUAGAGAAAAACCGAAAAAAAGAGGGAUGCAACACGAAGACUUUCCGGGAGGUAAUCCAUCCUAGUACUACUCUUGCCAAAGCACCCUUAACUGCGGAGUUCUGAUGGAAUCUGGUGCAUUAGUGCUGGUAUGAUCGCAUGUGUUACUACAUGCAAUGUAAUCGUAUCUAUUCUUUUUUAAAGACUUUAUGAUCCAUUUGCCGUGGGUCCCACCAGCUAUGUACGAAUACCCUAUCUUCUUUAUAAGAGCUUUGAUACAUGCAAAAUAUAUGAAAAAAACGUCCGAACAUAUAAUUUUCCCCCCGUAAUAUAGCAAAGAUCAUGAAAAGGCCCAAAAAAGUACAUUAAGGUCAAAAUUUGGCGUAGAAAAAAAACCAAUAGACAUAUUCCAUUGGCCUUCGUCAUUCAUUGGAGAGCUCUCUUUGGGCUUUCCGAAAAGGUAUCACAUGCCAAGUUUGGCCUCACGGUCUAAAAGUUAUAGAGUCAUACAUUUUUAACAAUACAAAAUAGAGAAAAACCGAAAAAAAGAGGGAUGCAACACGAGGACUUUCCGGGAGGUAAUCCAUCCUAGUACUACUCUCGCCCAAGCACCCUUAACUGCGGAGUUCUAAUGGAAUCCGGUGCAUUAGUGCUGGUAUGAUCGCAUCUGUUACUAUAUGCAAUGUAAUCGUAUCUAUUCUUUUUUAAAGACUUUAUGAUCCAUUUGCCGUGGGUCCCACCAGCUAUGUAGGAAUACCCUAUCUUCUUUAUAAGAGCUUUGAUAUAUGCAAAAUAUUGGAUUACCAUGUCCGAACAUAUAAUUUUUCCCGUGUAAUAUAGCAAAGAUCAAGAAAAAGCCAAAAAAGUACAUUUAGGUCAAAAUUUGAGUAGAAAAAAACAAAUAGAAGAAUUCCAUUUUCCUUCCUCAUUCACCGCAGAGCUCUCUUUGGGCUUUCCGAAAAGGUAUCAUAUGCCAAGUUUGGCCUCACGGUCUAAAAGUUAUAGAGUCUAACAUUUUUAACAAAACAAAAUAGAGAAAAACCGAAAAAAGAGGGAUGCAACACGAGGACUUUCCGGGAGGUCACCCAUCCUAGUACUACUCUCGCCCAAGGACCCUUAACUGCGGAGUUCUGAUGGGAUCCGUUGCAUUAGUGCUGGUAUGAUCGCAUGUGUUACUACAUGCAAUGUAAUCGUAUCUAUUCUUUCUUAAAGACUUUAUGAUCCAUUUGCCGUGCGUCCCACCAGCUAUGUAGGAAUACCCUAUCUUCUUUAUAAGAGCUUUGAUACAUGCAAAAUAUUGGAAAACAAUGUCCGAACAUAUAGUUUUCCCCCCGUAAUAUAGCAAAGAUCACGAAAAGGCCCGAAAAAGUACAUUUAGUUCAAAAUUUGGAGUAGAAAAAAAAACAAUAGAAGAAUUCCAUUUUCCUUCCUCAGUCAUCGGAGAGCUCUCUUUGGGCUUUCCGAAAAGGUAUCACAUGCCAAGUUUGGCCUCACGGUCUAAACGUUAUAGAGUCAUACAUUUUUAACAAUACAAAAUAGAGAAAAACCGAAAAAAAGAGGGAUGCAACACGAAGACUUUCCGGGAGGUAAUCCAUCCUAGUACUACUCUUGCCAAAGCACCCUUAACUGCGGAGUUCUGAUGGAAUCUGGUGCAUUAGUGCUGGUAUGAUCGCAUGUGUUACUACAUGCAAUGUAAUCGUAUCUAUACUUUUUUAAAGACUUUAUGAUCCAUUUGCCGUGGGUCCCACCAGCUAUGUACGAAUACCCUAUCUUCUUUAUAAGAGCUUUGAUACAUGCAAAAUAUAUGAAAAAAACGUCCGAACAUAUAAUUUUCCCCCCGUAAUAUAGCAAAGAUCACGAAAAGGCUCGAAAAAUUACAUUUAGUUCAAAAUUUGGAGUAGAAAAACCCCAAUAGAAGAAUUCCAUUUUACUUCCUUAGUCAUCGGAGAGCUCUCUUUGGGCUUUCCGAAAAGGUAUCACAUGCCAAGUUUGGCCUCACGGUCUAAAAGUUAUAGAGUCAUACAUUUUUAACAAAACAUAAUAGAGAAAAACGGGAAAAAGAGGGAUGUAACACGAGGACUUUCCGGGAGGUCACCCAUCCUAGUACUACUCUUGCCCAAGCACCCUUAACUGCGGAGUUCUGAUGGGAUCCGGUGCAUUAGUGUUGGUAUGAUCGCAUGUGUUACUACAUGCAAUGUAAUCGUAUCUAUUCUUUUUAAAGACUUUAUGAUCCAUUUGCCGUGGGUCCCACCAGCUAUGUAGGAAUACCCUAUCUUCUUUAUAAGAGCUUUGAUACAUGCAAAAUAUUGGAAAACAAUGUCCGAACAUAUUAUUUUCCCCCCGUAAUAUAGCAAAGAUCACGAAAAGGCCCGAAAAUGUACAUUAAGUUCAAAAUUUGGAGUAGAAAAAAAAAACAAUAGAAGAAUUCCAUUUUCCUUCCUCAUUCAUCGGAGAGCUCUCUUUGGGCUUUCCGAAAAGGUAUAACAUUCCAAGUUUGGCCUCAUGGUCUCAAAGUUAUAAAGUCAUACAUUUUUCACAAAAAAAAAUAAAGAAAAACAAAAAAAAAAAAGAGGGAUGUAACACGAGGACUUUUUUGGGAGGUCACCCAUCCUAGUACUACUCUCGCCCAAGCACCCUUAACUGCGGAGUUCUGAUGGGAUCCGUUGCAUUAGUGCUGGUAUGAUCGCAUGUGUUACUACAUGCAAUGUAAUCGUAUCUAUUCUUUCUUAAAGACUUUAUGAUCCAUUUGCCGUGAGUCCCACCAGCUAUGUAGGAACACCCUAUCUUCUUUAUAAGAGCUUUGAUACAUGCAAAAUAUUGGAAAAAAACGUCCGAACAUAUAAUUUUCCCCACGUAAUAUAGCAAAGAUCACGAAAAGGCCCCAAAAAGUACAUUUAGUUCAAAAUUUGGAGUAGAAAAAAAAACAAUAGAAGAAUUCCAUUUUCCUUCCUCAGUCAUCGGAGAGCUCUCUUUGGGCUUUCCGAAAAGGUAUCACAUGCCAAGUUUGGCCUCACGGUCUAAACGUUAUAGAGUCAUACAUUUUUAACAAUACAAAAUAGAGAAAAACCGAAAAAAAGAGGGAUGCAACACGAAGACUUUCCGGGAGGUAAUCCAUCCUAGUACUACUCUUUCCAAAGCACCCUUAACUGCGGAGUUCUGAUGGAAUCUGGUGCAUUAGUGCUGGUAUGAUCGCAUGUGUUACUACAUGCAAUGUAAUCGUAUCUAUUCUUUUUUAAAGACUUUAUGAUCCAUUUGCCGUGGGUCCCACCAGCUAUGUACGAAUACCCUAUCUUCUUUAUAAGAGCUUUGAUACAUGCAAAAUAUAUGAAAAAAACGUCCGAACAUAUAAUUUUCCCCCCGUAAUAUAGCAAAGAUCACGAAAAGGCUCGAAAAAUUACAUUUAGUUCAAAAUUUGGAGUAGAAAAACCCCUAUAGAAGAAUUCCAUUUUCCUUCCUCAGUCAUCGGAGAGCUCUCUUUGGGCUUUCCGAAAAGGUAUCACAUGCCAAGUUUGGCCUCACAGUCUAAAAGUUAUAGAGUCAUACAUUUUUAACAAAACAAAAUUGAGAAAAACCGAAAAAAAGAGGGAUGCAACACGAGGACUCUCCAGAAGGUAACCCAUCUUAGUACUACUCUCGCCCAAGCACCCUUAACUGCGGAGUUCUGAUGGGACCCGGUGCAUUAGUGCUGGUAUGAUCGCAUGUGUUACUACAUGCAAUGUAAUCGUAUCUGUUCUUUUUUAAAGACUUUAUGAUCCAUUUGCCGUGGGUCCUACCAGCUAUGUAGGAAUACCCUACCUUCUUUAUAAGAGUUUUGAUACAUGCAUAAUAUUGGAAAACAAUGUCCGAAGAUAUAAUUUUCCCCCCGUAAUAUAGCAAAGAUCACGAAAAGGCCCGGAAGAGUACAUUAAGUUCAAAAUUUGGAGUAUAAAAAAAACCAAUAGAAGAAUUCCAUUUUACUUCCUUAGUCAUCGGAGAGCUCUCUUUGGGCUUUCCGAAAAGGUAUCACAUGCCAAGUUUGGCCUCACGGUCUAAAAGUUAUAGAGUCAAACAUUUUAAACAAAACAUAAUAGAGAAAAACGGGAAAAAAGAGGGAUGUAACACGAGGACUUUCCGGGAGGUCACCCAUCCUAGUACUACUCUUGCCCAAGCACCCUUAACUGCGGAGUUCUGAUGGGAUCCGGUGCAUUAGUGUUGGUAUGAUCGCAUGUGUUACUACAUGCAAUGUAAUCGUAUCUAUUCUUUUUAAAGACUUUAUGAUCCAUUUGCCGUGGGUCCCACCAGCUAUGUAGGAAUACCCUAUCUUCUUUAUAAGAGCUUUGAUACAUGCAAAAUAUUGGAAAACAAUGUCCGAACAUAUUAUUUUCCCCCCGUAAUAUAGCAAAGAUCACGAAAAGGCCCGAAAAUGUACAUUAAGUUCAAAAUUUGGAGUAGAAAAAAAAAACAAUAGAAGAAUUCCAUUUUCCUUCCUCAUUCAUCGGAGAGCUCUCUUUGGGCUUUCCGAAAAGGUAUAACAUUCCAAGUUUGGCCUCAUGGUCUCAAAGUUAUAAAGACAUACAUUUUUCACAAAAAAAAAUAAAGAAAAACCAAAAAAAAAAAAGAGGAAUGUAACACGAGGACUUUUUUGGGAGGUCACCCAUCCUAGUACUACUCUCGCCCAAGCACCCUUAACUGCGGAGUUCUGAUGGGAUCCGUUGCAUUAGUGCUGGUAUGAUCGCAUGUGUUACUACAUGCAAUGUAAUCGUAUCUAUUCUUUCUUAAAGACUUUAUGAUCCAUUUGCCGUGAGUCCCACCAGCUAUGUAGGAAUACCCUAUCUUCUUUAUAAGAGCUUUGAUACAUGCAAAAUAUUGGAAAAAAACGUCCGAACAUAUAGUUUUCCCCCCGUAAUAUAGUAAAGAUCACGAAAAGGCUCGAAAAAGUACAUUUAGUUCAAAAUUUGGAGUAGAAAAAAAAACAUUAGUAGAAUUCCAUUUCCCUUCCUCAGUCAUCGGAGAGCUCUCUCUGGGCUUUCCAAAAAGGUAUCACAUGCCAAGUUUGGCCUCACGGUCUAAAAGUUAUAGAGUCAUACAUUUUUAACAAUACAAAAUAGAGAAAAACCGAAAAAAAAGAGGGAUGCAACACGAGGACUUUCCGGGAGGUAAUCCAUCCUAGUACUACUCUCGCCUAAGCACCCUUAACUGCGGAGUUCUAAUGGAAUCCAGUGCAUUAGUGCGGGUAUGAUCGCAUGUGUUACUACAUGCAAUGUAAUCGUAUCUAUUCUUUUUUAAAGACUUUAUGAUCCAUUUGCCGUGGGUCCCACCAGCUAUGUAGGAAUACACUAUCUUCUUUAUAAGAGCUUUGAUAGAGGCAAAAUAUUGGAAAAAAACGUCCGAACAUAUAAUUUUCCCCACGUAAUAUAGCAAAGAUCACGAAAAUGCCCCAAAAAGUACAUUUAGUUCAAAAUUUGGAGUAGAAAAAAAAACAAUAGAAGAAUUACAUUUUCCUUCCUCACUCAUCGGAGAGCUCUCUUUGGGCUUUCCGAAAAGGUAUCACAUGCCAAGUUUGGUCUCACGGUCUAAGAGUUAUAGAGUCAUACAUUUUUAACAAUACAAAAUAGAGAAAAACCGAAAAAAAGAGGGAUGCAACACGAAGACUUUCCGGGAGGUAAUCCAUCCUAGUACUACUCUUGCCCAAGCACCCUUAACUGUGGAGUUCUGAUGGAAUCUGGUGCAUUAGUGCUGAUAUGAUCGCAUGUGUUACUACAUGCAAUGUAAUCGUAUCUAUUCUUUUUUAAAGACUUUAUGAUCCAUUUGCCGUGGGUCCCACCAGCUAUGUAGGAAUACCCUAUCUUCUUUAUAAGAGCUUUGAUACAUGCAAAAUAUAUGAAAAAAACGUCCGAACAUAUAAUUUUCCCCCCGUAAUAUAGCAAAGAUCACGAAAAGGCUCGAAAAAUUACAUUUAGUUCAAAAGUCCCCCGUAUGAUGUCAUUUGUUACUACAUGCAAUGCAAUCAUAUCUAUUCUUAUUUAAAGACUUUAUGAUCCAUUUGUCGUGGGUCCCACCUGUAGGAAUACCCUAUCUUGUUUAUAAAAGAUUUGAUACAUGCAAAAUACUCGAAAACAAUGUCCGAACAUAUAAUUUUCACCCCGUAAUAUAGCAAAGAUCACGAAAAGGCCCGAAAAAGUACAUUAAAGUCAAAAUUUGGAGUAGAAAAAAACCCAAUAGAAGUAUUCCAUUCUCCUUCGUCAUUCAUCGGAGAGCUCUCUUUAGGCUUUCCGAAAAGAUAUCACAUGCCAAGUUUGGCCUCACGGUUUAAAAGUUAUAGAGUCAUAGAUUUUUAACAAAACAAAAAGAGAAAAACCGAAAAAAAUUGGGAUGCAACACGAGGACUUUCCUGGAGGUCACCCAUCCUAGUACUACUCUCGCCCAAGCACCCUUAACUGCGUAGUUCUGAUGGGAUCCGAUGCUUUAGUGCUGGUAUGAUCGCAUCUGUUACUACAUGCAAUGUAAUCGUAUCUAUUCUUUUUUAAAGACUUUAUGAUCCAUUUGCCGUGGGUCCCACCAGCUAUGUAGGAAUACCCUAUCUUCUUUAUAAGAGCUUUGAUAAAUGCAAAAUAUUGGAAACCAAUGUCCGAACAUAUAAUUUCGCCCCCGUAAUAUAGCAAAGAUCACGAAAAAGCCCAAAAAAGUUCAUUUAGGUCAAAAUUUGAGCAGAAGAAAAAGAAAUAGAAGAAUUCCAUUUUCCUUCCUCAUUUAUUGGAGAGCUCUCUUUGGGCUUUCCGAAAAGGUAUCACAUGCCAAGUUUGGCCUCACGGUCUAAAAGUUAUAGAGUCAUACAUUUUUAACAAAAUGAAAUAGAGAAAAACCGAAAAAAAGAGGGAUGUAACACGAGGACUUUCCGGGAGGUAAUCUAUCCUACUACUACUCUCGGCCAAGCACCCUUAACUGCGGAGUUCUAAUGGGAUCCGGUGCAUUAGUGCUGGUAUGAUCGCAUGUGUUACUACAUGCAAUGUAAUCGUAUCUAUUCUUUUUUAAAGACUUUAUGAUCCAUUUGCCGUGGGUCCCACCAGCUAUGUAGGAAUACNNNNNNNNNNNNNNNNNNNNNNNNNNNNNNNNNNNNNNNNNNNNNNNNNNAUAUAAUGUUUGCCCCAAAAUAUAGCANAGACCACGAAAAUGCCAUAAAAAGUACAUUAAGGUCAAAAUUUGGAGUAGGAAAAAAAAUCAAUAGGAGAAUUCCAUUUUCCUUCCUCAUUCAUUGGAGAGCUCUCUUUGGGCAUUCCAAAAAGGUAUCACAUGCCAAGUUUGGCCUCACGGUCUAAAAGUUAUAGAGUAAUACAUUUUUAACAAAAAAAAAAGAGAAAAACCGAAAAAAAGAGGGAUGCAACACGAAGACUUUUCUGGAGGUCACCCAUCCUAGUACUACUCUCCCCCAAGCACGCUUAACUGUGGUGUUCUGAUAGGAUCAAGUGCAUUAGUGCUGGUAUGAUCGCAUCAGUUACUACAUGCAAUGCAAUCAUAUAUAUUCUUUUUUGAAGACUUUAUGAUCCAUUGUCGUAGGUCCCACCAGCUAUGUAGGAAUACCCUUUCUUGUUUAUAAGAGCUUUGAUACAUGCAAAAUAUUCGAAAACAAUGUCCGAACAUAUAAUUUUUGUCCCGUAAUAUAGCAAAGAUCACGAAAAGGCCAGAAAAAAUACAUUUCGGUCAAAAUUUGGAGUAGAAAAAAAGCCCUUCCUCAUUCAUUGGACAGCUCUCUUUGGGCUUUCCGAAAAGGUAUCACAUGCCAAGUUUGGCCUCACGGUCUAAACCUUAUAGACUCAUACAUUUUUCACAAAAAAAAGAAGAGAAAAGCCAAAAAAAAAGAGUGAUUAAACACGAGGACUUUCCUGGAGGUCACCCAUCCUAGUACUACUCUCGCCCAAGCACGCUUAACUGCGAAGUUCUGAUGGGAUCUGGUGCAUUAGUGCUGGUAUGAUCGCAUCUGUUACUACAUGCAAUGAAAUCGUAUCUAUUCUUUUUUGAAGAUUUUAUGAUUCAUUUACCGUGGGUCCCACCAGCUAUGUAGGAAUAACCUAUCUUAUUUAUAAGAUCUUUGAUACAUGCAAAAUAUUGGAAAACAAUGUCCGAACAUAUAAUGUUCGCCCCAAAAUAUAGCAAAGACCACAAAAAUGCCAUAAAAAGUACAUUAAGGUCAAAAUUUGGAGUAGGAAAAAAACCAAUAAGAGAAUUCCAUUUUCCUUCCCUCAUUCAUCGGAGAUCUCUCUUUGGGCAUUCCAAAAAGGUAUCACAUGCCAAGUUUGGCCUCACGGUCUAAAAGUUAUAGAGUAAUACAUUUUUAACAAAAAAAAAAGAGAAAAACCGAAAAAAAGAGGGAUGCAACACGAAGACUUUUCUGGAGGUCACCCAUCCUAGUACUACUCUCCCCCAAGCACGCUUAACUGUGGUGUUCUGAUAGGAUCAAGUGCAUUAGUGCUGGUAUGAUCGCAUCAGUUACUACAUGUAAUGCAAUCAUAUAUAUUCUUUUUUGAAGACUUUAUGAUCCAUUUGCCGUAGGUCCCACCAGCUAUGUAGGAAUACCCUAUCUCGUUUAUAAGAGCUUUGAUACAUGCAAAAUAUUCGAAAACAAUGUCCGAACAUAUAAUGUUUGCCCCAAAAUAUAGCAAAGACCACGAAAAUGCCAUAAAAAGUACAUUAAGGUCAAAAUUUGGAGUAGGAAAAAAAAUCAAUAGGAGAAUUCCAUUUUCCUUCCUCAUUCAUCGGAGAGCUCUCUUUGGGCAUUCCAAAAAGGUAUGACAUGCCAAGUUUGGCCUCACGGUCUAAAAGUUAUAGAGUAAUACAUUUUUAACAAAAAAAAAAGAGAAAAACCGAAAAAAAGAGGGAUGCAACACGAAGACUUUUCUGGAGGUCAUCCAUCCUAGUACUACUCUCCCCCAAGCACGCUUAACUGUGGUGUUCUGAUAGGAUCAAGUGCAUUAGUGCUGGUAUGAUCGCAUCAGUUACUACAUGCAAUGCAAUCAUAUAUAUUCUUUUUUGAAGACGUUAUGAUCCAUUUGCCGUAGGUCCCACCAGCUAUGUAGGAAUACCCUAUCUUGUUUAUAAGAGCUUUGAUACAUGCAAAAUAUUCGAAAACAAUGUCCGAACAUAUAAUUUUUGUCCCGUAAUAUAGCAAAGAUCACGAAAAGGCCAGAAAAAAUACAUUUUGGUCAAAAUUUGGAGUAGAAAAAAAACCCUUCCUCAUUCAUUGGACAGCUCUCUUUGGGCUUUCCGAAAAGGUAUCACAUGCCAAGUUUGGCCUCACGGUCUAAAAGUUAUAGAGUCAUACAUUUUUCACAAAAAAAAGAAGAGAAAAACCAAAAAAAAGAGUGAUGAAACACGAGGACUUUCCUGGAGGUCACCCAUCCUAGUACUACUCUCGCCCAAGCACGCUUCACUGCGAAGUUCUGAUGGGAUCUGGUGCAUUAGUGCUGGUAUGAUCGCAUCUGUUACUACAUGCAAUGCAAUCAUAUCUAUUCUUUUUUGAAGAUUUUAUGAUUCAUUUACCGUGGGUCCCACCAGCUAUGUAGGAAUAACCUAUCUUAUUUAUAAGAGCUUUGAUACAUGCAAAAUAUUGGAAAACAAUGUCCGAACAUAUAAUGUUCGCCCCAAAAUAUAGCAAAGACAACAAAAAUGCCAUAAAAAGAAAAUUAAGGUCAAAAUUUUGAGUAGGAAAAAAAUCAAUAAGAGAAUUCCAUUUUCCUUCCCUCAUUCAUCGGAGAUCUCUCUUUGGGCAUUCCAAAAAGGUAUCACAUGCCAAGUUUGGCCUCACGGUCUAAAAGUUAUAGAGUAAUACAUUUUUAACAAAAAAAGAAGAGAAAAACCGAAAAAAAGAGGGAUGCAACACGAAGACUUUUCUGGAGGUCACCCAUCCUAGUACUACUCUCCCCCAAGCACGCUUAACUGUGGUGUUCUGAUAGGAUCAAGUGCAUUAGUGCUGGUAUGAUCGCAUCAGUUACUACAUGUAAUGCAAUCAUAUAUAUUCUUUUUUGAAGACUUUAUGAUCCAUUUGCCGUACGUCCCACCAGCUAUGUAGGAAUACCCUAUCUCGUUUAUUAGAGCUUUGAUACAUGCAAAAUAUUCGAAAACAAUGUCCGAACAUAUAAUGUUUGCCCCAAAAUAUAGAAAAGACCACGAAAAUGCCAUAAAAAGUACAUUAAGGUCAAAAUUUGGAGUAGGAAAAAAAAUCAAUAGGAGAAUUCCAUUUUCCUUCCUCAUUCAUCGGAGAGCUCUCUUUGGGCAUUCCAUAAAGGUAUCACAUGCCAAGUUUGGCCUCACGGUCUAAAAGUUAUAGAGUAAUACAUUUUUAACAAAAAAAAAAGAGAAAAACCGAAAAAAAGAGGGAUGCAACACGAAGACUUUUCUGGAGGUCACCCAUCCUAGUACUACUCUCCCACAAGCACGCUUAACUGUGGUGUUCUGAUAGGAUCAAGUGCAUUAGUGCUGGUAUGAUCGCAUCAGUUACUACAUGUAAUGCAAUCAUAUAUAUUCUUUUUUGAAGACUUUAUGAUCCAUUUGCCGUAGGUCCCACCAGUUAUGUAGGAAUACCCUAUCUCGUUUAUAAGAGCUUUGAUACAUGCAAAAUAUUCGAAAACAAUGUCCGAACAUAUAAUGUUUGCCCCAAAAUAUAGCAAAGACCACGAAAAUGCCAUAAAAAGUACAUUAAGGUCAAAAUUUGGAGUAGGAAAAAAAAUCAAUAGGAGAAUUCCAUUUUCCUUCCUCAUUCAUGGGAGAGCUCUCUUUGGGCAUUCCAAAAAGGUAUCACAUGCCAAGUUUGGCCUCACGGUCUAAAAGUUAUAGAGUAAUACAUUUUUAACAAAAAAAAAAGAGAAAAACCGAAAAAAAGAGGGAUGCAACACGAAGACUUUUCUGGAGGUCACCCAUCCUAGUACUACUCUCCCCCAAGCACGCUUAACUGUGGUGUUCUGAUAGGAUCAAGUGCAUUAGUGCUGGUAUGAUCGCAUCAGUUACUACAUGCAAUGCAAUCAUAUAUAUUCUUUUUUGAAGACGUUAUGAUCCAUUUGCCGUAGGUCCCACCAGCUAUGUAGGAAUACCCUAUCCUGUUUAUAAGAGCUUUGAUAUAUGCAAAAUAUUCAAAAACAAUGUCCGAACAUAUAAUUUUUGUCCCGUAAUAUAGCAAAGAUCACGAAAAGGCCAGAAAAAAUAAAUUUCGGUCAAAAUUUGGAGUAGAAAAAAAACCCUUCCUCAUUCAUUGGACAGCUCUCUUUGGGCUUUCCGAAAAGGUAUCACAUGCCAAGUUUGGCCUCACGGUCUAAACCUUAUAGACUCAUACAUUUUUUACAAAAAAAAGAAGAGAAAAACCAAAAAAAAGAGUGAUUAAACACGAGGACUUUCCUGGAGGUCACCCAUCCUAGUACUACUCUCGCCCAAGCACGCUUAACUGCGAAGUUCUUAUGGGAUCUGGUGCAUUAGUGCUGGUAUGAUCGCAUCUGUUACUACAUGCAAUGCAAUUGUAUCUAUUCUUUUUUGAAGAUUUUAUGAUUCAUUUACCGUGGGUCCCACCAGCUAUGUAGGAAUAACCUAUCUGAUUUAUAAAAGCUUUGAUACAUGCAAAAUAUUCGAAAACAAUGUCCGAACAUAUAAUGUUCGCCCCAAAAUAUAGCAAAGACCGUAAAAAUGCCAUAAAAAGUACAUUAAGGUCAAAAUUUGGAGUAGGAAAAAAAAUCAAUAGGAGAAUUCCAUUUUCCUUCCCUCAUUCAUCGAAGAGCUCUCUUUGGGCAUUCCAAAAAGGUAUCACAUGCCAAGUUUGGCCUCACGGUCUAAAAGUUAUAGAGUAUUACAUUUUUAACAAAAAAAAAAGAGAAAAACCGAUAAAAAGAGGGAUGCAACACGAAGACUUUUCUGGAGGUCACCAAUCCUAGUACUACUCUCCCCCAAGCACGCUUAACUGUGGUGUUCUGAUAGGAUCAAGUGCAUUAGUGCUGGUAUGAUCGCAUCAGUUACUACAUGCAAUGCAAUCAUAUAUAUUCUGUUUUGAAGACUUUAUGAUCCAUUUGUCGUAGGUCCCACCAGCUAUGUAGGAAUACCCUUUCUUGUUUAUAAGAGCUUUGAUACAUGCAAAAUAUUCGAAAACAAUGUCCGAACAUAUAAUUUUUGUCCCGUAAUAUAGCAAAGAUCACGAAAAGGCCAGAAAAAAUACAUUUCGGUCAAAAUUUGGAGUAGAAAAAAAGCCCUUCCUCAUUCAUUGGACAGCUCUCUUUGGGCUUUCCGAAAAGGUAUCACAUGCCAAGUUUGGCCUCACGGUCUAAACCUUAUAGACUCAUACAUUUUUCACAAAAAAAAGAAGAGAAAAACCAAAAAAAAAGAGUGAUUAAACACGAGGACUUUCCUGGAGGUCACCCAUCCUAGUACUACUCUCGCCCAAGCACGCUUAACUGCGAAGUUCUGAUGGGAUCUGGUGCAUUAGUGCUGGUAUGAUCGCAUCUGUUACUACAUGCAAUGAAAUCGUAUCUAUUCUUUUUUGAAGAUUUUAUGAUUCAUUUACCGUGGGUCCCACCAGCUAUGUAGGAAUAACCUAUCUCGUUUAUAAGAGCUUUGAUACAUGCAAAAUAUUCGAAAACAAUGUCCGAACAUAUAAUGUUUGCCCCAAAAUAUAGAAAAGACCACGAAAAUGCCAUAAAAAGUACAUUAAGGUCAAAAUUUGGAGUAGGAAAAAAAAUCAAUAGGAGAAUUCCAUUUUCCUUCCUCAUUCAUCGGAGAGCUCUCUUUGGGCAUUCCAUAAAGGUAUCACAUGCCAAGUUUGGCCUCACGGUCUAAAAGUUAUAGAGUAAUACAUUUUUAACAAAAAAAAAAGAGAAAAACCGAAAAAAAGAGGGAUGCAACACGAAGACUUUUCUGGAGGUCACCCAUCCUAGUACUACUCUCCCACAAGCACGCUUAACUGUGGUGUUCUGAUAGGAUCAAGUGCAUUAGUGCUGGUAUGAUCGCAUCAGUUACUACAUGUAAUGCAAUCAUAUAUAUUCUUUUUUGAAGACUUUAUGAUCCAUUUGCCGUAGGUCCCACCAGUUAUGUAGGAAUACCCUAUCUCGUUUAUAAGAGCUUUGAUACAUGCAAAAUAUUCGAAAACAAUGUCCGAACAUAUAAUGUUUGCCCCAAAAUAUAGCAAAGACCACGAAAAUGCCAUAAAAAGUACAUUAAGGUCAAAAUUUGGAGUAGGAAAAAAAAUCAAUAGGAGAAUUCCAUUUUCCUUCCUCAUUCAUGGGAGAGCUCUCUUUGGGCAUUCCAAAAAGGUAUCACAUGCCAAGUUUGGCCUCACGGUCUAAAAGUUAUAGAGUAAUACAUUUUUAACAAAAAAAAAAGAGAAAAACCGAAAAGAAGAGGGAUGCAACACGAAGACUUUUCUGGAGGUCAUCCAUCCUAGUACUACUCUCGCCCAAGCACACUUAACUGCGGUGUUCUGAUAGGAUCAAGUGCAUUAGUGCUGGUAUGAUCGCAUCAGUUACUACAUGCAAUGCAAUCUUAUAUAUUCUUUUUUGAAGACUUUAUGAUCCAUUUGCCGUCGGUCCCACCAGCUAUGUAGGAAUACCCUAUCUUGUUUAUAAGAGCUUUGAUAUAUGCAAAAUAUUCAAAAAUAAUGUCCGAACAUAUAAUUUUUGUCCCGUAAUAUAGCAAAGAUCACGAAAAGGCCAGAAAAAAUAAAUUUCGGUCAAAAUUUGGAGUAGAAAAAAAACCCUUCCUCAUUCAUUGGACAGCUCUCUUUGGGCUUUCCGAAAAGGUAUCACAUGCCAAGUUUGGCCUCACGGUCUAAACCUUAUAGACUCAUACAUUUUUUACAAAAAAAAGAAGAGAAAAACCAAAAAAAAGAGUGAUUAAACACGAGGACUUUCCUGGAGGUCACCCAUCCUAGUACUACUUUCGCCCAAGCACGCUUAACUGCGAAGUUCUUAUGGGAUCUGGUGCAUUAGUGCUGGUAUGAUCGCAUCUGUUACUACAUGCAAUGCAAUUGUAUCUAUUCUUUUUUGAAGAUUUUAUGAUUCAUUUACCGUGGGUCCCACCAGCUAUGUAGGAAUAACCUAUCUGAUUUAUAAAAGCUUUGAUACAUGCAAAAUAUUCGAAAACAAUGUCCGAACAUAUAAUGUUCGCCCCAAAAUAUAGCAAAGACCGUAAAAAUGCCAUAAAAAGUACAUUAAGGUCAAAAUUUGGAGUAGGAAAAAAAUCAAUAGGAGAAUUCCAUUUUCCUUCCCUCAUUCAUCGGAGAGCUCUCUUUGGGCAUUCCAAAAAGGUAUCACAUGCCAAGUUUGGCCUCACGGUCUAAAAGUUAUAGAGUAUUACAUUUUUAACAAAAAAAAAAGAGAAAAGCCGAUAAAAAGAGGGAUGCUACACGAAGACUUUUCUGGAGGUCACCAAUCCUAGUACUACUCUCCCCCAAGCACGCUUAACUGUGGUGUUCUGAUAGGAUCAAGUGCAUUAGUGCUGGUAUGAUCGCAUCAGUUACUACAUGCAAUGCAAUCAUAUAUAUUCUGUUUUGAAGACUUUAUGAUCCAUUUGUCGUAGGUCCCACCAGCUAUGUAGGAAUACCCUUUCUUGUUUAUAAGAGCUUUGAUACAUGCAAAAUAUUCGAAAACAAUGUCCGAACAUAUAAUUUUUGUCCCGUAAUAUAGCAAAGAUCACGAAAAGGCCAGAAAAAAUACAUUUCGGUCAAAAUUUGGAGUAGAAAAAAAGCCCUUCCUCAUUCAUUGGACAGCUCUCUUUGGGCUUUCCGAAAAGGUAUCACAUGCCAAGUUUGGCCUCACGGUCUAAACCUUAUAGACUCAUACAUUUUUCACAAAAAAAAGAAGAGAAAAACCAAAAAAAAAGAGUGAUUAAACACGAGGACUUUCCUGGAGGUCACCCAUCCUAGUAAUACUCUCGCCCAAGCACGCUUAACUGCGAAGUUCUGAUGGGAUCUGGUGCAUUAGUGCUGGUAUGAUCGCAUCUAUUACUACAUGCAAUGAAAUCGUAUCUAUUCUUUUUUGAAGAUUUUAUGAUUCAUUUACCGUGGGUCCCACCAGCUAUGUAGGAAUAACCUAUCUUAUUUAUAAGAUCUUUGAUACAUGCAAAAUAUUGGAAAACAAUGUCCGAACAUAUAAUGUUCGCCCCAAAAUAUAGCAAAGACCACAAAAAUGCCAUAAAAAGUACAUUAAGGUCAAAAUUUGGAGUAGGAAAAAAACCAAUAAGAGAAUUCCAUUUUCCUUCCCUCAUUCAUCGGAGAUCUCUCUUUGGGCAUUCCAAAAAGGUAUCACAUGCCAAGUUUGGCCUCACGGUCUAAAAGUUAUAGAGUAAUACAUUUUUAACAAAAAAAAAAAGAGAAAAACCGAAAAAAAGAGGGAUGCAACACGAAGACUUUUCUGGAGGUCACCCAUCCUAGUACUACUCUCCCCCAAGCACGCUUAACUGUGGUGUUCUGAUAGGAUCAAGUGCAUUAGUGCUGGUAUGAUCGCAUCAGUUACUACAUGUAAUGCAAUCAUAUAUAUUCUUUUUUGAAGACUUUAUGAUCCAUGUGCCGUAGGUCCCACCAGCUAUGUAGGAAUACCCUAUCUCAUUUAUAAGAGCUUUGAUACAUGCAAAAUAUUCGAAAACAAUGUCCGAACAUAUAAUGUUUGCCCCAAAAUAUAGCAAAGACCACGAAAAUGCCAUAAAAAGUACAUUAAGGUCAAAAUUUGGAGUAGGAAAAAAAAUCAAUAGGAGAAUUCCAUUUUCCUUCCUCAUUCAUCGGAGAGCUCUCUUUGGGCAUUCCAAAAAGGUAUCACAUGGCAAGUUUGGCCUCACGGUCUAAAAGUUAUAGAGUAAUACAUUUUUAACAAAAAAAAAAGAGAAAAACCGAAAAAAAGAGGGAUGCAACACGAAGACUUUUCUGGAGGUCACCCAUCCUAGUACUACUCUCCCCCAAGCACGCUUAACUGUGGUGUUCUGAUAGGAUCAAGUGCAUUAGUGCUGGUAUGAUCGCAUCAGUUACUACAUGCAAUGCAAUCAUAUAUAUUCUUUUUUGAAGACGUUAUGAUCCAUUUGCCGUAGGUCCCACCAGCUAUGUAGGAACACCCUAUCUUGUUUAUAAGAGCUUUGAUACAUGCAAAAUAUUCGAAAACAAUGUCCGAACAUAUAAUUUUUGUCCCGUAAUAUAGCAAAGAUCACGAAAAGGCCAGAAAAAAUACAUUUCGGUCAAAAUUUGGAGUAGAAAAAAAACCCUUCCUCAUUCAUUGGACAGCUCUCUUUGGGCUUUCCGAAAAGGUAUCACAUGCCAAGUUUGGCCUCACGGUCUAAAAGUUAUAGAGUCAUACAUUUUUCACAAAAAAAGCAAGAGAAAAACAAAAAAAAAGAGUGAUGAAACACGAGGACUUUCCUGGAGGUCACCCAUCCUAGUACUACUCUCGCCCAAGCACGCUUAACUGCGAAGUUCUGAUGGGAUCUGGUGCAUUAGUGCUGGUAUGAUCGCAUCUGUUACUACAUGCAAUGCAAUCGUAUAUAUUCUUUUUUGAAGACUUUAUGAUCCAUUUGUCGUAGGUCCCACCAGUUAUGUAGGAAUACCCUAUCUCGUUUAUAAGAGCUUUGAUACAUGCAAAAUAUUCGAAAACAAUGUCCGAACAUAUAAUGUUUGCCCCAAAAUAUAGCAAAGACCACGAAAAUGCCAUAAAAAGUACAUUAAGGUCAAAAUUUGGAGUAGGAAAAAAAAUCAAUAGGAGAAUUCCAUUUUCCUUCCUCAUUCAUUGGAGAGCUCUCUUUGGGCAUUCCAAAAAGGUAUCACAUGCCAAGUUUGGCCUCACGGUCUAAAAGUUAUAGAGUAAUACAUUUUUAACAAAAAAAAAAGAGAAAAACCGAAAAAAAGAGNNNNNNNNNNNNNNNNNNNNNNNNNNNNNNNNNNNNNNNNNNNNNNNNNNUCAUACAUUUUUAACAAAACAAAUAGAGAAAAACCGAAAAAAAGAAUGAUACAACACAAGGACUUUCCGGGAGGUCACCCAUCCUAAUACUAUUCUCGCCCAAGCAAGCUUAACUGCAGAGUAUUGAUGGGAUCUGAUGCAUAAGGGCUGAUAUGAUCGCAUCCGUUACUACAAGCAAUGCAAUCGUAUCUAUUCGUUUUUGAAGACUUUAUGAUCCAUUUGCCGUGGGUCCCACCAGCUAUGUAGGAAUACCCUAUCUUGUUUAUAAGAGCUUUGAUACAUGCAAAAAAUUGGAAAACAAUGUCUGAACAUAUAAUUUUUGUCCCGUAAUAUAGCAAAGAUCACGAAAAGGAUAGAAAAAGUACAUUAAGGUCAAAAUUUUGAGUAGAAAAAAAAUCAAUAGAAGGAUUCCAAUUUCCUUCCUCAUUCAUAUAGCUCUCUUUGGGCUUUCCGAAAAGGUAUCACAUGCAAAGUUUGGCCUCGCGGUCUAAAAGUUAUAGAGGUAUACAUUUUUACCAAAAAAAAGAGGGAUUCAACACGAGGACUUUCUGGGAGGUCACUCAUCCUAUUACUACUCUCGCCCAAGCACACUUAACUGCGGAGUUCUGAUAGGAUCCAGUGCAUUAGUGCGGGUAUGAUCACAUCCGUUACUACAUGCAAUGCAAUCGUAUAUAUUUUUUUUGAAGACUUUAUGAUCCAUUUGCCGUGGGUCUCACCAGCUAUGUAGGAAUACCCUAUCUUGUUUGUAAGAGCUUUGAUACAUGCAAAAUAUUCGAAAACAAUGUCAGAACGUAUGCUUUUUGCCCCGUAAUAUAGCAUAGAUCAUGAAAAGGCCAGAAAAAGUACAUUAAGGUCAAAAUUUUGAGUAGAAAAAAAAACAAUAGAAAAAUUCCAUUGUCCUUCCUCAUUCAUCGGAGAGUUCUCUUUGGGCUUUCCGAAAAGGUAUCACAUGCCAAGUUUGGCCUCACGGUCUAAAACUUAUAGAAUCAUACAUUCUUAACAAAAAAAAAAGAGAAAAACCGAAAAAAAGAAGAAUGCAACACAAGGACUUUCCAUGAGGUCAACCAUCCUAGUACUACUCUCGCCCAAUCACGCUUAACUGCAGAGUUUUGAUGGGAUCCGGUGCAUUAGUGCUGGUAUGAUCGCAUCUGUUACUACAUGCAAUGCAAUCGUAUCUAUUCUUUUUUGAAGACUUUAUGAUCCAUUUGUCGUGGGUCCCACCAACUAUGUAAGAAUACCCUAUCUUGUUUAUAAGAGCUUUGAUACAUGCAAAAUAUUCGAAAACAAUGUCAGAACGUAUGCUUUUUGCCCCGUAAUAUAGCAUAGAUCAUGAAAAGGCCAGAAAAAGUACAUUAAGGUCAAAAUUUUGAGUAGAAAAAAAAACAAUAGAAAAAUUCCAUUGUCCUUCCUCAUUCAUCGGAGAGUUCUCUUUGGGCUUUCCGAAAAGGUAUCACAUGCCAAGUUUGGCCUCACGGUCUAAAAUUUAUAGAGUCAUACAUUUUUAACAAAAAAAAAAGAGAAAAACCGAAAAAAGAGGGAUGGAACACAAGGACUUUCCGGGAGGUCACCCAUUCUAGUACUACUCUCACCCAAGCGCGCUUAACUGUGGAGUUCUGAUGGGAUCCAGUGCAUUAGUGAUGGUAUGAUCGCAUCCGUUACUACAUGCAAUGCAAUAAUAUCUUUUCUUCUUGAAGACUUUAUGAUCCAUUUGUCGUGGGUCCCACCAGCUAUGUAGGAAUACCCUAUCUUGUUUAUAAGAGCUUUGAUACAUGCAAAAUAUUCAAAAACAAUGUCCGAACAUAUAAUUUUCGCCCCGUAAUAUAGCAAAGAUCGCGAAAACGCCAAAAGAGUACAUUAAGGUCAAAAUUUGGAGUAGAAAAAAAACCCAAUAGAAGAAUUCCAUUUUCCUUCAUCAUUCACCAGAGAGCUCUCUUUUGGCUUUUUGAAAAGGUAUCACAUGCCAAGUUUGGCCUCACGGUCUAAAAGUUAUAGAGUCAUUCAUUUUAAAAAAAAAAAUAGAGAAAAACCAAAAAAAAAAAGAGGGAUGAAACACGAGGACUUUCCGGGAGGUCACCCAUCCUAGUACUACUCUCGCCCAAGCACACUUAACUGCGGAGUUCUUAUGGGAUCUGGUGCAUUAGUGCUGCUAUGAUCGCAUCCGUUACUACAUGCAAUGCAAUCGUAUCUAUUCUUUUUUGAAGACUUUAUGAUCCAUUUGCUGUGGGUCCUGAUAUGUCUAUAAUUUACAUCUUUUCAGUGUCCAUUCAUCACCGUUUUGAGUCCAGUUUUGUAUCAUUCAUCGCUGUUUUAUAUCAUUUCUCAUCAUUCUUGCAUACUUUGCAUGAUUAGGAUAGUUUUGCAUACAUAUUGCAUUUCUAAGUUGUUUUCAGGUGAUUUGGAGCUGUUUGCGAGCAAAUUGGAAGAAACGAGCCAGAACCAGAAGACAUACUCGACCACCAGGUCGUGUGCAUCCAGCACCAUACUCGACCCCCUGGUCGAGUGACUUUGGAGCCAUUCUUCCCAUCUACUCGACCCCCUAGUCGAGUAUCCUCAGCUCAGGCUACUCGAUGACGCCAUCGACCCCCUGGUCGAGUAUCACUUCGCCACACCACCUGACCACACUCGGCCAUUCACUCUACCAAGUUAGUCGACCCCCUGGUCGAGUAUCAUCACUCACCACCAUCACCAUCACUCGACCGGACACUCGAUCACGUCUUCACAGUCUACUCAAAUCCGCACUCAACCAGACAAGCUGAGCACAAGGAAGAGAAGAGGAGAAGACAAAGUGUUUGGAAGCGGCCUGGACCUCCAUCGGAUCACAAAGCCCAUCUCGGCCCAUUAUCACUCUAUUGGUCGGGCGAUUAGGUUAUUGGCCCGUCUACUAUCAUUUUGUUUUGUAUAAAUAGAUGUCUUAGGGUUCUUUCCUGAGACAUCUAGUCGACAUUGAGUUUUUGUUUCAGUUUUAUUUUCUAUUUUACUCUUCUGCGCCGCUUUUGCUUCUACAACCUAUAAUUCGAGAUUUUUCCAAGUUAUUCAGAUUCUGCAUUUGAUUUUAUCUAUCAUCCUGUUUCUCUACUCUUUAUCUCUUUACUUAUGCAAUAUUAUCAUUUAUCUGCGUUUAUGUCUUUGAGCAUGUUGUCUGAGUAGUGACAUAGAAUUCUUAGGGAUGGGAUAGAGUAGUUGUGGAAUCCGUAGUCUGUAGAAUGGUUAAGUUUUAGAAUUGAUUGAAUCCCUUCAGGACUAGUUGCGUUUACUGCUUAUUUCUUUCUGAUCAACUGGAAUUCGAUCCCAAGCAUUCUCGCACCCAGAAGGUGUUCGAUGGAAUGCUUGAUCCACUAGUUCCUGAGAUAUUCGUCUCUAUCCCAAGGGAUUGGGCGUUUAGAGCGUUUAUUGACUUUAUCAGUCUGUUCUUAUUGCCUGCAUAGUUAGAUUGCGUUAAUGGGAAUUAGUCUGGGCUAGCUUUGCUUGAGGAUUUCUAUCACAGAAGUGAAUUGAUUUGUUGUUGAACCUAUUGUCUAGGGAUAGCUUGAUUGCGCUUGUUAACCAUUCGAAUAUGCUAGGAUAUGAUAAGGUCUGACCCUAUCGAAGACAAGAAAAAGACUAAGAGUGAUAAAAUAACAAGAUAAUAGGAAAUGCACCUUGAACGGCGGAGAGUGUAGAUGAGAGAGAGAAUUUCAAGAUUAAUGUUGUUGAUUGUUUAUUUUGAUAACAAAACCCUAAAAGGGAAGGUUCCUUAAAUAGCAUCUACUGAGACUCAAUACAAAACGCAGCAUUUCGAUAACCCAAAAGUAAAACGACACAGUUGGCGAGCUGUCUUUCUGUGCCGAGCUGGCGAGCUGUCUUUCUGUGCCUUAGCCACUUUUAAAUAGAAGCUUCCUCAGGAACUUCUCACGAGCUCUGCCUUUCCUUCCAUUUGAUUUCGCCCUUCUUCUCACACCAGCCAACGUCACCUGUAACCUAUCAAUGCUCCCGCGCAGAAGACUGACCUUGUCCUCAAGGUCGAAGUCCGGGUACUGCUGCACCAAAGUGAGGAGCGGCUCCCAAGUUGAUUCCAAGGUUGAUAAUCCAGACCACUGUACCAGCACCUCUGGUCCUGAAUUUGUGUUGCUCUGUCGGAUAUCUAGCAGCUUCUCAGGUCCUGUGUUCCAUUCCAGUGUGGGUGAUAGUAUCUUGGGAAGUUCCUGCGGGGUGAAUGACGGAGGUACAGCCCUUUUCAGUUGAGAGACAUGGAACACCGGGUGAAUUGUGCUGUGUUCGGGUAGUUGGAGCUUGUAAGCGACCUGACCUAUGCGGUGCAGCACUUUAAAUGGACCGAAGUAGCGCUGGGACAGCUUUUCAUUCUUCCUAUGAGCCACAGAACUUUGCCUAUAAGGACGCAGCUUCAAGUAAACCCAUUCAUCAAUUUCAAACGCUACAUCACGUCGACUUUUAUCAGCAGCCUUUUUCAUUUGAGCUUGAGCUAUCUCCAAGUUCUCUCUUAAUUCAACCAGCAUUCCAUCCUUAUCCUUAAGUAACUCCUCUACAUUCGCAUUAUUGGUUGGAAUAUCGCCAUACCUGAGCAGAACUGGUGGUUCUCUACCAUAGACUGCUUGAAAGGGAGUGGUUUUGGUGGCUGAAUGGUACGAGGUGUUGUACCAGUAUUCUGCCCAAGGUAACCACUGAAACCACGAUGUAGGCCUCCUCCCUGCAAAGCAUCGCAAAUAAGACUCAAGACAUCUGUUAACAACCUCGGUCUGCCCAUCAGUUUGUGGGUGAUAGGCUGUACUCUUCUGUAGCCCCGUGCCCUGCAGCUUAAACAACUCAGACCAGAAUCCGCUCAGGAAAAUCCUGUCCCUGUCCGAAACCAGUGUGUUUGGGAAGCCAUGUAGCUUGACUACAUCUCUUAUGAAGGCCUCAACUACAGUCUUGGCAGUGAAUGGAUGUUUAAGUGGAAUGAAAUGACUAUACUUACUUAAUCUAUCCACCACUACCAAUAUACAGUUAAACCUGUUAGAGCUUGGCAACCCUUCUACAAAGUCCAAGCUGACAUCACUCCAAAUCUGUUGUGGAAUAGGGAGAGGUGAUAGUAAACCGGCUGGAGAGAGGGUAGAGUAUUUAUUCUCUUGACAGAUUUGGCAUCCCUUGAUGUAGUUAACCACGUCUUUCCGCAACCCUCUCCAGUAUACUUCACUUGUGAGUCGUUUGAAUGUCUUAAGGGCACCUUCAUGACCUCCAAUAGGACUGGUGUGGAACUUCUCUAGCAUCUUUGGAAUGAAGGGAGAUCCUACAGGAAUUACCAAACAGCCUUUUCUGUAAAUCAAGCCAUCUGCCACAGUGAAGUCAGAAUCAUGGUGGUCCCCUUGUGCCCAGUUCUUAAGUAUCUGGCUCAACUCAUGAUCCUGCUGAAUUUCUGCCUUUAGUGCAGUCAAGUCGAUAGUAGGAGGACCAGUUAUAGUGAGCUGUGAGAGAGCCUCAGUUGGAGGUCUCCUUGAGAGUGCAUCAGCUACCUUAUUGUCAACUCCUGGUUUAUAUUCGAUCCUAUACUUCAGUCCACUCAACUUAGACGCCCAUCUCUGCUGUAUUGUGGACACCGACUUCUGUUCCAACAAAUGUCUGAGGCUGCGUUGAUCUGUCUUGAUAAUGAAUUCUUUACUUGAUAGGUAAUGCUUCCACUUUGUGACAGCUUUCACUAUGGCUAACAGUUCACGUUCAUAAACUGACCUUAUUCUGCCUUGACUGGAGAAGGCUUGGCUGAGAAAUGCAAUAAGCCUCUUAUUCUGUGACAGUACUGCUCCAAUCCCCAUCCCUGAUGCAUCCGUUUCCACAGUAAACUCCUGCUGGAAAUCUGGUAACACUAGCACAGGUAGUGCUGAAACAGCUGCUUUGAGAGCCUGAAAUGCAGAAGUAGCUGCCUCAUUCCAAUCAAAACUGUUCUUUUUUAACUGAUCUCUGAGUGGUCUGGCGAUUUGGCCGUAAUUCUUGACAAAUCGGCGAUAGUAGCCAGUGAAUCCUAGGAAGCCUCUUAACUCAGUCACAGAUUUAGGUAAAGGCCACUGGAGCAUUGCUUCCACCUUUUCUGGAUCUGUUGCGACUCCUUGCUCAGAGAUAAUGUGUCCCAAAUAUGAGAUCCUAGUGCUUCCAAAUGUGCACUUUUUAAAAUUGGCAUAGAACUGAUGAAGAUGCAGUAGCUGUAAGACGGUUUCCAAAUGCUUCAAAUGUGUCUUCAUAUCAGGACUAUAAACUAGUAUAUCAUCGAAGAAAACCAAGACGAACUUUCGCAAGUAUGGCCUGAAUAGGUCAUUCAUGACGCUUUGAAAGGUGGAGGGGGCGUUGGUCAAGCCAAAUGGCAUUACCAGAAAUUCAUAAUGGCCCUCAUGUGUCUUGAAGGCAGUCUUCUCCACAUCACUCAGUUUCAUCCUUAUCUGGAAAUAGCCUGAUUUAAGAUCCAACUUUGAAAACACUGUGGCUCCUUUCAGUUCAUCCAAUAGCUCUUCUAUAACAGGAAUCGGAUACUUAUCGGGUAUUGUAGCUUCAUUCAAUGCUCGAUAAUCAACGCAGAAGCGCCAUCCUCCAUCUUUCUUUUUCACUAGGAGAACUGGACUUGAAUAUGGACUCACGCUAGGUCUUAUAAUCUGAGCAUUCAACAUUUCACGCACAAGCUUCUCUAUCUCAUUCUUUUGAGCAAAAGAAUACCUGUAUGGUCGGAUAUUGACUGGUGAAGACCCUUCUUGUAAGGUAAUGGCGUGUUCUCUGUUGCGAACUGGUGGCAAUAGCUGUGGAGUUUGAAAAACCCCUUGGUACUGAUCCAAAAGCCUCUGGAUUGCAGGCUGCAAGGCUGUUUGCUCUUCCUGUUUCUUGCUUUCAAACAAAGAUGCUAGUUCCAAGAGAUAUGCAGUUCCAGUGUAUUUGAUAACUCUUUCCAUAGACCUCAUCGAAAUUUGUCCUCUACAUAGAUCCGGGUCGCCGUAUAAGGAUACCCAUGUGCGACCUAUCUGCCAACUGAUCCUCAAAUCUCUCCAGUUGGCUCUUGUUUCUCCUAGUCCUGCCAACCAAGAAAAUCCCAGAACCAAAUCCAAAUCUCCCAAGUCAAAUAAGUAGUAGUCUUGUACAAACUCAAUUCCUUGGACCUCUAGUGGUAUAUCGACACACUUCCCACUACUUUUGAUGAUUCUGCCUCCACCAACUUUAACUCCAAAACUGCGAGUUUGAGUCACUAACCAUCCUUUCUCUCUUACCAAAGCCUCACUAAUGAAGUUGCAAGUUGCUCCUGAAUCAACCAAUAACACCACUUUGGUGUUGCCAAUGUAUCCCCUCAUUUUCAUUGACUGCUCUUGAGACUCAUCAUUCAAGGAGCUGAGUGUCAUUACCUUGAAACCUUCUGCAGGUUCUGGAUCCCCUUCUUCUUCUGUCAGUGGUUCAUUCAACUCUUCAAUUAGAGGACUCUCCUCUUCAACCUCUUCUGUUAUGGCUAGACCCUUGAGCUUUUGUGGUUUGCAUUUAUGGCCUUGAAACCAUCUAUCUCCACAGUAGCGGCACGGGUUUGAGUUCCUGGCUUCCCCACUGCCUGAAGCACGAGUUGUAUCCCUACUAGGAAUGAAGGGUUGUCUCGUUGGAGCACGGUCUACCACUCUAGAUCCUGUGGAGACCUGAUUGUUGAAUGGAGCUGUGUUGGUUCUAGCUUGAUUUCGCACUUGGUAACUAACAGCAUUCCGCUCUUGUGACUCAAUGAGUUUAGCUAUCUCAACAAUAUCUGCAAGAUUCACUGGCCUACAGCGAACUACCUGGUCUCGAAGACUUCUUCUCAGUCCAUUGAGGAAUGCAGAUUCCAAUAUGUCAGAUGUGACAUGGGGUAAGUCGACUGUGAGCUCUUCAAAACGUUCUCUGUAUUCCUCCACGGUUCCUGUUUGUCUCACGUUGAGGAGAUGAUCCACAGCAGAACUGCCUCUGCUUGGUCGAAAACGUAACAUGAACUUUUCUUGAAAUUCCCUCCAGGUAUAGAUUUGUUCUCUGUCCUUAGAGCAGCGCCACCAUGUAACUGAUGCUCCUGUUAAACAAGACACAGCCUUUUCCAGUUUUUCUUCCUCUAGGGUGCGAUUGGAUAAGAAGCACUGUUCUAGCCGGAACAACCAAUCGUCGGCAUUGCCUCCUUCAUAAGCCGGAUAAUCCACAGUCCUACGCGGGGCUGCUUCAAACCGAGGUUGAUGUGGCGCAGAUUGAGGCGGAAACGUUUGUGUUUGGAAGGUUGGAGUAGUCUGAAACCCCGUGGAAGGAUUAGAUGGAAAACCUGAAGAUGAUGGAAGACCCGUGGAGGCAUUCAGCUGAAACCCUGGUGGUUCUAAUGGUGACGAGUGAAAGCGACGCGGUUCGAAGGGUGAAGCUGGAAGUCGAGGUAUCUCUGAAGUCGACGCCUGGUAUCGCGACUGGUCAAAGAGUAAGGGCCGAGGGUGUGUGUCCCGUUGAUUUGUGCCGGAAAACAGAGUCUCUCUGUUCUGUACCUCCAAGUGUUGAGGAUGAGAGGUGUAGACUGGUAACGCCGGAGCUGGAGAAGAAAAACGGACUCCUCUAUUCGGUCCUUCCAGAUGUUGUGGGUANNNNNNNNNNNNNNNNNNNNNNNNNNNNNNNNNNNNNNNNNNNNNNNNNNNNNNNNNNNNNNNNNNNNNNNNNNNNNNNNNNNNNNNNNNNNNNNNNNNNAGCUCUCUUUGGGCUUUCCGAAAAGGUAUCACAUGCCAAGUUUGGCUUCACGGUCUAAACCUUAUAGACUCAUACAUUUUUCACAAAAAAAAGAAGAGAAAAACAAAAAAAAAGAGUGAUUAAACACGAGGACUUUCCUGGAGGUCACCCAUCCUAGUACUACUCUCGCCCAAGCACUCUUAACUGCGAAGUUCUGAUGGGAUCUGGUGCAUUAGUGCUGGUAUGAACGCAUCUGUUACUACAUGCAAUGCAAUCGUAUGUAUUCUUUUUUGAAGAUUUUAUGAUUCAUUUACCGUGGGUCCCACCAGCUAUGUAGGAAUAACCUAUCUUAUUUAUAAAAGCUUUGAUACAUGCAAAAUAUUCGAAAACAAUGUCCGAACAUAUAAUGUUCGCCCCAAAAUAUAGCAAAGACCACAAAAAUGCCAUAAAAAGUACAUUAAGGUCAAAAUUUGGAGUAGGAAAAAAAUCAAUAGGAGAAUUCCAUUUUCCUUCCCUCAUUCAUCGGAGAGCUCUCUUUGGGCAUUCCAAAAAGGUAUCACAUGCCAAGUUUGGCCUCACGGUCUAAAAGUUAUAGAGUAUUACAUUUUUAACAAAAAAAAAAAGAGAAAAACCGAAAAAAAGAGGGAUGCAACACGAAGACUUUUCUGGAGGUCACCCAUCCUAGUACUACUCUCCCCCAAGCACGCUUAACUGUGGUGUUCUGAUAGGAUCAAGUGCAUUAGUGCUGGUAUGAUCGCAUCAGUUACUACAUGCAAUGCAAUCAUAUAUAUUCUUUUUUGAAGACUUUAUGAUCCAUUUGCCGUAGGUCCCACCAGCUAUGUAGGAAUACCCUAUCUUGUUUAUAAGAGCUUUGAUACAUGCAAAAUAUUCGAAAACAAUGUCCGAACAUAUAAUUUUUGUCCCGUAAUAUAGCAAAGAUCACGAAAAGGUCAGAAAAAAUAUAUUUCGGUCAAAAUUUGGAGUAGAAAAAAAGCCCUUCCUCAUUCAUUGGACAGCUCUCUUUGGGCUUUCCGAAAAGGUAUCACAUGCCAAGUUUGGCCUCACGGUCUAAACCUUAUAGACUCAUACAUUUUUCAUAAAAAAAAGAAGAGAAAAACAAAAAAAAAAAGAGUGAUUAAACACGAGGACUUUCCUGGAGGUCACCCAUCCUAGUACUACUCUCGCCCAAGCACGCUUAACUACGAAGUUCCGAUGGGAUCUGAUGCAUUAGUGCUGGUAUGAUCGCAUCUGUUACUACAUGCAAUGCAAUCGUAUCUAUUCUUUUUUGAAGAUUUUAUGAUUCAUUUACUGUGGGUCCCACCAGCUAUGUAGGAAUAACCUAUCUUAUUUAUAAAAGCUUUGAUACAUGCAAAAUAUUGGAAAACAAUGUCCGAACAUAUAAUGUUCGCCCCAAAAUAUAGCAAAGACCACAAAAAUGCCAUAAAAAGUACAUUAAGGUCAAAAUUUGGAGUAGGAAAAAAAUCAAUAGGAGAAUUCCAUUUUCCUUCCCUCAUUCAUCGGAGAGCUCUCUUUGGGCAUUCCAAAAAGGUAUCACAUGCCAAGUUUGGCCUCACGGUCUAAAAGUUAUAGAGUAAUACAUUUUUAACAAAAAAAAAAAAGAAAAAAACCGAAAACAAAGAGGGAUGCAACACGAAGACUUUCCUGGAGGUCACCCAUCCUAGUACUACUCUCACCCAAGCACACUUAACUGUGGUGUUCUGAUAGGAUCAAGUGCAUUAGUGCUGGUAUGAUCGCAUCAGUUACUACAUGCAAUGCAAUCGUAUCUAUUAUUUUUUGAAGACUUUAUGAUCCAUUUGCCGUGGGUCCCACCAGCUAUGUAGGAAUACCCUAUCUUGUUUAUAAGAGCUUUGAUACAUCCAAAAUAUUCGAAAACAAUGUUGGAACGUAUAAGUUUUGCCCAGUAAUAUAGCAAAGAUCACGAAAAGGCCACAAAAAGUACAUUAAGGUAAAAAUUUAGAGUAGGAAACAAAAACAAUAGGAGAAUUCCAUUUUCCUUCCUCAAUCAUCGGAGAGUUCUUUUUGGGCUUUCCAAAAAGGUAUCACAUGCCAAGUUUGGCCUCACGGUCUAAAAGUUAUAGAGUAAUACAUUUUUAACAAAAAAAAAAAGAAAAAAACCGAAAACAAAGAGGGAUGCAACACGAAGACUUUCCUGGAGGUCACCUAUCCUAGUACUACUCUCGCCCAAGCACACUUAACUGUGGUGUUCUGAUAGGAUCAAGUGCAUUAGUGCUGGUAUGAUCGCAUCAGUUACUACAUGCAAUGCAAUCGUAUCUAUUAUUUUUUGAAGACUUUAUGAUCCAUUUGCCGUGGGUCCCACCAGCUAUGUAGGAAUACCCAAUCUUGUUUAUAAGAGCUUUGAUACAUCCAAAAUAUUCGAAAACAAUGUUGGAACGUAUAAGUUUUGCCCAGUAAUAUAGCAAAGAUCACGAAAAGGCCACAAAAAGUACAUUAAGGUAAAAAUUUAGAGUAGGAAACAAAAACAAUAGGAGAAUUCCAUUUUCCUUCCUCAAUCAUCGGAGAGUUCUUUUUGGGCUUUCCAAAAAGGUAUCACAUGCCAAGUUUGGCCUCACGGUCUAAAAGUUAUAGAGUCAUACAUUUUUAACAAAAAAGAGGGAUUUAACACGAGGACUUUCCGAGAGGUAACCCAUCCUAGUAGUACACUCGCCCAAGCACCCUUAACUACGGAGUUCUAAUGGGAUACGGUGCAUUAGUGCUCGUAUGAUCGCAUGUGUUACUACAUGCAAUGUAAUCGUAUCUAUUCUUUUUUAAAGACUUUAUGAUCCAUUUGCCGUGGGUCCCACCAGCUAUGUAGGAAUAUCCUAUAUUCUUUAUAAGAGCUUUGAUACAUGCAAAAUAUUCGAAAACAAUGUCCGAACAUAUAAUUUCCCCCCCGUAAUAUAGCAAAGAUCACGAAAAGGCCCAAAAAAGUACAUUAAGUUUAAAAUUUGGAGUAGAAAAAAAACCAAUAGAAAAAUUCCAUUUUCCUUCCUCAGUCAUCGAAGAGCUCUCUUUGGGCUUUCUGAAAAGGUAUCACAUGCCAAGUUUGGCCUCACGGUCUAAAAGUUAUAGAGUCAUACAUUUUUAACAAAACAAAAAGAGAAAAACCGAAAAAAACAGGGAUGCAACACGAGGACUUUCCUGGAGGUCUCCCAUCCUAGUACUACUCUCGCCCAAGCACCCUUAACUGCGUAGUUCUGAUGGGAUCCGAUGCAUUAGUGCUGGUAUGAUCGCAUCUGUUACUACAUGCAAUGUAAUCGUAUCUAUUCUUUUUUAAAGACUUUAUGAUCCAUUUGCCGUGGGUCCCACCAGCUAUGUAGGAAUACCCUAUCUUCUUAAUAAGAGCCUUGAUAAAUGCAAAAUAUUGGAAAACAAUGUCCGAACAUAUAAUGCCCCCCCCCCCGUAAUAUAGCAAAGAUCACGAAAAUGCCCAAAAAAGUACAUUUAGGUCAAAAUUUGAGUAGAAAAAAAAACAAUAGAAGAAUUCCAUUUUCCUUCCUCAUUUAUCGGAGAGCUCUCUUUGGGCUUUCCGAAAAGGUAUCACAUGACAAGUUUGGCCUCACGGUCUAAAAGAUAUAGAGUCAUACAUUAUUAACAAAACAAAAUAGAGAAAAACCGAAAAAAAAGAGGGAUGCAACGCGAGGACUUUCCGGGAGGUAAUCUAUCCUAGUACUACUCUCGCCCAAGCACCCUUACCUGCGGAGUUCUGAUGGGAUCCGGUGCAGUAGUGCUGGUAUGAUCGCAUGUGUUACUACAUGCAAUGCAAUCAUAUAUAUUCUUUUUUGAAGACUUUAUGAUCCAUUUGCCGUAGGUCCCACCAGCUAUGUAGGAAUACCCUAUCUUGUUUAUAAGAGCUUUGAUACAUGCAAAAUAUUCGAAAACAAUGUCCGAACAUAUAAUUUUUGUCCCGUAAUAUAGCAAAGAUCACGAAAAGGCCAGAAAAAAUACAUUUCGGUCAAAAUUUGGAGUAGAAAAAAACCCCUUCCUCAUUCAUUGGACAGCUCUCUUUGGGCUUUCCGAAAAGGUAUCACAUGCCAAGUUUGGUCUCACGGUUUAAAAGUUAUAGAGUCAUACAUUUUUCACAAAAAAAAGAAGAGAAAAAACAAAAAAAAGAGUGAUGAAACACGAGGACUUUCCUAGAGGUCACCCAUCCUAGUACUACUCUCGCCCAAGCACGCGUAACUGCGAAGUUCUGAUGGGAUCUGGUGCAUUAGUGCUGGUAUGAUCGCAUCUGUUACUACAUGCAAUGCAAUCGUAUCUAUUCUUUUUUGAAGAUUUUAUGAUCCAUUUGCAGUGGGUCCCACCAGCUAUGUAGGAAUACCCUAUCUUGUUUAUAAGAGCUUUGAUACAUGCAAAAUCUUCGAAAACAAUGUCCGAACAUAUAAUUUUCGCCCCGUAAUAUAGCAAAGAUCACGAAAAUGCCAAAAUAGUACAUUAAGGUCAAAAUUUGGAGUAGGAAAAAAAACCCUUCAUCAUUCAUUGGAGAGCUCUCUCUGGGCUUUCCGAAAAGGUAUCACAUGCCAAGUUUGGCCUCACGGUCUAAAAGUUAUAAAGUCAUACAUUUUUAACAAAAAAAAAAGAGAAAAACCGAAAAAAAGAGUUAUGUAACACGAGGACUUUCCUGGAGGUCACCCGUCCUAGUACUACUCUCGCCCAAACACGCUUAACUGUGGUGUUCUGAUAGGAUCAAGUGCAUUAGUGCUGGUAUGAUCGCAUCAGUUACUACAUGCAAUGCAAUCAUAUAUAUUCUUUUUUGAAAACUUUAUGAUCCAUUUGCCGUAGGUCCCACCAGCUAUGUCGGAAUACCCUAUCUUGUUUAUAAGAGCUUUGAUACAUGCAAAAUAUUCGAAAACAAUGUCCGAACAUAUAAUUUUUGUCCCGUAAUAUAGCAAAGAUCACGAAAAGGCCAAAAAAAAUACAUUUCGGUCAAAAUUUGGAGUAGAAAAAAACCCCUUCCUCAUUCAUUCGACAACUCUCUUUGGGCUUUCCGAAAAGGUAUCACAUGCCAAGUUUGGUCUCACGGUCUAAAAGUUAUAGAGUCAUACAUUUUUCACAAAAAAAAGAAGAGAAAAAACCAAAAAANAGAGUGAUGAAACACGAGGACUUUCCUGGAGGUCACUCAUGCUAGUACUACUCUCGCCCAAGCACGCUUAACUGCGAAGUUCUGAUGGGAUCNNNNNNNNNNNNNNNNNNNNNNNNNNNNNNNNNNNNNNNNNNNNNNNNNNNNNNNNNNNNNNNNNNNNNNNNNNNNNNNNNNNNNNNNNNNNNNNNNNNNUUAUGAUCCAUUUGCCGUGGGUCCCACCAGCUAUGUAGGAAUACCCUAUCUUCUUUAUAAGAGCUUUGAUACAUGGAAAAUAUUGGAAAACAAUGUCCGAACAUAUAAUUUCCCCCCCGUAAUAUAGCAAAGAUCACGAAAAGGCCCGAAAAAGUACAUUUAGUUUAAAAUUUGGAGUAGAAAAAAAAACAAUAGAAAAAAUCCAAUUUCCUCCCUCGUUCAUCGGAGAGCUCUCUUUGGGCUUUCCAAAAAGGUAUCACAAGACAAGUUUGGCCUCACCGUCUAAAAGUUAUAGAGUCAUACAUUUUUAACAAAACAAAAUAGAGAAAAACGGAAAAAAGAGGGAUGCAACAUGAGGACUUUCCGGGAGGUCACCCAUCCUAGUACUACUCUCGUCCAAGGACCCUUAACUGCGAAGUUCUGAUGGGAUCCGUUGCAUUAGUGCUGGUAUGAUCGCAUGUGUUACUACAUGCAAUGUAAUCGUAUCUAUUCUUUUUUAAAGACUUUAUGAUCCAUUUGCCGUGGGUCCCACCAGCUAUGUAGGAAAACCCAAUCUUCUUUAUAAGAGCUUUGAUACAUGCAAAAUAUUGGAAAACAAUGUCCGAACAUAUAAUUUUCCCCCAUAAUAUAGCAAAGAUCACGAAAAGGCCCGAAAAAGUACAUUUAGUUCAAAAUUUGGAGUAGAAAAAAAGGCAGUAAAAGAAUUCCAUUUUCCUUCCUCAGUGAUCGGAGAGCUCUCUUUGGACUUUCCGAAAAGGUAUCACAUGCCAAGUUUGGCCUCACGGUCUAAAAGUUAUAGAGUCAUACAUUUUUAACAAAACAAAAUAGAGAAAAACGGAAAAAAGAGGGAUGCAACACGAGGACUUUCCGGGAGGUCACCCAUCCUAGUACUACUUUCGCCCAAGCACCCUUAACUGCGGAGUUCUGAUGGGAUCCGGUGCAUUAGUGCUGGUAUGAUCGCAUGUGUUACUACAUGCAAUGUAAUCAUAUUUCUUGUUAUUUAAAGAUUUUAUGAUCCAUUUGCCGUGGGUCCCACCAGCUAUGUAGGAAUACCUUAUCUUCUUUAUAGGAGCUUUGAUACAUGCAAAAUAUUGGAAAACAAUAUCCGAACAUAUAUCUUUCCCCCCGUAAUAUAGCAAAGAUCGCGAAAAGGCCCGAAAAAGUACAUUUAGGUCAAAAUUUGGAGUAGAAAAAAAAAGCAAUAGAAGAAUUCCAUUUUCCUUCCUCAGUCAUCGGAGAGCUCUCUUUGGGCUUUCCGAAAAGGUAUCACAUGCCAAGUUUGGCCUCAUGGUCUAAAAGUUAUAGAGCCAUACAUUUUUAACAAAACAAAAUAGAGAAAAACCAAAAAAAGAGAGGGAUGCAACACGAGGACUUUCCGGGAGGUCACCCAUCCUAGUACUACUCUCGCCCAAGCACCCUUAACUGCGGAGUUCUGAUGGGAUCCAGUGCAUUAGUGCUGGUAUGAUCGCAUGUGUUACUACAUGCAAUGUAAUCGUAUCUAUUCUUUUUUAAAGAUUAUAUGAUCCAUUUGCCGUGGGUCCCACCAGCUAUGUAGGAAUACCCUAUCUUCUUUAUAAGAGCUUUGAUACAUGCAAAAUAUUGGAAAACAAUGUCCGAACAUAUAAUUUUCCCCCCGUAAUAUAGCAAAGAUCACGAAAAGGCCCAAAAAAGUACAUUUAGGUCAAAAUUUGGAGUUGAAAAAAAACAAAAAGAAGAAUUCCAUUUUCCUUCCUCAUUCAUUGGAGAGCUCUCUUUGGGCUUUCCGAAAAGGUAUCACAUGCCAUGUUUAGCCUCACGGUCUAAAAGUUAUAGAGUCAUACAUUUUUAACAAAACAAAAUAGAGAAAAACCAAAAAAACGAGGGAUGCAACACGAGGACUUUCUGGGAAGUCACCUAUCCUAGUACUACUCUCGCCCAAGCACCCUUAACUGCGGAGUUCUGAUGGGAUCCGGUGCAUUAGUGCUGGUAUGAUUGCAUGUGUUACUACAUGCAAUGUAAUCGUAUCUAAUGCUUUUAAAGACUUUAUGAUCCAUUUGCCGUGGGUCCCCACAAGCUAAGUAGGAAUACCCUAUCUUCUUUAUAAGAGUUUUCAUACAUGCAAAAUAUGGAAAACAAUGUCCGAACAUAUAUUUUCCCCCCGUAAUAUAGCAAAGAUCACGAAAAGGCCCACAAAAAGUACAUUUAGUUCAAAAUUUGGAGUAGAAAAAAAAACAAUAGAAAAGUUCCAAUUUCNNNNNNNNNNNNNNNNNNNNNNNNNNNNNNNNNNNNNNNNNNNNNNNNNNGGGUCCCACCAGCUACGUAGGAAUACCCUAUCUUGUUUAUAAGAGCUUUGAUACAUGCAAAAUAUUCGAAAACAAUGUCCGAACAUAUAAUUUUCGUCCCGUAAUAUAGCAAAGAUCACAAAAAGGCCAGAAAGAGUACAUUUACGUCAAAAUUUGGAUAGAAAAAAAACGAAUAGAAGAAUUCCAUUUUGACUUCCUCAUUCAUCGGAAAGCUCUCUUUGGGCUUUCCGAAAAGGUAUCACAUGCCAAGUUUGGAAUCACGGUUUAAAAGUUAUAGAGUCAUACAUUUUUAACAAAAAAUAAAGAGAAAACCCGAAAAAUGAGGGAUGCAACACGAGGACUUUUCGGGAGGUCACCCAUCGUAGUACUACUCUCGCCCAAGCACGCUUAACUGUAGAGUUCUGAUGGGAUCCGGUUCAUUAUUGCUGGUAUGAUCGCAUCCGUUACUACAUGCAAUGCAAUCGUAUCUAUUCUUUUUUGAAGACUUUAUGAUCCAUUUGCCGUGGGUCCCACCAGCUAUGUUGGAAUACCCUAUCUUGUUUAUAAGAGCUUUGUUACAUGCAAAAUAUUCGAAAACAAUGUCCGAACAUAUAAUAUUUGCCCCGUAAUAUAGCAAAGAUCACGAAAAGGCCAGAAAACCUAUAUUAAGUUCAAAAUUUGGAGUAGAAAAAAACCAAUAGAAGAAUUCCAUUUUCCUUCCUCACUCAUCGGAGAGCUCUCUUUGGGGCUUUCCGAAAAGGUAUCACAUGCAAAGUUUGGCCUCACAGGCUAAAAGUUAUAGAGUCGUACAUUUUUAACAAAAAAAAAAAGAGAAAAGCCGAAAAAAAGAAGGAUGCAACACAAGGACUUUCCGGGAGGUCAGCCAUCCUAAUAUUACUCUCGCCCAAGCACGCUUAACUGUAGAGUUCUGAUGGGAUCCGGUGCAUUAGUGCUGGUAUGAUCGCAUCUGUUACUACAUGCAAUGCAAUCGUAUCUAUUCUUUUUUUAAGACUUUAUGAUCCAUUUACCGUGGGUCCCACCAGCUACGUAGGAAUAACCUAUCUUAUUUAUAAGAGCUUUGAUACAUGCAAAAUAUUCGAAAACAAUGUCCGAACAUAUAAUUUUCGUCCCGUAAUAUAGCAAAGAUCACAAAAAGGCCAGAAAGAGUACAUUAAGGUCAAAAUUUUGGAGUAGAAAAAAAAACCCUUCCUCAUUCAUUAAAGAGCUCUCUUUGGCAUUUCCGAAAAGGUGUCACAUGCCAAGUUCGGCCUCACGGUCUAAAAGUUAUAGAGUCAUACAUUGUUAACAAAAAAAAAGAGAAAAACCGAUUAAAAGAGUUAUGCAACACAAGGACUUUCCUGGAGGUCACCCGUCCUAGUACUACUCUCGCCCAAGCACGCUUAAAUGCGGAGUUCUGAUGGGAUCCGGUCCAUGAGUGGUGGUAUGAUCACAUCCGUUACUACAUGCAAUGCAAUCGUAUCUAUUAUUUUUUGAAGACUUUAUGAUCCAUUUGCCGUGGGUCCCACCAGCUAUGUAGGAAUACCCUAUCUUGUUUAUAAGAGCUUUGAUACAUCCAAAAUAUUCGAAAACAAUGUUGGAACGUAUAAGUUUCGCUCAGUAAUAUAGCAAAGAUCACGAAAAGGCCACAAAAAGUACAUUAAGGUAAAAAUUUAGAGUAGGAAAAAAAAACAAUAGGAGAAUUCCAUGUUCCUUCCUCAAUCAUCGGAGAGCUCUCUUUGGGCUUUCCAAAAAGGUAUCACAUGCCAAGUUUGGCCUCACGGUCUAAAAGUUAUAGAGUCAUACAUUUUUAACAAAAAAAAAUAGAGAAAAACCAAAAAAAAGAGGGAUGCAACACGAAGACUUUCCUGGAGGUCACCCAUCCUAGUACUACUCUCGCCCAAGCACGCUUAACUGCGGUGUUCUGAUAGGAUCAAGUGCAUUAGUGCUGGUAGGAUCGCAUUCGUUACUACAUGCAAUGCAAUUAUAUAUAUUCUUUUUUGAAGACUUUAUGAUCCAUUUGCGGUAGGUCCCACCAGCUAUGUAGGAAUACCCUAUCUUGCUUAUAAGAGUUUUGAUACAUGCAAAAAUAUUCGAAAACAAUGUCCGAACAUAUAAUUUUUGUCCCGUAAUAUAACAAAGAUCACGAAAAGGCCAAAAAUAGUACAUUUCGGUCAAAACAUGGAGCAGAAAAAAAACCCCUUCCUCAUUCAUCGGAGAGCUCUCAUUGGGCUUUCCGAAAAGAUAUCACAUGCAAAGUUUGGCCUCACGGUUUAAAAGUUAUAGAGUCAAAUAUUUUUAACAAAAAAAAGAGAGAAAAACCGAAAACAAAGAGGGAUGCAACACGAGGACUUUCCGGAAGGUCACCCAUCCUAGUACUACUCUAGCCCAAGCACGCUUAACCGCGGAGUUCUGAUAGGAUCCGGUGCAUUAGUGCUGGUAUGAUCGCAUCAGUUACUACAUGCAAUGCAAUCAUAUAUAUUUUUUUUGAAGACUUUAUGAUCCAUUUGCCGUGGGUCCCACCAGCUAUGUAGGAAUACCUAUCUUGUUUAUAAGAGCUUUGAUACAUGCAAAAUAUUUGAAAACAAUGUCCGAACGUAUAAUCUUCGUCCCGUAAUAUAGCAAAGAUCACGAAAAGGCCAGAAAAAGUACAUUAAGGUCAAAAUUUUGACUAGAAAAAAAAAACAAUAGAAAAAUUCCAUUGUCCUUCCUCAUUCAUCGGAGAGUUCUCUUUGGGCUUUCCGAAAAGGUAUCACAUGCCAAGUUUGGCCUCACGGUCUAAAACUUAUAGAAUCAUACAUUCUUAACAAAAAAAAAAAAAAAACCGAAAAAAAGAAGAAUGCAACACAAGGACUUUCCAGGAGGUCAACCAUCCUAGUAGUACUCUCGCCCAAUCACGCUUAACUGCAGAGUUCUGAUGGGAUCCGGUGCAUUAGUGCUGGUAUGAUCGCAUCUGUUACUACAUGCAAUGCAAUCGUAUCUAUUCUUUUUUGAAGACUUUAUGAUCCAUUUGCCGUGGGUCCCACCAGCUAUGUAGGAAUACCUUAUCUUGUUUAUAAGAGCUUUGAUACAUGCAAAAUAUUCGAAUACAAUGUCUGAACGUAUAACUUUCGCCCCGUAAUAUAGCGAAGAUCACGAAAAGGCCCGAAAAAGUACAUUAAGGUCAAAAUUUCGAGUAGAAAUAAAAACCAAUAGAAGAAUUCCAAUUUCCUUCCUCAUUCAUUGGAGAGCUCUCUUUGGGCUUUCCGAAAAGGUAUCACAUGCGAAGUUUCGCCUCACAAUCUAAAAGUUAUAUAGUCAUACAUUUUUAACAAAACAAAUAGAGAAAAACCGAAAAAAAGAAUGAUACAACACAACGACUUUCCCGGAGGUCACCCAUCCUAAUACUAUUCUCGCCCAAGCAAGCUUAACUGCAGAGUAUUGAUGGGAUCUGAUGCAUAAGUGCUGAUAUGAUCGCAUCCGUUACUACAUGCAAUGCAAUCGUAUCUAUUCGUUUUUGAAGACUUUAUGAUCCAUUUGCCGUGGGUCCCACCAGCUAUGUAGGAAUACCCUAUCUUGUUUAUAAGAGCUUUGAUACAUGCAAAAAAUUGGAAAACAAUGUCUGAACAUAUAAUUUUUGUCCCGUAAUAUAGCAAAGAUCACGAAAAGGAUAGAAAAAGUACAUUAAGGUCAAAAUUUUGAGUAGAAAAAAAAUCAAUAGAAGGAUUCCAAUUUCCUUGCUCAUUCAUAUAGCUCUCUUUGGGCUUUCCGAAAAGGUAUCACAUGCAAAGUUUGGCCUCGCGGUCUAAAAGUUAUAGAGGUAUACUUUUUUACCAAAAAAAAAGAAGAAAAAAACCAAAAAAAAGAGGGAUUCAACACGAGGACUUUCUGGGAGGUCACUCAUCCUAUUACUACUCUCGCCCAAGCACGCUUAACUGCGGAGUUCUGAUAGGAUCCAGUGCAUUAGUGCGGGUAUGAUCACAUCCGUUACUACAUGCAAUGCAAUCGUAUAUAUUUUUUUUGAAGACUUUAUGAUCCAUUUGCCGUGGGUCUCACCAGCUAUAUAGGAAUACCCUAUCUUGUUUAUAAGAGCUUUGAUACAUGCAAAAUAUUUGAAAACAAUGUCCGAACGUAUAAUCUUCGUCCCGUAAUAUAGCAAAGAUCACUAAAAGGCUAGAAAAAGUACAUUAAGAUCAAAAUUUUGAGUAGAAAAAUAAACAAUAGAAAAAUUCCAUUGUCCUUCCUCAUUCAUCGGAGAGUUCUCUUUGGGCUUUCCGAAAAGGUAUCACAUGCCAAGUUUGGCCUCACGGUCUAAAACUUAUAGAAUCAUACAUUCUUAACAAAAAAAAAAGAGAAAAACCGAAAAAAAGAAGAAUUUAACACAAGGACUUUCCAGGAGGUCAACCAUCCUAGUAGUACUCUCGCCCAAUCACGCUUAACUGCAGAGUUCUGAUGGGAUCCGGUGCAUUAGUGCUGGUAUGAUCGCAUCUGUUACUACAUGCAAUGCAAUCGUAUCUGUUACUACAUGCAAUGCAAUCGUAUCUGUUACUACAUGCAAUGCAAUCGUAUCUAUUCUUUUUUGAAGACUUUAUGAUCCAUUUGCCGUGGGUCCCACCAGCUAUGUAGGAAUACCCUAUCUUGUUUAUAAGAGCUUUGAUACAUGCAAAAUAUUCGAAUACAAUGUCUAAACGUAUAAGUUUCGCCCCGUAAUAUAGCGAAGAUCACGAAAAGGCCCGAAAAAGUACAUUAAGGUCAAAAUUUGGAGUAGAAAUAAAAACCAAUAGAAGAAUUCCAAUUUCCUUCCUCAUUCAUUGGAGAGCUCUCUUUGGGCUUUCCGAAAAGGUAUCACAUGCGAAGUUUGGCCUCACAAUCUAAAAGUUAUAUAGUCAUACAUUUUUAACAAAACAAAUAGAGAAAAACCGAAAAAAAGAAUGAUACAACACAAGGACUUUCCGGGAGGUCACCCAUCCUAAUACUAUUCUCGCCCAAGCAAGCUUAACUGCAGAGUAUUGAUGGGAUCUGAUGCAUAAGGGCUGAUAUGAUCGCAUCCGUUACUACAAGCAAUGCAAUCGUAUCUAUUCGUUUUUGAAGACUUUAUGAUCCAUUUGCCGUGGGUCCCACCAGCUAUGUAGGAAUACCCUAUCUUGUUUAUAAGAGCUUUGAUACAUGCAAAAAAUUGGAAAACAAUGUCUGAACAUAUAAUUUUUGUCCCGUAAUAUAGCAAAGAUCACGAAAAGGAUAGAAAAAGUACAUUAAGGUCAAAAUUUUGAGUAGAAAAAAAAUCAAUAGAAGGAUUCCAAUUUCCUUCCUCAUUCAUAUAGCUCUCUUUGGGCUUUCCGAAAAGGUAUCACAUGCAAAGUUUGGCCCCGCGGUCUAAAAGUUAUAGAGGUAUACAUUUUUACCAAAAAAAAGAGGGAUUCAACACGAGGACUUUUUUNNNNNNNNNNNNNNNNNNNNNNNNNNNNNNNNNNNNNNNNNNNNNNNNNNUGCUGGUAUGAUCGCAUCAGUUACUACAUGCAAUGCAAUCAUAUAUAUUCUUUUUUGAAGACUUUAUGAUCCAUUUGCCGUAGGUCCCACCAGCUAUGUAGGAAUACCCUAUCUUGUUUAUAAGAGCUUUGAUACAUGCAAAAUAUUCGAAAACAAUGUCCGAACAUAUAAUUUUUGUCCCGUAAUAUAGCAAAGAUCACGAAAAGGCCAGAAAAAAUACAUUUCGGUCAAAAUUUGGAGUAGAAAAAAAGCCCUUCCUCAUUCAUUGGACAGCUCUCUUUGGGCUUUCCGAAAAGGUAUCACAUGCCAAGUUUGGCCUCACGGUCUAAACCUUAUAGACUCAUACAUUUUUCACAAAAAAAAGAAGAGAAAAACCAAAAAAAAGAGUGAUUAAACACGAGGAUUUUCCUGGAGGUCACCCAUCCUAGUACUACUCUCGCCCAAGCACGCUUAACUGCGAAGGUCUGAUGGGAUAUGGUGCAUUAGUGCUGGUAUGAUCGCAUCUGUUACUACAUGCAAUGCAAUCGUAUCUAUUCUUUUUUGAAGAUUUGAUGAUUCAUUUACCGUGGGUCCCACCAGCUAUGUAGGAAUAACCUAUCUUAUUUAUAAAAGCUUUGAUACAUGCAAAAUAUUCGAAAACAAUGUCCGAACAUAUAAUGUUCGCCCCAAAAUAUAGCAAAGACCACAAAAAUGCCAUAAAAAGUACAUUAAGGUCAAAAUUUGGAGUAGGAAAAAAAUCAAUAGGAGAAUUCCAUUUUCCUUCCCUCAUUCAUCAGAGAGCUCUCUUUGGGCAUUCCAAAAAGGUAUCACAUGCCAAGUUUGGCCUCACGGUCUAAAAGUUAUAGAGUAUUACAUUUUUAACAAAAAAAAAAGGGAAAAACCGAAAAAGAGGGAUGCAACACGAAGACUUUUCUGGAGGUCACCCAUUCUAGUACUACUCUCCCCCAAGCACGCUUAACUGUGGUGUUCUAAUAGGAUCAAGUGCAUUAGUGCUGGUAUGAUCGCAUCAGUUACUACAUGCAAUGCAAUCAUAUAUAUUCUUUUUUGAAGACUUUAUGAUCCAUUUGCCGUAGGUCCCACCAGCUAUGUAGGAAUACCCUAUCUUGUUUAUAAGAGCUUUGAUACAUGCAAAAUAUUCGAAAACAAUGUCCGAACAUAUAAUUUUUGUCCCGUAAUAUAGCAAAGAUCACGAAAAGGCCAGAAAAAAUACAUUUCGGUCAAAAUUUGGAGUAGAAAAAAAGCCCUUCCUCAUUCAUUGGACAGCUCUCUUUGGGCUUUCCGAAAAGGUAUCAUAUGCCAAGUUUGGCCUCACGGUCUAAACCUUAUAGACUCAUACAUUUUUCACAAAAAAAAGAAGAGAAAAACCAAAAAAAAGAGUGAUUAAACACGAGGACUUUCCUGGAGGUCAUCCAUCCUAGUACUACUCUCGCCCAAGCACGCUUAAUUGCGAAGUUCUGAUGGGAUCUGGUGCAUUAGUGCUGGUAUGAUCGCAUAUGUUACUACAUGCAAUGCAAUCGUAUCUAUUCUUUUUUGAAGAUUUUAUGAUUCAUUUACCGUGGGUACCACCAGCUAUGUAGGAAUAACCUAUCUUAUUUAUAAGAGCUUUGAUACAUGCAAAAUAUUCGAAAACAAUGUCCGAACAUAUAAUUUUUGUCCCGUAAUAUAGCAAAGAUCACGAAAAGGCCAGAAAAAAUACAUUUCGGUCAAAAUUUGGAGUAGAAAAAAACCCUUCCUCAUUCAUUGGACAGCUCUGUUUGAGCUUUCCGAAAAGGUAUCACAUGCCAAGUUUGGCCUCACGGUCUAAAAGUUAUAGAGUCAUACAUUUUUCACAAAAAAAAGAAGAGAAAAACCAAAAAAAAGAGUGAUGAAACACGAGGACUUUCCUGGAGGUCACCCAUCCUAGUACUACUCUCGCCCAAGCACGCGUAACUGCGAAGUUCUGAUGGGAUCUGGUGCAUUAGUGCUGGUAUGAUCGCAUCUGUUACUACAUGCAAUGCAAUCGUAUCUAUUCUUUUUUGAAGAUUUUAUGAUUCAUUUACCGUGGGUCCCACCAGCUAUGUAGGAAUAACCUAUCUUAUUUAUAAGAGCUUUGAUACAUGCAAAAUAUUGGAAAACAAUGUCCGAACAUAUAAUGUUCGCCCCAAAAUAUAGCAAAGACAACAAAAAUCCCAUAAAAAGUACAUUAAGGUCAAAAUUUGGAGUAGGAAAAAAAUCAAUAAGAGAAUUCCAUUUUCCUUCCCUCAUUCAUCGGAGAGGUCUCUUUGGGCAUUCCAAAAAGGUAUCACAUGCCAAGUUUGGCCUCACGGUCUAAAAGUUAUAGAGUAAUACAUUUUUAACAAAAAAAAAAGAGAAAAACCGAAAAAAAGAGGGAUGCAACACGAAGACUUUUCUGGAGGUCACCCAUCCUAGUACUACUCUCCCAAAGCACGCUUAACUGUGGUGUUCUGAUAGGAUCAAGUGCAUUAGUGCGGGUAUGAUCGCAUCAGUUACUACAUGCAAUGCAAUCAUAUAUAUUCUUUUUUGAAGACUUUAUGAUCCAUUUGCCGUAGGUCCCACCAGCUAUGUAGGAAUACCCUAUCUUGUUUAUAAGAGCUUUGAUACAUGCAAAAUAUUCGAAAACAAUGUCCGAACAUAUAAUUUUUGUCCCGUAAUAUAGCAAAGAUCACGAAAAGGCCAGGAAAAAUACAUUUCGGUCAAAAUUUGGAGUAGAAAAAAAACCCUUCCUCAUUCAUUGGACAGCUCUCUUUGGGCUUUCCGAAAAGGUAUCACAUGCCAAGUUUGGCCUCACGGUCUAAAAGUUAUAGAUUCAUACAUUUUUCACAAAAAAAAGAAGAGAAAAACCAAAAAAAAGAGGGAUGAAACACGAGGACUUUCCCAGAGGUCACCCAUCCUAGUACUACUCUCGCCCAAGCACGCUUAACUGCGAAGUUCUGAUGGGAUCUGGUGCAUUAGUGCUGGUAUGAUCGCAUCUGUUACUACAUGCAAUGCAAUCGUAUCUAUUCUUUUUUGAAGAUUUUAUGAUUCAUUUACCGUGGGUCCCACCAGCUAUGUAGGAAAACCUAUCUUAUUUAUAAGAUCUUUGAUACAUGCAAAAUAUUGGAAAACAAUGUCCGAACAUAUAAUGUUCGCCCCAAAAUAUAGCGAAGACCACAAAAAUGCCAUAAAAAGUACAUUAAGGUCAAAAUUUGGAGUAGGAAAAAAAUCAAUAGGAGAAUUCCAUUUUCCUUCCCUCAUUCAUCGGAGAGCUCUCUUUGGGCAUUCCAAAAAGGUAUCACAUGCCAAGUUUGGCCUCACGGUCUAAAAGUUAUAGAAUAUUACAUUUUUAACAAAAAAAAAGAGAAAAACCAAAAAAAAGAGGGAUGCAACACGAGGACUUUUCUGGAGGUCACCCAUCCUACUACUACUCUCGCCCAAGCACACUUAACUGCGGUGUUCUGAUAGGAUCAAGUGCAUUAGUGCUGGUAUGAUCGCAUCAGUUACUACAUGCAAUGCAAUCAUAUAUAUUCUUUUUUGAAGACUUUAUGAUCCAUUUGCCGUAGGUCCCACCAGCUAUGUAGGAAUACCCUAUCUUGUUUAUAAGAGCUUUGAUACAUGCAAAAUAUUCGAAAACAAUGUCCGAACAUAUAAUUUUUGUCCCGUAAUAUAGCAAAGAUCACGAAAAGGCCAGAAAAAAUACAUUUUGGUCAAAAUUUGGAGUAGAAAAAAAGCCCUUCCUCAUUCAUUGGACAGCUCUCUUUGGGCUUUCCGAAAAGGUAUCACAUGCCAAGUUUGGCCUCACGGUCUAAACCUUAUAGACUCAUACAUUUUUCACAAAAAAAAGAAGAGAAAAACCAAAAAAAAGAGUGAUUAAACACGAGGAUUUUCCUGGAGGUCACCCAUCCUAGUACUACUCUCGCCCAAGCACGCUUAACUGCGAAGGUCUGAUGGGAUAUGGUGCAUUAGUGCUGGUAUGAUCGCAUCUGUUACUACAUGCAAUGCAAUCGUAUCUAUUCUUUUUUGAAGAUUUGAUGAUUCAUUUACCGUGGGUCCCACCAGCUAUGUAGGAAUAACCUAUCUUAUUUAUAAAAGCUUUGAUACAUGCAAAAUAUUCGAAAACAAUGUCCGAACAUAUAAUGUUCGCCCCAAAAUAUAGCAAAGAUCACAAAAAUGCCAUAAAAAGUACAUUAAGGUCAAAAUUUGGAGUAGGAAAAAAAUCAAUAGGAGAAUUCCAUUUUCCUUCCCUCAUUCAUCGGAGAGCUCUCUUUGGGCAUUCCAAAAAGGUAUCACAUGCCAAGUUUGGCCUCACGGUCUAAAAGUUAUAGAGUAUUACAUUUUUAACAAAAAAAAAAGGGAAAAACCGAAAAAGAGGGAUGCAACACGAAGACUUUUCUGGAGGUCACCCAUCCUAGUACUACUCUCCCCCAAGCACGCUUAACUGUGGUGUUCUAAUAGGAUCAUGUGCAUUAGUGCUGGUAUGAUCGCAUCAGUUACUACAUGCAAUGCAAUCAUAUAUAUUCUUUUUUGAAGACUUUAUGAUCCAUUUGCCGUAGGUCCCACCAGCUAUGUAGGAAUACCCUAUCUUGUUUAUAAGAGCUUUGAUACAUGCAAAAUAUUCGAAAACAAUGUCCGAACAUAUAAUUUUUGUCCCGUAAUAUAGCAAAGAUCACGAAAAGGCCAGAAAAAAUACAUUUCGGUCAAAAUUUGGAGUAGAAAAAAAGCCCUUCCUCAUUCAUUGGACAGCUCUCUUUGGGCUUUCCGAAAAGGUAUCAUAUGCCAAGUUUGGCCUCACGGUCUAAACCUUAUAGACUCAUACAUUUUUCACAAAAAAAAGAAGAGAAAAACCAAAAAAAAGAGUGAUUAAACACGAGGACUUUCUUGGAGGUCAUCCAUCCUAGUACUACUCUCGCCCAAGCACGCUUAACUGCGAAGUUCUGAUGGGAUCUGGUGCAUUAGUGCUGGUAUGAUCGCAUCUGUUACUACAUGCAAUGCAAUCGUAUCUAUUCUUUUUUGAAGAUUUUAUGAUUCAUUUACCGUGGGUACCACCAGCUAUGUAGGAAUAACCUAUCUUAUUUAUAAGAGCUUUGAUACAUGCAAAAUAUUCGAAAACAAUGUCCGAACAUAUAAUUUUUGUCCCGUAAUAUAGCAAAGAUCACGAAAAGGCCAGAAAAAAUACAUUUUGGUCAAAAUUUGGAGUAGAAAAAAACCCUUCCUCAUUCAUUGGACAGCUCUGUUUGAGCUUUCCGAAAAGGUAUCACAUGCCAAGUUUGGCCUCACGGUCUAAAAGUUAUAGAGUCAUACAUUUUUCACAAAAAAAAAGAAGAGAAAAACCAAAAAAAAGAGUGAUGAAACACGAGGACUUUCCUGGAGGUCACCCAUCCUAGUACUACUCUCGCCCAAGCACGCGUAACUACGAAGUUCUGAUGGGAUCUGGUGCAUUAGUGCUGGUAUGAUCGCAUCUGUUACUACAUGCAAUGCAAUCGUAUCUAUUCUUUUUUGAAGAUUUUAUGAUUCAUUUACCGUGGGUCCCACCAGCUAUGUAGGAAUAACCUAUCUUAUUUAUAAGAGCUUUGAUACAUGCAAAAUAUUGGAAAACAAUGUCCGAACAUAUAAUGUUCGCCCCAAAAUAUAGCAAAGACAACAAAAAUGCCAUAAAAAGUACAUUAAGGUCAAAAUUUGGAGUAGGAAAAAAAUCAAUAAGAGAAUUCCAUUUUCCUUCCCUCAUUCAUCGGAGAGCUCUCUUUGGGCAUUCCAAAAAGGUAUCACAUGCCAAGUUUGGCCUCACGGUCUAAAAGUUAUAGAGUAGUACAUUUUUAACAAAAAAAAAAGAGAGAAACCGAAAAAAAGAGGGAUGCAACACGAAGACUUUUCUGGAGGUCACCCAUCCUAGUACUACUCUCCCAAAGCACGCUUAACUGUGGUGUUCUGAUAGGAUCAAGUGCAUUAGUGCGGGUAUGAUCGCAUCAGUUACUACAUGCAAUGCAAUCAUAUAUAUUCUUUUUUGAAGACUUUAUGAUCCAUUUGCCGUAGGUCCCACCAGCUAUGUAGGAAUACCCUAUCUUGUUUAUAAGAGCUUUGAUACAUGCAAAAUAUUCGAAAACAAUGUCCGAACAUAUAAUUUUUGUCCCGUAAUAUAGCAAAGAUCACGAAAAGGCCAGGAAAAAUACAUUUCGGUCAAAAUUUGGAGUAGAAAAAAAACCCUUCCUCAUUCAUUGGACAGCUCUCUUUGGGCUUUCCGAAAAGGUAUCACAUGCCAAGUUUGGCCUCACGGUCUAAAAGUUAUAGAUUCAUACAUUUUUCACAAAAAAAAGAAGAGAAAAACCAAAAAAAAGAGGGAUGAAACACGAGGACUUUCCCAGAGGUCACCCAUCCUAGUACUACUCUCGCCCAAGCACGCUUAACUGCGAAGUUCUGAUGGGAUCUGGUGCAUUAGUGCUGGUAUGAUCGCAUCUGUUACUACAUGCAAUGCAAUCGUAUCUAUUCUUUUUUGAAGAUUUUAUGAUUCAUUUACCGUGGGUCCCACCAGCUAUGUAGGAAAACCUAUCUUAUUUAUAAGAUCUUUGAUACAUGCAAAAUAUUGGAAAACAAUGUCCGAACAUAUAAUGUUCGCCCCAAAAUAUAGCGAAGACCACAAAAAUGCCAUAAAAAGUACAUUAAGGUCAAAAUUUGGAGUAGGAAAAAAAUCAAUAGGAGAAUUCCAUUUUCCUUCCCUCAUUCAUCGGAGAGCUCUCUUUGGGCAUUCCAAAAAGGUAUCACAUGCCAAGUUUGGCCUCACGGUCUAAAAGUUAUAGAAUAUUACAUUUUUAACAAAAAAAAAGAGAAAAACCGAAAAAAAGAGGGAUGCAACACGAAGACUUUUCUGGAGGUCACCCAUCCUACUACUACUCUCGCCCAAGCACACUUAACUGCGGUGUUCUGAUAGGAUCAAGUGCAUUAGUGCUGGUAUGAUCGCAUCAGUUACUACAUGCAAUACAAUCAUAUAUAUUCUUUUUUGAAGACUUUAUGAUCCAUUUGCCGUAGGUCCCACCAGCUAUGUAGGAAUACCUUAUCUUGUUUAUAAGAGCUUUGAUACAUGCAAAAUAUUCGAAAACAAUGUCCGAACAUAUAAUUUUUGUCCCGUAAUAUAGCAAAGAUCACGAAAAGGCCAGAAAAAAUACAUUUCGGUCAAAAUUUGGAGUAGAAAAAAAACCCUUCCUCAUUCAUUGGACAGCUCUCUUUGGGCUUUCCGAAAAGGUAUCACAUGCCAAGUUUGGCUUCACGGUCUAAACCUUAUAGACUCAUACAUUUUUCACAAAAAAAAGAAGAGAAAAACAAAAAAAAAGAGUGAUUAAACACGAGGACUUUCCUGGAGGUCACCCAUCCUAGUACUACUCUCGCCCAAGCACUCUUAACUGCGAAGUUCUGAUGGGAUCUGGUGCAUUAGUGCUGGUAUGAACGCAUCUGUUACUACAUGCAAUGCAAUCGUAUGUAUUCUUUUUUGAAGAUUUUAUGAUUCAUUUACCGUGGGUCCCACCAGCUAUGUAGGAAUAACCUAUCUUAUUUAUAAAAGCUUUGAUACAUGCAAAAUAUUCGAAAACAAUGUCCGAACAUAUAAUGUUCGCCCCAAAAUAUAGCAAAGACCACAAAAAUGCCAUAAAAAGUACAUUAAGGUCAAAAUUUGGAGUAGGAAAAAAAUCAAUAGGAGAAUUCCAUUUUCCUUCCCUCAUUCAUCGGAGAGCUCUCUUUGGGCAUUCCAAAAAGGUAUCACAUGCCAAGUUUGGCCUCACGGUCUAAAAGUUAUAGAGUAUUACAUUUUUAACAAAAAAAAAAAGAGAAAAACCGAAAAAAAGAGGGAUGCAACACGAAGACUUUUCUGGAGGUCACCCAUCCUAGUACUACUCUCCCCCAAGCACGCUUAACUGUGGUGUUCUGAUAGGAUCAAGUGCAUUAGUGCUGGUAUGAUCGCAUCAGUUACUACAUGCAAUGCAAUCAUAUAUAUUCUUUUUUGAAGACUUUAUGAUCCAUUUGCCGUAGGUCCCACCAGCUAUGUAGGAAUACCCUAUCUUGUUUAUAAGAGCUUUGAUACAUGCAAAAUAUUCGAAAACAAUGUCCGAACAUAUAAUUUUUGUCCCGUAAUAUAGCAAAGAUCACGAAAAGGUCAGAAAAAAUAUAUUUCGGUCAAAAUUUGGAGUAGAAAAAAAGCCCUUCCUCAUUCAUUGGACAGCUCUCUUUGGGCUUUCCGAAAAGGUAUCACAUGCCAAGUUUGGCCUCACGGUCUAAACCUUAUAGACUCAUACAUUUUUCAUAAAAAAAAGAAGAGAAAAACAAAAAAAAAAAGAGUGAUUAAACACGAGGACUUUCCUGGAGGUCACCCAUCCUAGUACUACUCUCGCCCAAGCACGCUUAACUACGAAGUUCCGAUGGGAUCUGAUGCAUUAGUGCUGGUAUGAUCGCAUCUGUUACUACAUGCAAUGCAAUCGUAUCUAUUCUUUUUUGAAGAUUUUAUGAUUCAUUUACUGUGGGUCCCACCAGCUAUGUAGGAAUAACCUAUCUUAUUUAUAAAAGCUUUGAUACAUGCAAAAUAUUGGAAAACAAUGUCCGAACAUAUAAUGUUCGCCCCAAAAUAUAGCAAAGACCACAAAAAUGCCAUAAAAAGUACAUUAAGGUCAAAAUUUGGAGUAGGAAAAAAAUCAAUAGGAGAAUUCCAUUUUCCUUCCCUCAUUCAUCGGAGAGCUCUCUUUGGGCAUUCCAAAAAGGUAUCACAUGCCAAGUUUGGCCUCACGGUCUAAAAGUUAUAGAGUAAUACAUUUUUAACAAAAAAAAAAAAGAAAAAAACCGAAAACAAAGAGGGAUGCAACACGAAGACUUUCCUGGAGGUCACCCAUCCUAGUACUACUCUCACCCAAGCACACNUUAACUGUGGUGUUCUGAUAGGAUCAAGUGCAUUAGUGCUGGUAUGAUCGCAUCAGUUACUACAUGCAAUGCAAUCNNNNNNNNNNNNNNNNNNNNNNNNNNNNNNNNNNNNNNNNNNNNNNNNNNCUCCUCAGUCAUCUUUGAGCUCUCUUUGGGCUUUCCGAAAAGGUAUCACAUGCCCAGUUUGGCCUCACGGUCUAAAAGUUAUAAAGUCAUACAUUUUUAACAAAAAAAAAAGAGAAAAACCGAAAAAAAGAGGGAUGCAAUACGAGGACUUUCCACGAGGUCACCCAUCCUAGUACAACUCUCGCCAAAGCAUGCUUAACUGCGGAGUUUAGAUGGGAUCUGGUGCAUUAGUGCUGGUAUGAUCGCAUCUGUUACUACAUGCAAUGCAAUCGUAUCUAUUCUUAUUUAAAGACUUUAUCAUCCAUUUGCCAUGGGUCCCACCUGUAGGAAUACCCAAUCUUGUUUAUAAGAGCUUUGAUACAUGCAAAAUAUUCGAAAACAACGUCCGAACAUAUAAUUUUCGCCCCGUAAUAUAGCAAAGAUCACGAAAAGGCCCGAAAAAGUACAUUAAGGUCAAAAUUUGGAAUAGAAAAAAAAACCAAAAGAAGUAUUCCAUUGUCCUUUGUCAUUCAUCGAAGAGCUCUCUUUGGGCUUUCCGAAAAGGUAUCGCAAGCCAAGUUUGGCCUCACGGUUUAAAAGUUAUAAAGUCAUACAUUUUUAACAAAAAAAAAAAGAGAAAAAACCGAAAAAAAGAGGGAUGCAACACGAGGACUUUUCUGGAGGUCACCCAUCCUAGUACUACUCUCGCCCGAUCACCCUUAACUGCGUAGUUUUGAUGGGAUUCGAUGCAUUAGUGCUGGUAUGAUCGCAUCUGUUACUACAUGCAAUGUAAUCGUAUCUAUUCUUUUUUAAAGACUUUAUGAUCCAUUUGCCGUGGGUCCCACCAGCUAUGUAGGAAUACCCUAUCUUCUUUAUAAGAGCUUUGAUAUAUGCAAAAUAGUGGAAAACCAUGUCCGAACAUAUAAUUUUUCCCCUGUAAUAUAGCAAAGAUCAAGAAAAAGCCAAAAAAAGUAUAUUUAGGUCAAAAUUUGGAGUAGAAAAAAAAACAAUAGAAGAAUUCCAUUUUCCUUCCUCAGUCAUCGGAGAGCUCUCUUUCGGCUUUCCGAAAAGGUAUCAAAUGCCAAGUUUGGCCUCACGGUCUAAAAGUUAUAGAGUCAUACAUUUUUAACAAUACAAAGUAGAGAAAACCGGAAAAAAGAGGGAUGCAACAUGAGGACUUUCCGGGAGGUAAUCCAUCCUAGUACAACUCUUGCCCAAGCACCCUUAACUGCGGAGUUCUGAUGGAAUCCGGUGCAUUAGUGCUGGUAUGAUCGCAUCUGUUACUACAUGCAAUGUAAUCGUAUCUAUUUUUUUUUAAAGACUUUAUGAUCCAUUUGCCGUGGGUCCCACCAGCUAUGUAGGAAUACCCUAUCUUCUUUAUAAGAGCUUUGAUACAUGCAAAAUAUAUGAAAAAACGUUCGAACAUAUAAUUUUUCCCCCCGUAAUAUAGCAAAGAUCACGAAAAGGCCCGAAAAAGUACAUUUAGUUCAAAAUUUGGAGUAGAAAAACCCAAUAGAAGAAUUCCAUUUUCCUUCGUCAUUCAUCGGAGAGCUCUCUUUGGGCUUUCCGAAAAGGUAUCACAUGCCAAGUUUGGCCUCACGGUCUAAAAGUUAUAGAGUCAUACAUUUUUAACAAAACAAAAUUGAGAAAAACCGAAAAAAGAGGGAUGCAACACGAGGACUCUCCAGAAGGUAACCCAUCUUAGUACUACUUUCGCCCAAGCACCCUUAACUGCGGAGUUCUGAUAGGACCCGGUGCAUUAGUGCUGGUAUGAUCGCAUGUGUUACUACAUGCAAUGUAAUCGUAUAUAUUCAUUUUUAAAGACUUUAUGAUCCAUUUGCCGUGGGUCCUACCAGCUAUGUAGAAAUACCCUAUCUUCUUUAUAAGAGCUUUCAUUCACGCAAAAUAAUGGAAAACAAUGUCCGAAGAUAUAAUUCCCCCCCCCCCCCCCCCGUAAUAUAGCAAAGAUCACGAAAAGGCCCGAAAAAGUACAUUAAGUUCAAAAUUUGGAGUAGAAAAAAAAACAAUAGAAGAAUUCCAUUUUCCUUCCUCAGUCAUCGGAGAGCUCUCUUUGGGCUUUCCGAAAAGGUAUCACAUGCCAAGUUUGGCCUCACGGUCUAAAGGUUAUAGAGUCAUACAUUUUUAACAAAAAAAAAUAGAAAAACAGAAAAAAGAGGGAUGCAAUACGAGGACUUUCCAGGAGGUCACCCAUCCUAGUACAACUCUCGCCGAAGCACGCUUAACUACGGUGUUCAGAUGGAAUCUGGUGCAUUAGUGCUGGUAUGAUGUCAUUUGUUACUACAUGCAAUGCAAUCAUAUCUAUUCUUAUUUAAAGACUUUAUGAUCCAUUUGCCGUGGGUCCCACCUGUAGGAAUACCCUAUCUUGUUUAUAAAAGAUUUGAUACAUGCAAAAUACUCGAAAACAAUGUCCGAACAUAUAAUUUUCACCCCGUAAUAUAGCAAAGAUCACGAAAAGGCCCGAAAAAGUACAUUAAAGUCAAAAUUUGGAGUAGAAAAAAACCCAAUAGAAGUAUUCCAUUCUCCUUCGUCAUUCAUCGGAGAGCUCUCUUUAGGCUUUCCGAAAAGAUAUCACAUGCCAAGUUUGGCCUCACGGUUUAAAAGUUAUAGAGUCAUAGAUUUUUAACAAAACAAAAAGAGAAAAACCGAAAAAAAAUUGGGAUGCAACACGAGGACUUUCCUGGAGGUCACCCAUCCUAGUACUACUCUUGCCCAAGCACCCUUAACUGCGUAGUUCUGAUGGGAUCCGAUGCUUUAGGGCUGGUAUGAUCGCAUCUGUUACUACAUGCAAUGUAAUCGUAUCUAUUCUUUUUUAAAGACUUUAUGAUCCAUUUGCCGUGGGUCCCACCAGCUAUGUAGGAAUACCCUAUCUUCUUUAUAAGAGCUUUGAUAAAUGCAAAAUAUUGGAAAGCAAUGUCCGAACAUAUAAUUUCGCCCCCGUAAUAUAGCAAAGAUCACGAAAAAGCCCAAAAAAGUUCAUUUAGGUCAAAAUUUGAGCAGAAGAAAAAGAAAUAGAAGAAUUCCAUUUUCCUUCCUCAUUUAUUGGAGAGCUCUCUUUGGGCUUUCCGAAAAGGUAUCACAUGCCAAGUUUGGCCUCACGGUCUAAAAGUUAUAGAGUCAUACAGUUUUAACAAAAUGAAAUAGAGAAAAACCGAAAAAAAGAGGGAUGUAACACGAGGACUUUCCGGGAGGUAAUCUAUCCUACUACUACUCUCGGCCAAGCACCCUUAACUGCGGAGUUCUAAUGGGAUCCGGUGCAUUAGUGCUAGUAUGAUCGCAUGUGUUACUACAUGCAAUGUAAUCGUAUCUAUUCUUUUUUAAAGACUUUAUGAUCCAUUUGCCGUGGGUCCCACCAGCUAUGUAGGAAUACCCUAUCUUCUUUAUAAGAGCUUUGAUACAUGCAAAAUAUAUGAAAAAAACGUCCGAACAUAUAAUUUUCCCCCCGUAAUAUAGCAAAGAUCAUGAAAAGGCCCAAAAAAGUACAUUAAUGUCAAAAUUUGGCGUAGAAAAAAAACCAAUAGACAUAUUCCAUUGUCCUUCAUCAUUCAUUGAAGAGCUCUCUUUGGGCUUUCCGAAAAGGUAUCACAUGCCAAGUUUGGCCUCACGGUCUAAAAGUUAUAGAGUCAUACAUUUUUAACAAUACAAAAUAGAGAAAAACCGAAAAAAAGAGGGAUGCAACACGAGGACUUUCCGGGAGGUAAUCCAUCCUAGUACUACUCUCGCCCAAGCACCCUUAACUGCGGAGUUCUGAUGGGACCCGGUGCAUUAGUGCUGGUAUGAUCGCAUCUGUUACUAUAUGCAAUGUAAUCGUAUCUAUUCUUUUUUAAAGACUUUAUGAUCCAUUUGCCGUGGGUCCCACCAGCUAUGUAGGAAUACCCUAUCUUCUUUAUAAGAGCUUUGAUAUAUGCAAAAUAUUGGAACACCAUGUCCGAACAUAUAAUUUUUCCCGUGUAAUAUAGCAAAGAUCAAGAAAAAGACAAAAGAGUACAUUUAGGUCAAAAUUUGAGUAGAAAAAAACAAAUAGAAGAAUUCCAUUUUCCUUCCUCAUUCAGCUGAGAGCUCUCUUUGGGCUUUCCGAAAAGGUAUCAUAUGCCAAGUUUGGCCUCACAGUGUAAAAGUUAUAGAGUCUAACAUUUUUAACAAAACAAAAUAGAGAAAAACCAAAAAAAGAGGGAUGCAACACGAGGACUUUCUGGGAGGUCACCCAUCCUAGUACUACUCUCGCCCAAGCACCCUUAACUGCGGAGUUCUGAUGGGAUCCGGUGCAUUAGUGCAGGUAUGAUCGCAUGUGUUACUACAUGCAAUGUAAUCCUAUCUAUUCUUUCUUAAAGACUUUAUGAUCCAUUUGCCGUGAGUCCCACCAGCUAUGUAGGAAUACCCUAUCUUCUUUAUAAGAGCUUUGAUACAUGCAAAAUAUUGGAAAACAAUAUCCGAACAUAUAGUUUUCCCCCCGUAAUAUAGCAAAGAUCACGAAAAGGCCCGAAAAAGUACAUUUAGUUCAAAAUUGGGAGUAGAAAAAAAAACAAUAGAAGAAUUCCAUUUUACUUCCUCAGUCAUCGGAGAGCUCUCUUUGGGCUUUCCGAAAAGGUAUCACAUGCCCAGUUUGGCCUCACGGUCUAAAAGUUAUAAAGUCAUACAUUUUUAACAAAAACAAAAGAGAAAAACCGAAAAAAAAGAGGGAUGCAAUACGAGGACUUUCCACGAGGUCACCCAUCCUAGUACAACUCUCGCCGAAGCAUGCUUAACUGCGGAGUUUAGAUGGGAUCUGGUGCAUUAGUGCUGGUAUGAUCGCAUCUGUUACUACAUGCAAUGCAAUCGUAUCUAUUCUUAUUUAAAGACUUUAUCAUCCAUUUGCCAUGGGUCCCACCUGUAGGAAUACCCAAUCUUGUUUAUAAGAGCUUUGAUACAUGCAAAAUAUUCGAAAACAACGUCCGAACAUAUAAUUUUCGCCCCGUAAUAUAGCAAAGAUCACGAAAAGGCCCGAAAAAGUACAUUAAGGUCAAAAUUUGGAAUAGAAAAAAAAACCAAUAGAAGUAUUCCAUUGUCCUUUGUCAUUCAUCGAAGAGCUCUCUUUGGGCUUUCCGAAAAGGUAUCGCAAGCCAAGUUUGGCCUCACGGUUUAAAAGUUAUAAAGUCAUACAUUUUUAACAAAAAAAAAAAGAGAAAAAACCGAAAAAAAGAGGGAUGCAACACGAGGACUUUUCUGGAGGUCACCCAUCCUAAUACUUCUCUCGCCCGAUCACCCUUAACUACGUAGUUUUGAUGGGAUUCGAUGCAUUAGUGCUGGUAUGAUCGCAUCUGUUACUACAUGCAAUGUAAUCGUAUCUAUUCUUUUUUAAAGACUUUAUGAUCCAUUUGCCGUGGGUCCCACCAGCUAUGUAGGAAUACCCUAUCUUCUUUAUAAGAGCUUUGAUAUAUGCAAAAUAUUGGAAAACCAUGUCCGAACAUAUAAUUUUUCCCCUGUAAUAUAGCAAAGAUCAAGAAAAAGCCAAAAAAGUAUAUUUAGGUCAAAAUUUGGAGUAGAAAAAAAAACAAUAGAAGAAUUCCAUUUUCCUUCCUCAGUCAUCGGAGAGCUCUCUUUGGGCUUUCCGAAAAGGUAUCAAAUGCCAAGUUUGGCCUCACGGUCUAAAAGUUAUAGAGUCAUACAUUUUUAACAAUACAAAGUAGAGAAAACCGGAAAAAAGAGGGAUGCAACAUGAGGACUUUCCGGGAGGUAAUCCAUCCUAGUACAACUCUUGCCCAAGCACCCUUAACUGCGGAGUUCUGAUGGAAUCCGGUGCAUUAGUGCUGGUAUGAUCGCAUGUGUUACUACAUGCAAUGUAAUCGUAUCUAUUCUUUUUUAAAGACUUUAUGAUCCAUUUGCCGUGGGUCCCACCAGCUAUGUAGGAAUACCCUAUCUUCUUUAUAAGAGCUUUGAUACAUGCAAAAUAUAUGAAAAAACGUUCGAACAUAUAAUUUUUCCCCCCGUAAUAUAGCAAAGAUCACGAAAAGGCCCGAAAAAGUACAUUUAGUUCAAAAUUUGGAGUAGAAAAACCCAAUAGAAGAAUUCCAUUUUCCUUCGUCAUUCAUCGGAGAGCUCUCUUUGGGCUUUCCGAAAAGGUAUCACAUGCCAAGUUUGGCCUCACGGUCUAAACGUUAUAGAGUCAUACAUUUUUAACAAAACAAAAUUGAGAAAAACCGAAAAAAAGAGGGAUGCAACACGAGGACUCUCCAGAAGGUAACCCAUCUUAGUACUACUUUCGCCCAAGCACCCUUAACUGCGGAGUUCUGAUAGGACCCGGUGCAUUAGUGCUGGUAUGAUCGCAUGUGUUACUACAUGCAAUGUAAUCGUAUAUAUUCAUUUUUAAAGACUUUAUGAUCCAUUUGCCGUGGGUCCUACCAGCUAUGUAGAAAUACCCUAUCUUCUUUAUAAGAGCUUUCAUUCACGCAAAAUAAUGGAAAACAAUGUCCGAAGAUAUAAUUUCCCCCCCCCCCCGUAAUAUAGCAAAGAUCACGAAAAGGCCCGAAAAAGUACAUUAAGUUCAAAAUUUGGAGUAGAAAAAAAAACAAUAGAAGAAUUCCAUUUUCCUUCCUCAGUCAUCGGAGAGCUCUCUUUGGGCUUUCCGAAAAGGUAUCACAUGCCAAGCUUGGCCUCACGGUCUAAAGGUUAUAGAGUCAUACAUUUUUAACAAAAAAAAAAUAGAAAAACAGAAAAAAGAGGGAUGCAAUACGAGGACUUUCCAGGAGGUCACCCAUCCUAGUACAACUCUCGCCGAAGCACGCUUAACUACGGUGUUCAGAUGGAAUCUGGUGCAUUAGUGCUGGUAUGAUGUCAUUUGUUACUACAUGCAAUGCAAUCAUAUCUAUUCUUAUUUAAAGACUUUAUGAUCCAUUUGCCGUGGGUCCCACCUGUAGGAAUACCCUAUCUUGUUUAUAAAAGAUUUGAUACAUGCAAAAUACUCGAAAACAAUGUCCGAACAUAUAAUUUUCACCCCGUAAUAUAGCAAAGAUCACGAAAAGGCCCGAAAAAGUACAUUAAAGUCAAAAUUUGGAGUAGAAAAAAACCCAAUAGAAGUAUUCCAUUCUCCUUCGUCAUUCAUCGGAGAGCUCUCUUUAGGCUUUCCGAAAAGAUAUCACAUGCCAAGUUUGGCCUCACGGUUUAAAAGUUAUAGAGUCAUAGAUUUUUAACAAAACAAAAAGAGAAAAACCGAAAAAAAUUGGGAUGCAACACGAGGACUUUCCUGGAGGUCACCCAUCCUAGUACUACUCUCGCCCAAGCACCCUUAACUGCGUAGUUCUGAUGGGAUCCGAUGCUUUAGUGCUGGUAUGAUCGCAUCUGUUACUACAUGCAAUGUAAUCGUAUCUAUUCUUUUUUAAAGACUUUAUGAUCCAUUUGCCGUGGGUCCCACCAGCUAUGUAGGAAUACCCUAUCUUCUUUAUAAGAGCUUUGAUAAAUGCAAAAUAUUGGAAACCAAUGUCCGAACAUAUAAUUUCGCCCCCGUAAUAUAGCAAAGAUCACGAAAAAGCCCAAAAAAGUUCAUUUAGGUCAAAAUUUGAGCAGAAGAAAAAGAAAUAGAAGAAUUCCAUUUUCCUUCCUCAUUUAUUGGAGAGCUCUCUUUGGGCUUUCCGAAAAGGUAUCACAUGCCAAGUUUGGCCUCACGGUCUAAAAGUUAUAGAGUCAUACAUUUUUAACAAAAUGAAAUAGAGAAAAACCGAAAAAAAGAGGGAUGUAACACGAGGACUUUCCGGGAGGUAAUCUAUCCUACUACUACUCUCGGCCAAGCACCCUUAACUGCGGAGUUCUAAUGGGAUCCGGUGCAUUAGUGCUGGUAUGAUCGCAUGUGUUACUACAUGCAAUGUAAUCGUAUCUAUUCUUUUUUAAAGACUUUAUGAUCCAUUUGCCGUGGGUCCCACCAGCUAUGUAGGAAUACCCUAUUUUCUUUAUAAGAGCUUUGAUACAUGCAAAAUAUUGGAAAACAAUGUCCGAACAUAUUAUUUUCCCCCCGUAAUAUAGCAAAGAUCACGAAAAGGCCCGAAAAAGUACAUUUAGUUCAAAAUGUGGAGUAGAAAAAAAAACAAUAGAAGAAUUCCAUUUUCCUUCGUCAUUCAUCGGAGAGCUCUCUUUAGGCUUUCCGAAAAGGUAUCACAUGCCAAGUUUGGCCUCACGGUCUAAAAGUUAUAGAAUCAUACAUUUUUAACAAAACAAAAUAGAGAAAAACCGAAAAAGAGGGAUUUAACACGAGGACUUUCCGAGAGGUAACCCAUCCUAGUACUACUCUCGUCCAAGCACCCUUAACUGCGGAGUUCUGAUGGGAUCCGGUGUAUUAGUGCUGGUAUGAUCGCAUGUGUUACUACAUGCAAUGUAAUCGUAUCUAUUCUUUUUUAAAGACUUUAUAAUCCAUUUGCCGUGGGUCCCACCAGCUAUGUAGGAAUACCCUAUUUUCUUUAUAAGAGCUUUGAUACAUGCAAAAUAUUAGAAAACAAUGUCCGAACAUAUUAUUUUCCCCCCGUUAUAUAGCAAAGAUCACGAAAAGGCCCGAAAAAGUACAUUUAGUUCAAAAUUUGGAGUAGAAAAAAAAACAAUAGAAGAAUUCCAUUUUCCUUCGUCAUUCAUCGGAGAGCUCUCUUUAGGCUUUCCGAAAAGGUAUCACAUGCCAAGUUUGGCCUCACGGUCUAAAAGUUAUAGAGUCAUACAUUUUUAACAAAACAAAAUAGAGAAAAACCGAAAAAAGAGGGAUUUAACACGAGGACUUUCUGAGAGGUAACCCAUCCGAGUACUACACUCGCCCAAGCACCCUUAACUACGGAGUUCUGAUGGGAUACGGUGCAUUAGUGCUGGUUUGAUCGCAUCUGUUACUACAUGCAAUGUAAUCGUAUCUAUUCUUUUUUAAAGACUUUAUGAUCCAUUUGCCGUGGGUGCCACCAACUAUGUAGGAUUAUCCUAUAUUCUUUAUAAGAGCUUUGAUACAUGAAAAAUAUUCGAAAACAAUGUCCGAACAUAUAAUUUCCACCCGUAAUAUAGCAAAGAUCACGAAAAGGCCCAAAAAAGUACAUUAAGUUUAAAAUUUGGAGUAGAAAAAAAACCAAUAGAAGAAUUCCAUUUUCCUUCCUCAGUCAUCGGAGAGCUCUCUUUGGGCUUUCCGAAAAGGUAUCACAUGCCAAGUUUGACCUCACGGUCUAAAGGUUAUAGAGUCAUACAUUUUUAACAAAAAAAAAUAGAAAAACAGGAAAAAAGAGGGAUGCAAUACGAGGACUUUCCAGGAGGUCACCCAUCCUAGUACAACUCUCGCCGAAGCACGCUUAACUGCGGUGUUCAGAUGGGAUCUGGUGCAUUAGUGCUCGUAUGAUGGCAUUUGUUACUACAUGCAAUGCAAUCGUAUCUACUCUUAUUUAAAGACUUUAUGAUCCAUUUGCCGUGGGUGCCACCAACUAUGUAGGAUUAUCCUAUAUUCUUUAUAAGAGCUUUGAUACAUGCAAAAUAUUCGAAAGCAAUGUCCGAACAUAUAAUUUCCCCCCCGUAAUAUAGCAAAGAUCACGAAAAGGCCCGAAAAAGUACAUUUAGUUCAAAAUUUGGAGUAGAAAAAAAAACAAUAGAAGAAUUCCAUUUUCCUUCGUCAUUCAUCGGAGAGCUCUCUUUAGGCUUUCCGAAAAGGUAUCACAUGCCAAGUUUGGCCUCACGGUCUAAAAGUUAUAGAGUCAUACAUUUUCAACAAAACAAAAUAGAGAAACACCGAAAAAAGAGGGAUUUAACACGAGGACUUUCCGAGAGGUAACCCAUCCUAGUACUACUCUCGUCCAAGCACCCUUAACUGCGGAGUUCUGAUGGGAUCCGGUGCAUUAGUGCUGGUAUGAUCGCAUGUGUUACUACAUGCAAUGUAAUCAUAUCUAUUCUUUUUUUAAAGACUUUAUGAUUCAUUUGCCGUGGGUCCCACCAGCUAUGUAGGAAUACCCUAUUUUCUUUAUAACAGCUUUGAUACAUGCAAAAUAUUGGAAAACAAUGUCCGAACAUAUUAUUUUCCUCCCGUAAUAUAGCAAAGAUCACGAAAAGGCCCGAAAAAGUACAUUUAGUUCAAAAUUUGGAGUAGAAAAAAAAACAAUAGAAGAAUUCCAUUUUCCUUCGUCAUUCAUCGGAGAGCUCUCUUUAGGCUUUCCGAAAAGGUAUCACAUGCCAAGUUUGGCCUCACGGUCUAAAAGUAUAGAGUCAUACAUUUUUAAAAAAACAAAAUAGAGAAAAACCGAAAAAAGAGGGAUUUAACACGAGGACUUUCCGAGAGGUAACCCAUCCUAGUACUACUCUCGUCCAAGCACCCUUAACUGCGGAGUUCUAAUGGGAUCUGGUGCAUUAGUGCUGGUAUGAUCGCAUGUGUUACUACAUGCAAUGUAAUCGUAUCUAUUCUUUUUUAAAGACUUUAUGAUCCAUUUGCCGUGGGUCCCACCAGCUAUGUAGGAAUACCCUAUUUUCUUUAUAAGAGCUUUGAUACAUGCAAAAUAUUGGAAAACAAUGUCCGAACAUAUUAUUUUCCCCCCGUUAUAUAGCAAAGAUCACGAAAAGGCCCGAAAAAGUACAUUUAGUUCAAAAUUUGGAGUAGAAAGAAAAACAAUAGAAGAAUUCCAUUUUCCUUCGUCAUUCAUCUGAGAGCUCUCUUUAGGCUUUCCGAAAAGGUAUCACAUGCCAAGUUUGGCCUCACGGUCUAAAAGUUAUAGAGUCAUACAUUUUUAACAAAACAAAAUAGAGAAAAACCGAAAAAGAGGGAUUUAAGACGAGGACUUUCUGAGAGGUAACCCAUCCGAGUACUACACUCGCCCAAGCACCCUUAACUACGGAGUUCUGAUGGGAUACGGUGCAUUAGUGCUGGUUUGAUCGCAUGUGUUACUACAUGCAAUGUAAUCGUAUCUAUUCUUUUUUAAAGACUUUAUGAUCCAUUUGCCGUGGGUGCCACCAACUAUGUAGGAUUAUCCUAUAUUCUUUAUAAGAUCUUUGAUACUUGCAAAAUAUUCGAAAAAAAUGUCCGAACAUAUAAUUUCCCCCCCGUAAUAUAGCAAAGAUCACGAAAAGGCCCAAAAAAGUACAUUAAGUUUAAAAUUUGGAGUAGAAAAAAAACCAAUAGAAGAAUUCCAUUUUCCUUCCUCAGUCAUCGGAGAGCUCUCUUUGGGCUUUCCGAAAAGUUAUCACAUGCCAAGUUUGACCUCACGGUCUAAAGGUUAUAGAGUCAUACAUUUUUAACAAAAAAAAAUAGAAAAACAGGAAAAAAGAGGGAUGCAAUACGAGGACUUUCCAGCAGGUCACCCAUCCUAGUACAACUCUCGCCAAAGCACGCUUAACUGCGGUGUUCAGAUGGGAUCUGGUGCAUUAGUGCUUGUAUGAUGGCAUUUGUUACUACAUGCAAUGCAAUCGUAUCGAUUCUUAUUUAAAGACUUUAUGAUCCAUUUGUCGUGGGUGCCACCUGUAGGAAUACCCUAUCUUGUUUAUAAGAGAUUUGAUACAUGCAAAAUAUUCGAAAACAAUGUCCGAACAUAUAAUUUUUGCCCCGUAAUAUAGAAAAGAUCACAAAAAAGUCCAAAAAAGUACAUUUAGGUCAAAAUUUGAGCAGAAAAAAAAGAAAUAGAAGAAUUCCAUUUUCCUUCGUCAUUCAUCGGAGAGCUCUCUUUAGGCUUUCCGAAAAGAUAUCACAUGCCAAGUUUGGCCUCACGGUCUAAAAGUUAUAGAGUCAUACAUUUUUCACAAAACAAAAAGAGAAAAACCGAAAAAAAUAGGGAUGCAACACGAGGACUUUCCUGGAGGUCACCCAUCCUAGUACUAAUCUCGCCCAAGCACCCUUAACUGCGUAGUUCUGAUGGGAUCCGAUGCAUUAGUCCUGGUAUGAUCGCAUCUGUUACUAUAUGCAAUAUAAUCGUAUCUAUUCUUUUUUAAAGACUUUAUGAUCCAUUUGCCGUGGGUCCCACCAGCUAUGUAGGAUACCCUAUCUUCAUAAUAAGAGCUUUGAUAAAUGCAAAAUAUUGGAAAACAAUGUCCGAACAUAUAAUUUCCCCCCCCCCCCCCGUAAUAUAGCAAAGAUCACGAAAAAGCCCAAAAAAGUACAUUUAGGUCAAAAUUUGAGUAGAAAAAAAAACAAAUAGAGGAAUUCCAUUUUCCGUCCUCAUUCAUCGGAGAGCUCUCUUUCGGCUUUCCGAAAAGGUAUCACAUGCCAAGUUUGGCCUCACGGUCUAAAAGUUAUAGAGUCAUACAUUUUUAACAAAACAAAAUAGAGAAAAACCGAAAAAAAGAAGGAUGCAACACGAGGACUUCCCGGGAGGUCACCCAUCCUAGUACUACUCUCGCCUAAGCACCCUUAACUGCGGAGUUCUGAUGGGAUCAGGUGCAUUAGUGCUGGUAUGAUCGCAUGUGGUACUACAUGCAAUGUAAUCGUAUCUAUUCCUUUUGAAAGACUUUAUGAUCCAUUUGCCGUGGGUCCCACCAGCUAUGUAGGAAUACCCUAUCUUCUUUAUAAGAGCUUUGAUACAUGCAAAAUAUUUGAAAACAAUGUCCGAACAUAUAAUUUUCCCCCCGUUAUAUAGCAAAGAUCACGAAAAGGCCCAAAAAAGUACAAUUAGUUCAAAAUUUGGAGUAGAAAAAAAAACAAUAGAAGAAUUCCAUUUUCCUUCCUCAGUCAUCGGAGAGCUCUCUUUGGGCUUUCCAAAAAGGUAUCACAUGCCAAGUUUGGCCUCACAGUCUAAAAGUUAUAGAGUCAUACAUUUUUAACAAAACAAAAUAGAGAAAAACCGAAAAAAAGAGGGAUGCAACACGAGGACUUUCCGGGAGGUAACCCAUCCUAGUACUACUCUCGCCCAAGCACCCUUAACUGCGGAGUUUUGAUGGGAUCCGGUGCAUUAGUGUUGGUAUGAUCGCAUGUGUUACUACAUGCAAUGUAAUCGUAUCUAUUCCUUUUGAAAGACUUUAUGAUCCAUUUGCCGUGGGUCCCACCAGCUAUGUAGGAAUACCCUAUCUUCUUUAUAAGAGCUUUGAUACAUACAAAAUAUUGGAUCACAAUGUCAUAACAUAUAAUUUUCCCCCCUUAAUAUAGCAAAGAUCACGAAAAGGCCCGAAAAAAUACAUUUAGUUCAAAAUUUGGAGUAGAAAAAAAAAAUAUAAGAAUUCCAUUUUCCUUCCUCUGUUAUCGGAGAGCUCUCUUUGGGCUUUCCGAAAAGGUAUCACAUGCCAAGUUUGGCCUCACGGUCUAAAAGAUAUAAAGUCAUACAUUAUUAACAAAACAAAAUAGAGAAAAACCGAAAAAAAGAAGGAUGCAACACGAGGACUUUCCGGGAGGUAAUCUAUCCUAGUACUACUCUCGCCCAAGCACCCUUAACUGCGGAGUUCUGAUGGGAUCCGGUGCAUUAGUGUUGGUAUGAUCGCAUGUGUUACUACAUGCAAUGUAACCGUAUCUAUUCUUUUUUAAAGACUUUAUGAUCCAUUUGCCGUGGGUCCCACCAGCUAUGUAGGAAUAUUCUAUCUUCUUUAUAAGAGCUUUGAUACAUGCAAAAUAUUGGAAAACAACGUCCGAACAUAUAAUUUCCCCCCCCCCCCGUAAUAUAGCAAAAAUCACGAAAAGGCCCGAAAAAGUACAUUUAGUUCAAAAUUUGCAGUAGAAAAAAAAACAAUAGAAGAAUUUCAUUUUCCUUCCUCAGUCAUCGGAGAGCUCUCUUUGGGCUUUCCAAAAAGGUAUCACAUGCCAAGUUUGGCCUCACAGUCUAAAAGUUAUAGAGUCAUACAUUUUUAACAAAACAAAAUAGAGAAAAACCGAAAAAAGAGGGAUGCAACACGAGGACUUUCCCGGAGGUAAUCUAUCCUAGUACUACUCUCGCCCAAGCACCCUUAACUGCGGAGUUCUGAUGGGAUCCGGUGCAGUAGUGCUGGUAUGAUCGCAUGUGUUACUACAUGCAAUGUAAUCGUAUCUAUUCUUUUUUAAAGACUUUAUGAUCCAUUUGCCGUGAGUCCCACCAGCUAUGUAGGAAUAUUCUAUCUUCUUUAUAAGAGCUUUGAUACAUGCAAAAUACUGGAAAACAAUGUCCGAACAUAUAAUUUUCCCCACGUAAUAUAGCAAAGAUCACGAAAAGGCCCGAAAAAGUACAUUUAGUUCAAAAUUUGGAGUAGAAAAAAAAACAAUAGAAGAAUUUCAUUUUCCUUCCCUAGUCAUCGGAGAGCUCUCUUUGGGCUUUCCAAAAAGGUAUCACAUGCCAAGUUUGGCCUCACAGUCUAAAAGUUAUAGAGUCAUACAUUUUUAACAAAACAAAAUAGAGAAAAACCGAAAAAAAAGAGGGAUGCAACACGAGGACUUUCUGGGAGGUAAUCUAUCCUAGUACUACUCUCGCCCAAGCACCCUUAACUGCGGAGUUCUGAUGGGAUCCGGUGCAGUAGUGCUGGUAUGAUCGCAUGUGUUACUACAUGCAAUGUAAUCGUAUCUAUUCUUUUUUAAAGACUUUAUGAUCCAUUUGCCGUGAGUCCCACCAGCUAUGUAGGAAUAUUCUAUCUUCUUUAUAAGAGCUUUGAUACAUGCAAAAUACUGGAAAACAAUGUCCGAACAUAUAAUUUUCCCCCCGUAAUAUAGCAAAGAUCACGAAAAGGCCCAGAAAAGUACAUUUAGUUCAAAAUUUGGAGUAGAAAAAAAAACAAUAGAAGAAUUCCAUUUUCCUUCCUCAAUCAUCGGAGAGCUCUCUUUGGGCUUUCCGAAAAGGUAUCUCAUGCCAAGUUUGGCCUCACGAACUAAAAGUUAUAGAGUCAUACAUUUUUAACAAAACAAAAUAGAGAAAAACCGAAAAAAGAGGGAUGCAACACAAGGACUUUCCGGGAGGUCACCCAUCCUAGUACUACUCUCGCCCAAGCACCCUUAACUGCGGAGUUCUGAUGGGAUCCAGUGCAUUAGUGCUGGUAUGAUCGCAUGUGUUACUACAUGCAAUGUAAUCGUAUCUAUUCUUUUUUAAAGAUUUUAUGAUCCAUUUGCCGUGGGUCCCACCAGCUAUGUAGGAAUACCCUAUCUUCUUUAUAAGAGCUUUGAUACAUACAAAAUAUUGGAUCACAAUGUCAGAACAUAUAAUUUUCCCCCCUUAAUAUAGCAAAGUUCACUAAAAGGCCCGAAAAAAUACAUUUAGUUCAAAAUUUGGAGUAGAAAAAAAAACAAUAGAAGAAUUUCAUUUUCCUUCCUCAGUCAUCGGAGAGCUCUCUUUGGGCUUUCCAAAAAGGUAUCACAUGCCAAGUUUGGCCUCACAGUCUAAAAGUUAUAGAGUCAUACAUUUUUAACAAAACAAAAUAGAGAAAAACCGAAAAAAGAGGGAUGCAACACGAGGACUUUCCCGGAGGUAAUCUAUCCUAGUACUACUCUCGCCCAAGCACCCUUAACUGCGGAGUUCUGAUGGGAUCCGGUGCAGUAGUGCUGGUAUGAUCGCAUGUGUUACUACAUGCAAUGUAAUCGUAUCUAUUCUUUUUUAAAGACUUUAUGAUCCAUUUGCCGUGAGUCCCACCAGCUAUGUAGGAAUAUUCUAUCUUCUUUAUAAGAGCUUUGAUACAUGCAAAAUACUGGAAAACAAUGUCCGAACAUAUAAUUUUCCCCACGUAAUAUAGCAAAGAUCACGAAAAGGCCCGAAAAAGUACAUUUAGUUCAAAAUUUGGAGUAGAAAAAAAAACAAUAGAAGAAUUUCAUUUUCCUUCCUCAGUCAUCGGAGAGCUCUCUUUGGGCUUUCCAAAAAGGUAUCACAUGCCAAGUUUGGCCUCACAGUCUAAAAGUUAUAGAGUCAUACAUUUUUAACAAAACAAAAUAGAGAAAAACCGAAAAAAAAGAGGGAUGCAACACGAGGACUUUCUGGGAGGUAAUCUAUCCUAGUACUACUCUCGCCCAAGCACCCUUAACUGCGGAGUUCUGAUGGGAUCCGGUGCAGUAGUGCUGGUAUGAUCGCAUGUGUUACUACAUGCAAUGUAAUCGUAUCUAUUCUUUUUUAAAGACUUUAUGAUCCAUUUGCCGUGAGUCCCACCAGCUAUGUAGGAAUAUUCUAUCUUCUUUAUAAGAUCUUUGAUACAUGCAAAAUACUGGAAAACAAUGUCCGAACAUAUAAUUUUCCCCCCGUAAUAUAGCAAAGAUCACGAAAAGGCCCAGAAAAGUACAUUUAGUUCAAAAUUUGGAGUAGAAAAAAAAACAAUAGAAGAAUUCCAUUUUCCUUCCUCAAUCAUCGGAGAGCUCUCUUUGGGCUUUCCGAAAAGGUAUCUCAUGCCAAGUUUGGCCUCACGAACUAAAAGUUAUAGAGUCAUACAUUUUUAACAAAACAAAAUAGAGAAAAACCGAAAAAAGAGGGAUGCAACACAAGGACUUUCCGGGAGGUCACCCAUCCUAGUACUACUCUCGCCCAAGCACCCUUAACUGCGGAGUUCUGAUGGGAUCCAGUGCAUUAGUGCUGGUAUGAUCGCAUGUGUUACUACAUGCAAUGUAAUCGUAUCUAUUCUUUUUUAAAGAUUUUAUGAUCCAUUUGCCGUGGGUCCCACCAGCUAUGUAGGAAUACCCUAUCUUCUUUAUAAGAGCUUUGAUACAUACAAAAUAUUGGAUCACAAUGUCAGAACAUAUAAUUUUCCCCCCUUAAUAUAGCAAAGUUCACUAAAAGGCCCGAAAAAAUACAUUUAGUUCAAAAUUUGGAGUAGAAAAAAAAACAAUAGAAGAAUUUCAUUUUCCUUCCUCAGUCAUCGGAGAGCUCUCUUUGGGCUUUCCAAAAAGGUAUCACAUGCCAAGUUUGGCCUCACAGUCUAAAAGUUAUAGAGUCAUACAUUUUUAACAAAACAAAAUAGAGAAAAACCGAAAAAAAGAGGGAUGCAACACGAGGACUUUCUGGGAGGUAAUCUAUCCUAGUACUACUCUCGCCCAAGCACCCUUAACUGCGGAGUUCUGAUGGGAUCCGGUGCAGUAGUGCUGGUAUGAUCGCAUGUGUUACUACAUGCAAUGUAAUCGUAUCUAUUCUUUUUUAAAGACUUUAUGAUCCAUUUGCCGUGAGUCCCACCAGCUAUGUAGGAAUAUUCUAUCUUCUUUAUAAGAGCUUUGAUACAUGCAAAAUACUGGAAAACAAUGUCCGAACAUAUAAUUUUCCCCCCGUAAUAUAGCAAAGAUCACGAAAAGGCCCGAAAAAGUACAUUUAGUUCAAAAUUUGGAGUAGAAAAAAAAACAAUAGAAGAAUUCCAUUUUCCUUCCUCAAUCAUCGGAGAGCUCUCUUUGGGCUUUCCGAAAAGGUAUCUCAUGCCAAGUUUGGCCUCACGAACUAAAAGUUAUAGAGUCAUACAUUUUUAACAAAACAAAAUAGAGAAAAACCGAAAAAAGAGGGAUGCAACACAAGGACUUUCCGGGAGGUCACCCAUCCUAGUACUACUCUCGCCCAAGCACCCUUAACUGCGGAGUUCUGAUGGGAUCCAGUGCAUUAGUGCUGGUAUGAUCGCAUGUGUUACUACAUGCAAUGUAAUCGUAUCUAUUCUUUUUUAAAGAUUUUAUGAUCCAUUUGCCGUGGGUCCCACCAGCUAUGUAGGAAUACCCUAUCUUCUUUAUAAGAGCUUUGAUACAUACAAAAUAUUGGAUCACAAUGUCAGAACAUAUAAUUUUCCCCCCUUAAUAUAGCAAAGUUCACUAAAAGGCCCGAAAAAAUACAUUUAGUUCAAAAUUUGGAGUAGAAAAAAAAACAAUAGAAGAAUUUCAUUUUCCUUCCUCAGUCAUCGGAGAGCUCUCUUUGGGCUUUCCAAAAAGGUAUCACAUGCCAAGUUUGGCCUCACAGUCUAAAAGUUAUAGAGUCAUACAUUUUUAACAAAACAAAAUAGAGAAAAACCGAAAAAAAGAGGGAUGCAACACGAGGACUUUCUGGGAGGUAAUCUAUCCUAGUACUACUCUCGCCCAAGCACCCUUAACUGCGGAGUUCUGAUGGGAUCCGGUGCAGUAGUGCUGGUAUGAUCGCAUGUGUUACUACAUGCAAUGUAAUCGUAUCUAUUCUUUUUUAAAGACUUUAUGAUCCAUUUGCCGUGAGUCCCACCAGCUAUGUAGGAAUAUUCUAUCUUCUUUAUAAGAGCUUUGAUACAUGCAAAAUACUGGAAAACAAUGUCCGAACAUAUAAUUUUCCCCCCGUAAUAUAGCAAAGAUCACGAAAAGGCCCGAAAAAGUACAUUUAGUUCAAAAUUUGGAGUAGAAAAAAAAACAAUAGAAGAAUUCCAUUUUCCUUCCUCAAUCAUCGGAGAGCUCUCUUUGGGCUUUCCGAAAAGGUAUCUCAUGCCAAGUUUGGCCUCACGAACUAAAAGUUAUAGAGUCAUACAUUUUUAACAAAACAAAAUAGAGAAAAACCGAAAAAAGAGGGAUGCAACACAAGGACUUUCCGGGAGGUCACCCAUCCUAGUACUACUCUCGCCCAAGCACCCUUAACUGCGGAGUUCUGAUGGGAUCCGGUGCAUUAGUGCUGGUAUGAUCGCCCGUGUUACUACAUGCAAUGCAAUCGUAUCUAUUCUUUUUUAAAGAUUUUAUGAUCCAUUUGCCGUGGGUCCCACCAGCUAUGUAGGAAUACCCUAUCUUCUUUAUAAGAGGUUUGAUACAUACAAAAUAUUGGAUCACAAUGUCAGAACAUAUAAUUUUCCCCCCUUAAUAUAGCAAAGAUCACUAAAAGGCCCGAAAAAAUACAUUUAGUUCAAAAUUUGGAGUAGAAAAAAAAACAAUAGAAGAAUUCCAUUUUCCUUCCUCAGUUAUCGGAGAACUCUCUUUGGGCUUUCCGAAAAGGUAUCACAUGCCAAGUUUGGCCUCACGGUCUAAAAGAUAUAGAGUCAUACAUUAUUAACAAAACAAAAUAGAGAAAAACCGAAAAAAAGAAGGAUGCAACACGAGGACUUUGCGGGAGGUAAUCUAUCCUAGUACUACUCUCGCCCAAGCACCCUUAACUGCGGAGUUCUGAUGGGAUCCGGUGCAUUAGUGCUGGUAUGAUCGCAUGUGUUACUACAUGCAAUGUAAUCGUAUCUAUUCUUUUUUAAAGACUUUAUGAUCCAUUUGCCGUGGGUCCNNNNNNNNNNNNNNNNNNNNNNNNNNNNNNNNNNNNNNNNNNNNNNNNNNACAUGCCAAGUUUGGCCUUACGGUCUAAAAGUUAUAGAGUAAUACANUUUUUAACAAAAAAAAAAGAAAAAAACCGAAAACAAAGAGGGAUGCAACACGAAGACUUUCCUGGAGGUCACCCAUCCUAGUACUACUCUCGCCCAAGCACACUUAACUGCGGUGUUCUGAUAGGAUCAAGUGCAUUAGUGCUGGUAUGAUCGCAUCAGUUACUACAUGCAAUGCAAUCAUAUAUAUUCUUUUUUGAAGACUUUAUGAUCCAUUUGCCGUAGGUCCCACCAGCUAUGUAGGAAUACCCUAUCUCGUUUAUAAGAGCUUUGAUACAUGCAAAAUAUUCGAAAACAAUGUCCGAACAUAUAAUUUUUGUCCCGUAAUAUAGCAAAGAUCGCGAAAAGGCCAUAAAAAAUACAUUUCGGUCAAAAUUUGGAGUAGAAAAAAAACCCUUCCUCAUUCAUUGGACAGCUCUCUUUGGGCUUUCCGAAAAGGUAUCACAUGCCAAGUUUGGCCUCACGGUCUAAACCUUAUAGACUCAUACAUUUUUCACAAAAAAAAGAAGAGAAAAACCAAAAAAAAGAGUGAUUAAACACGAGGACUUUCCUGGAGGUCACCCAUCCUAGUACUACUCUCGCCCAAGCACGCUUAACUGCGAAGUUCUGAUGGGAUCUGGUGCAUUAGUGCUGGUAUGAUCGCAUCUGUUACUACAUGCAAUGCAAUCGUAUUUAUUCUUUUUUGAAGAUUUUAUGAUUCAUUUACCGUGGGUCCCACCAGCUAUGUAGGAAUAACCUAUCUUAUUUAUAAAAGCUUUGAUACAUGCAAAAUAUUAGAAAACAAUGUCCGAACAUAUAAUGUUCGCCCCAAAAUAUAGCAAAGACCACAAAAAUGCCAUAAAAAGUACAUUAAGGUCAAAAUUUGGAGUAGGAAAAAAAUCAAUAGGAGAAUUCCAUUUUCCUUCCUUCAUUCAUCGGAGAGCUCUCUUUGGGCAUUCCAAAAAGGUAUCACAUGCCAAGUUUGGCCUCACGGUCUAAAAGUUAUAGAGUAAUACAUUUUUAACAAAAAAAAAAGAAAAAAACCGAAAACAAAGAGGGAUGCAACACGAAGACUUUCCUGGAGGUCACCCAUCCUAGUACUACUCUCGCCCAAGCACACUUAACUGCGGUGUUCUGAUAGGAUCAAGUGCAUUAGUGCUGGUAUGAUCGCAUCAGUUACUACAUGCAAUGCAAUCAUAUAUAUUCUUUUUUGAAGACUUUAUGAUCCAUUUGCCGUAGGUCCCACCAGCUAUGUAGGAAUACCCUAUCUCGUUUAUAAGAGCUUUGAUACAUGCAAAAUAUUCGAAAACAAUGUCCGAACAUAUAAUUUUUGUCCCGUAAUAUAGCAAAGAUCACGAAAAGGCCAGAAAAAAUACAUUUCGGUCAAAAUUUGGAGUAGAAAAAAAACCCUUCCUCAUUCAUUGGACAGCUCUUUUUGGGCUUUCCGAAAAGGUAUCACAUGCCAAGUUUGGCCUCACGGUCUAAACCUUAUAGACUCAUACAUUUUUCACAAAAAAAAGAAGAGAAAAACCAAAAAAAAGAGUGAUUAAACACGAGGACUUUCCUGGAGGUCACCCAUCCUAGUACUACUCUCGCCCAAGCACGCUUAACUGCGAAGUUCUGAUGGGAUCUGGUGCAUUAGUGCUGGUAUGAUCGCAUCUGUUACUACAUGCAAUGCAAUCGUAUCUAUUCUUUUUUGAAGAUUUUAUGAUUCAUUUACCGUGGGUCCCACCAGCUAUGUAGGAAUAACCUAUCUUAUUUAUAAAAGCUUUGAUACAUGCAAAAUAUUCGAAAACAAUGUCCGAACAUAUAAUGUUCGCCCCAAAAUAUAGCAAAGACCACAAAAAUGCCAUAAAAAGUACAUUAAGGUCAAAAUUUGGAGUAGGAAAAAAAUCAAUAGGAGAAUUCCAUUUUCCUUCCCUCAUUCAUCGGAGAGCUCUCUUUGGGCAUUCCAAAAAGGUAUCACAUGCCAAGUUUGGCCUCACGGUCUAAAAGUUAUAGAGUAAUACAUUUUUAACAAAAACAAAAGAAAAAAACCGAAAACAAAGAGGGAUGCAACACGAAGACUUUCCUGGAGGUCACCCAUCCUAGUACUACUCUCGCCCAAGUACACUUAACUGCGGUGUUCUGAUAGGAUCAAGUGCAUUAGUGCUGGUAUGAUCGCAUCAGUUACUACAUGCAAUGCAAUCAUAUAUAUUCUUUUUUGAAGACUUUAUGAUCCAUUUGCCGUAGGUCCCACCAGCUAUGUAGGAAUACCCUAUCUUGUUUAUAAGAGCUUUCAUACAUGCAAAAUAUUCAAAAACAAUGUCCGAACAUAUAAUUUUUGUCCCGUAAUAUAGCAAAGAUCACGAAAAGGCCAGAAAAAAUACAUUUCGGUCAAAAUUUGGAGUAGAAAAAAAACCCUUCCUCAUUCAUUGGACAGCUCUCUUUGGGCUUUCUGAAAAGGUAUCACAUGCCAAGUUUGGCCUCACGGUCUAAACCUUAUAGACUCAUACAUUUUUCACAAAAAAAAGAAGAGAAAAACCAAAAAAAAGAGUGAUUAAACACGAGGACUUUCCUGGAGGUCACCCAUCCUAGUACUACUCUCGCCCAAGCACGCUUCACUGCGAAGUUCUGAUGGGAUCUGGUGCAUUAGUGCUGGUAUGAUCGCAUCUGUUACUACAUGCAAUGCAAUCGUAUCUAUUCUUUUUUGAAGAUUUUAUGAUUCAUUUACCGUGGGUCCCACCAGAUAGGAAUAACCUAUCUUAUUUAUAAAAGCUUUGAUACAUGCAAAAUAUUCGAAAACAAUGUCCGAACAUAUAAUGUUCGCCCCAAAAUAUAGCAAAGACCACAAAAAUGCAAUAAAAAGUACAUUAAGGUCAAAAUUUGGAGUAGGAAAAAAAUCAAUAGGAGAAUUCCAUUUUCCUUCCCUCAUUUAUCGGAGAGCUCUCUUUGGGCAUUCCAAAAAGGUAUCACAUGCCAAGUUUGGCCUCACGGUCUAAAAGUUAUAGAGUAAUACAUUUUUAACAAAACAAAAAAGAAAAAAACCGAAAACAAAGAGGGAUGCAACACGAAGACUUUCCUGGAGGUCACCCAUCCUAGUACUACUCUCGCCCAAGCACACUUAACUGCGGUGUUCUGAUAGGAUCAAGUGCAUUAGUGCUGGUAUGAUCGCAUCAGUUACUACAUGCAAUGCAAUCAUAUAUAUUCUUUUUUGAAGACUUUAUGAUCCAUUUGCCGUAGGUCCCACCAGCUAUGUAGGAAUACCCUAUCUUGUUUAUAAGAGCUUUGAUACAUGCAAAAUAUACGAAAACAAUGUCCGAACAUAUAAUUUUUGUCCCGUAAUAUAGCAAAAAGGCCAGAAAAAAUACAUUUCGGUCAAAAUUUGGAGUAGAAAAAAAACCCUUCCUCAUUCAUUGGACAGCUCUCUUUGGGCUUUCCGAAAAGGUAUCACAUGCCAAGUUUGGCCUCACGGUCUAAACCUUAUAGGCUCAUACAUUUUUCACAAAAAAAAGAAAAGAAAAACCAAAAAAAAGAGUGAUUAAACACGAGGACUUUCCGGGAGGUCACCCAUCCUAGUACUACUCUCGCCGAAGCACGCUUAACUGCGAAGUUCUGAUGGGAUCUGGUGCAUUAGUGCUGGUAUGAUCGCAUCUGUUACUACAUGCAAUGCAAUCGUAUCUAUUCUUUUUUGAAGAUUUUAUGAUUCAUUUACCGUGGGUCCCACCAGCUAUGUAGGAAUAACCUAUCUUAUUUAUAAAAGCUUUGAUACAUGCAAAAUAUUCGAAAACAAUGUCCGAACAUAUAAUGUUCGCCCCAAAAUAUAGCAAAGACCACAAAAAUGCCAUAAAAAGUACAUUAAGGUCAAAAUUUGGAGUAGGAAAAAAAUCAAUAGGAGAAUUCCAUUUUCCUUCCCUCAUUCAUCGGAGAGCUCUCUUUGGGCAUUCCAAAAAGGUAUCACAUGCCAAGUUUGGCCUCACGGUCUAANAGUUAUAGAGUAAUACAUUUUUAACAAAAAAAAAAGAAAAAAACCGAAAACAAAGAGGGAUGCAACACGAAGACUUUCCUGGAGGUCACCCAUCCUAGUACUACUCUCGCCCAAGUACACUUAACUGCGGUGUUCUGAUAGGAUCAAGUGCAUUAGUGCUGGUAUGAUCGCAUCAGUUACUACAUGCAAUGCAAUCAUAUAUAUUCUUUUUUGAAGACUUUAUGAUCCAUUUGCCGUAGGUCCCACCAGCUAUGUAGGAAUACCCUAUCUUGUUUAUAAGAGCUUUGAUACAUGCAAAAUAUUCGAAAACAAUGUCCGAACAUAUAAUUUUUGUCCCGUAAUAUAGCAAAGAUCACGAAAAGGCCAGAAAAAAUACAUUUCGGUCAAAAUUUGGAGUAGAAAAAAAGCCCUUCCUCAUUCAUUGGACAGCUCUCUUUGGGCUUUCCGAAAAGGUAUCACAUGCCAAGUUUGGCCUCACGGUCUAAACCUUAUAGACUCAUACAUUUUUCACAAAAAAAAGAAGAGAAAAACCAAAAAAAAGAGUGAUUAAACACGAGGAUUUUCCUGGAGGUCACCCAUCCUAGUACUACUCUCGCCCAAGCACGCUUAACUGCGAANNNNNNNNNNNNNNNNNNNNNNNNNNNNNNNNNNNNNNNNNNNNNNNNNNGUGUUACUACAUGCAAUGUAAUCGUAUCUAUUCUUUUUUAAAGACUUUAUGAUCCAUUUGCCGUGGGUCCCACCAGCUAUGUAGGAAUAUCCUAUAUUCUUUAUAAGAGCUUUGAUACAUGCAAAAUAUUCGAAAACAAUGUCCGAACAUAUAAUUUCCCCCCCGUAAUAUAGCAAAGAUCACGAAAAGGCCCAAAAAAGUACAUUAAGUUUAAAAUUUGGAGUAGAAAAAAAACCAAUAGAAAAAUUCCAUUUUCCUUCCUCAGUCAUCGAAGAGCUCUCUUUGGGCUUUCUGAAAAGGUAUCACAUGCCAAGUUUGGCCUCACGGUCUAAAAGUUAUAGAGUCAUACAUUUUUAACAAAACAAAAAGAGAAAAACCGAAAAAAACAGGGAUGCAACACGAGGACUUUCCUGGAGGUCUCCCAUCCUAGUACUACUCUCGCCCAAGCACCCUUAACUGCGUAGUUCUGAUGGGAUCCGAUGCAUUAGUGCUGGUAUGAUCGCAUCUGUUACUACAUGCAAUGUAAUCGUAUCUAUUCUUUUUUAAAGACNUUUAUGAUCCAUUUGCCGUGGGUCCCACCAGCUAUGUAGGAAUACCCUAUCUUCUUAAUAAGAGCCUUGAUAAAUGCAAAAUAUUGGAAAACAAUGUCCGAACAUAUAAUGCCCCCCCCCCCGUAAUAUAGCAAAGAUCACGAAAAUGCCCAAAAAAGUACAUUUAGGUCAAAAUUUGAGUAGAAAAAAAAACAAUAGAAGAAUUCCAUUUUCCUUCCUCAUUUAUCGGAGAGCUCUCUUUGGGCUUUCCGAAAAGGUAUCACAUGACAAGUUUGGCCUCACGGUCUAAAAGAUAUAGAGUCAUACAUUAUUAACAAAACAAAAUAGAGAAAAACCGAAAAAAAAGAGGGAUGCAACGCGAGGACUUUCCGGGAGGUAAUCUAUCCUAGUACUACUCUCGCCCAAGCACCCUUACCUGCGGAGUUCUGAUGGGAUCCGGUGCAGUAGUGCUGGUAUGAUCGCAUGUGUUACUACAUGCAAUGCAAUCAUAUAUAUUCUUUUUUGAAGACUUUAUGAUCCAUUUGCCGUAGGUCCCACCAGCUAUGUAGGAAUACCCUAUCUUGUUUAUAAGAGCUUUGAUACAUGCAAAAUAUUCGAAAACAAUGUCCGAACAUAUAAUUUUUGUCCCGUAAUAUAGCAAAGAUCACGAAAAGGCCAGAAAAAAUACAUUUCGGUCAAAAUUUGGAGUAGAAAAAAACCCCUUCCUCAUUCAUUGGACAGCUCUCUUUGGGCUUUCCGAAAAGGUAUCACAUGCCAAGUUUGGUCUCACGGUUUAAAAGUUAUAGAGUCAUACAUUUUUCACAAAAAAAAGAAGAGAAAAAACAAAAAAAAGAGUGAUGAAACACGAGGACUUUCCUAGAGGUCACCCAUCCUAGUACUACUCUCGCCCAAGCACGCGUAACUGCGAAGUUCUGAUGGGAUCUGGUGCAUUAGUGCUGGUAUGAUCGCAUCUGUUACUACAUGCAAUGCAAUCGUAUCUAUUCUUUUUUGAAGAUUUUAUGAUCCAUUUGCAGUGGGUCCCACCAGCUAUGUAGGAAUACCCUAUCUUGUUUAUAAGAGCUUUGAUACAUGCAAAAUCUUCGAAAACAAUGUCCGAACAUAUAAUUUUCGCCCCGUAAUAUAGCAAAGAUCACGAAAAUGCCAAAAUAGUACAUUAAGGUCAAAAUUUGGAGUAGGAAAAAAAACCCUUCAUCAUUCAUUGGAGAGCUCUCUCUGGGCUUUCCGAAAAGGUAUCACAUGCCAAGUUUGGCCUCACGGUCUAAAAGUUAUAAAGUCAUACAUUUUUAACAAAAAAAAAAGAGAAAAACCGAAAAAAAGAGUUAUGUAACACGAGGACUUUCCUGGAGGUCACCCGUCCUAGUACUACUCUCGCCCAAACACGCUUAACUGUGGUGUUCUGAUAGGAUCAAGUGCAUUAGUGCUGGUAUGAUCGCAUCAGUUACUACAUGCAAUGCAAUCAUAUAUAUUCUUUUUUGAAAACUUUAUGAUCCAUUUGCCGUAGGUCCCACCAGCUAUGUCGGAAUACCCUAUCUUGUUUAUAAGAGCUUUGAUACAUGCAAAAUAUUCGAAAACAAUGUCCGAACAUAUAAUUUUUGUCCCGUAAUAUAGCAAAGAUCACGAAAAGGCCAAAAAAAAUACAUUUCGGUCAAAAUUUGGAGUAGAAAAAAACCCCUUCCUCAUUCAUUCGACAACUCUCUUUGGGCUUUCCGAAAAGGUAUCACAUGCCAAGUUUGGUCUCACGGUCUAAAAGUUAUAGAGUCAUACAUUUUUCACAAAAAAAAGAAGAGAAAAAACCAAAAAAAGAGUGAUGAAACACGAGGACUUUCCUGGAGGUCACUCAUGCUAGUACUACUCUCGCCCAAGCACGCUUAACUGCGAAGUUCUGAUGGGAUCUGGUGCAUUGGUGAUGGUAUGAUCGCAUCUGUUACUACAUGCAAUGCAAUCGUAUCUAUUUUUUUUUGAAGAUUUUAUGAUCCAUUUGCAGUGUGUCCCACCAGCUAUGUAGGAAUACCCUAUCUUGUUUAUAAGAGCUUUGAUACAUGCAAAAUAUUCGAAAACAAUGUCCGAACAUAUAAUUUUUGUCCCGUAAUAUAGCAAAGAUCACGAAAAGACCAGAAAAAAUACAUUUCGGUCAAAAUUUGGAGUAGAAAAAAAACCCUUCCUCAUUCAUUGGACAGCUCUCUUUGGGCUUUCCGAAAAGGUAUCACAUGCCAAGUUUGGUCUCACGGUUUAAAAGUUAUAGAGUCAUACAUUUUUCACAAAAAAAAGAAGAGAAAAAACAAAAAAAAGAGUGAUGAACCACGAGGACUUUCCUGGAGGUCACCCAUCCUAGUACUACUCUCGCCCAAGCACGCGUAACUGCGAAGUUCUGAUGGGAUCUGGUGCAUUAGUGCUGGUAUGAUCACAUCUGUUACUACAUGCAAUGCAAUCGUAUCUAUUCUUUUUUGAAGAUUUUAUGAUCCAUUUGCAGUGGGUCCCACCAGCUAUGUAGGAAUACCCUAUCUUGUUUAUAAGAGCUUUGAUACAUGCAAAAUCUUCGAAAACAAUGUCCGAACAUAUAAUUUUCGCCCCGUAAUAUAGCAAAGAUCACGAAAAUGCCAAAAUAGUACAUUUAGGUCAAAAUUUGGAGUAGGAAAAAAAAACCUUCAUCAUUCAUUGGAUAGCUCUCUCUGGGCUUUUCGAAAAGGUAUCACAUGCCAAGUUUGGCCUCACGGUCUAAAAGUUAUAAAGUCAUACAUUUUUAACAAAAAAAAAAGAGAAAAACCGAAAAAAAGAGUUAUGAACCACGAGGACUUUCCUGGAGGUCACCCGUCCUAGUACUACUCUCGCCCAAACACGCUUAACUGCGGUGUUCUGAUAGGAUCAAGUGCAUUAGUGCUGGUAUGAUCGCAUCAGUUACUACAUGCAAUGCAAUCAUAUAUAUUCUUUUUUGAAGACUUUAUGAUCCAUUUGCCGUAGGUCCCACCAGCUAUGUAGGAAUACCCUAUCUUGUUUAUAAGAGCUUUGAUACAUGCAAAAUAUUCGAAAACAAUGUCCGAACAUAUAAUUUUUGUCCCGUAAUAUAGCAAAGAUCACGAAAAGGCCAAAAAAAAUACAUUUCGGUCAAAAUUUGGAGUAGAAAAAAACCCCUUCCUCAUUCAUUGGACAGCUCUCUUUGGGCUUUCCGAAAAGGUAUCACAUGCCAAGUUUGGUCUCACGGUCUAAAAGUUAUAGAGUCAUACAUUUUUCAGAAAAAAAAGAAGAGAAAAAACCAAAAAAAGAGUGAUGAAACACGAGGACUUUCUUGGAGGCCACCCAUCCUAGUACUACUCUCGCCCAAGCACGCUUAACUGCGAAGUUCUGAUGGGAUCUGGUGCAUUAGUGAUGGUAUGAUCGCAUCUGUUACUACAUGCAAUGCAAUCGUAUCUAUUCUUUUUUGAAGAUUUUAUGAUCCAUUUGCAGUGGGUCCCACCAGCUAUGUAGGAAUACCCUAUCUUGUUUAUAAGAGCUUUGAUACAUGCAAAAUAUUCGAAAACAAUGUCCGAACAUAUAAUUUUCGCCCCGUAAUAUAGCAAAGAUCACGAAAAUGCCGAAAUAGUACAUUAAGGUCAAAAUUUGGAGUAGGAAAAAAAAACCUUCCUCAUUCAUUGGAGAGCUCUCUUUGGGUUUUCCGAAAAGGUAUCACAUGCCAAGUUUGGCCUCACGGUCUAAAAGUUAUAAAGUCAUACAUUUUUAACAAAAAAAAAAAGAGAAAAACCGAAAAAAAGAGUUAUGCAACACGAGGACUUUCCUGGAGGUCACCCGUCCUAGUACUACUCUCGCCCAAACACGCUUAACUACGGUGUUCUGAUAGGAUCAAGUGCAUUAGUGCUGGUAUGAUCGCAUCAGUUACUACAUGCAAUGCAAUCAUAUAUAUUCUUUUUUGAAGACUUCAUGAUCCAUUUGCCGUAGGUCCCACCAGCUAUGUAGGAAUACCCUAUCUUGUUUAUAAGAGCUUUGAUACAUGCAAAAUAUUCGAAAACAAUGUCCGAACAUAUAAUUUUUGUCCCGUAAUAUAGCAAAGAUCACGAAAAGGCCAGAAAAAAUAAAUUUCGGUCAAAAUUUAGAGUAGAAAAAAACCCCUUCCUCAUUCAUUGGACAACUCUCUUUGGGCUUUCCGAAAAGGUAUCACAUGCCAAGUUUGGCCUCACGGUCUAAAAGUUAUAGAGUCAUACAUUUUUCACAAAAAAAAGAAGAGAAAAACCAAAAAAAAGAGUGAUGAAACACGAGGACUUUCCUGGAGGUCACCCAUCCUAGUACUACUCUCGCCCAAGCACGCUUAACGGCGGUGUUCUGAUAGGAUCAAUUACAUUUGUGCUGGUAUGAUCGCAUCAGUUACUACAUGCAAUGCGAUCAUAUAUAUUCUUUUUUGAAGACUUUACAAUCCAUUUGUCGUAGGUCCCACCAGCUAUGUAGGAAUCCCCUAUCUUGUUUAUAAGAGCUUUGAUACAUGCAAAAUAUUCGAAAACAAUGUUCGAACAUAUAAUUUUUCGCCCCGUAAUAUAGCAAAGAUCACGAAAAGGCCAGAAAAAGUACAUUUAGGUCAAAAUUUGGAGUAGAAAAAACCCCCCCUUCCUCAUUCAUUGGAGAGCUCUCUUUGGGCUUUCCGGAAAGGUAUCACAUGCCAAGUUUGGCCUCACGGUCUAAACCUUAUAGACUCAUACAUUUUUAACAAAAAAAAGAAGAGAAAAAACGAAAAAAAGAAGGAUACAACACGAGGACUUUCCGAGAGGUUACCCAUCUUCGUACUACUCUCGCACAAGUACGCUUAACUGCGGAGUUCUGAUGGGAUCUGGUGCAUUAGUGCUGGUAUGAUCGCAUCUGUUAUUACAUGCAAUGCAAUCGUAUCUAUUCUUUUUUCAAGACUUUAUGAUCCAUUUGCCGUGGGUCCCACCAGCUACGUAGGAAUACCCUAUCUUGUUUAUAAGAGCUUUGAUACAUGCAAAAUAUUCGAAAACAAUGUCCGAACAUAUAAUUUUCGUCCCGUAAUAUAGCAAAGAUCACAAAAAGGCCAGAAAGAGUACAUUUACGUCAAAAUUUGGAUAGAAAAAAAACAAAUAGAAGAAUUCCAUUUUGACUUCCUCAUUCAUCGGAAAGCUCUCUUUGGGCUUUCCGAAAAGGUAUCACAUGCCAAGUUUGGAAUCACGGUUUAAAAGUUAUAGAGUCAUACAUUUUUAACAAAAAAUAAAGAGAAAACCCGAAAAAUGAGGGAUGCAACACGAGGACUUUUCGGGAGGUCACCCAUCGUAGUACUACUCUCGCCCAAGCACGCUUAACUGUAGAGUUCUGAUGGGAUCCGGUUCAUUAUUGCUGGUAUGAUCGCAUCCGUUACUACAUGCAAUGCAAUCGUAUCUAUUCUUUUUUGAAGACUUUAUGAUCCAUUUGCCGUGGGUCCCACCAGCUAUGUUGGAAUACCCUAUCUUGUUUAUAAGAGCUUUGUUACAUGCAAAAUAUUCGAAAACAAUGUCCGAACAUAUAAUAUUUGCCCCGUAAUAUAGCAAAGAUCACGAAAAGGCCAGAAAACCUAUAUUAAGUUCAAAAUUUGGAGUAGAAAAAAACCAAUAGAAGAAUUCCAUUUUCCUUCCUCACUCAUCGGAGAGCUCUCUUUGGGGCUUUCCGAAAAGGUAUCACAUGCAAAGUUUGGCCUCACAGGCUAAAAGUUAUAGAGUCGUACAUUUUUAACAAAAAAAAAAAGAGAAAAGCCGAAAAAAAGAAGGAUGCAACACAAGGACUUUCCGGGAGGUCAGCCAUCCUAAUAUUACUCUCGCCCAAGCACGCUUAACUGUAGAGUUCUGAUGGGAUCCGGUGCAUUAGUGCUGGUAUGAUCGCAUCUGUUACUACAUGCAAUGCAAUCGUAUCUAUUCUUUUUUUAAGACUUUAUGAUCCAUUUACCGUGGGUCCCACCAGCUACGUAGGAAUAACCUAUCUUAUUUAUAAGAGCUUUGAUACAUGCAAAAUAUUCGAAAACAAUGUCCGAACAUAUAAUUUUCGUCCCGUAAUAUAGCAAAGAUCACAAAAAGGCCAGAAAGAGUACAUUAAGGUCAAAAUUUUGGAGUAGAAAAAAAAACCCUUCCUCAUUCAUUAAAGAGCUCUCUUUGGCAUUUCCGAAAAGGUGUCACAUGCCAAGUUCGGCCUCACGGUCUAAAAGUUAUAGAGUCAUACAUUGUUAACAAAAAAAAAGAGAAAAACCGAUUAAAAGAGUUAUGCAACACAAGGACUUUCCUGGAGGUCACCCGUCCUAGUACUACUCUCGCCCAAGCACGCUUAAAUGCGGAGUUCUGAUGGGAUCCGGUCCAUGAGUGGUGGUAUGAUCACAUCCGUUACUACAUGCAAUGCAAUCGUAUCUAUUAUUUUUUGAAGACUUUAUGAUCCAUUUGCCGUGGGUCCCACCAGCUAUGUAGGAAUACCCUAUCUUGUUUAUAAGAGCUUUGAUACAUCCAAAAUAUUCGAAAACAAUGUUGGAACGUAUAAGUUUCGCUCAGUAAUAUAGCAAAGAUCACGAAAAGGCCACAAAAAGUACAUUAAGGUAAAAAUUUAGAGUAGGAAAAAAAAACAAUAGGAGAAUUCCAUGUUCCUUCCUCAAUCAUCGGAGAGCUCUCUUUGGGCUUUCCAAAAAGGUAUCACAUGCCAAGUUUGGCCUCACGGUCUAAAAGUUAUAGAGUCAUACAUUUUUAACAAAAAAAAAUAGAGAAAAACCAAAAAAAAGAGGGAUGCAACACGAAGACUUUCCUGGAGGUCACCCAUCCUAGUACUACUCUCGCCCAAGCACGCUUAACUGCGGUGUUCUGAUAGGAUCAAGUGCAUUAGUGCUGGUAGGAUCGCAUUCGUUACUACAUGCAAUGCAAUUAUAUAUAUUCUUUUUUGAAGACUUUAUGAUCCAUUUGCGGUAGGUCCCACCAGCUAUGUAGGAAUACCCUAUCUUGCUUAUAAGAGUUUUGAUACAUGCAAAAAUAUUCGAAAACAAUGUCCGAACAUAUAAUUUUUGUCCCGUAAUAUAACAAAGAUCACGAAAAGGCCAAAAAUAGUACAUUUCGGUCAAAACAUGGAGCAGAAAAAAAACCCCUUCCUCAUUCAUCGGAGAGCUCUCAUUGGGCUUUCCGAAAAGAUAUCACAUGCAAAGUUUGGCCUCACGGUUUAAAAGUUAUAGAGUCAAAUAUUUUUAACAAAAAAAAGAGAGAAAAACCGAAAACAAAGAGGGAUGCAACACGAGGACUUUCCGGAAGGUCACCCAUCCUAGUACUACUCUAGCCCAAGCACGCUUAACCGCGGAGUUCUGAUAGGAUCCGGUGCAUUAGUGCUGGUAUGAUCGCAUCAGUUACUACAUGCAAUGCAAUCAUAUAUAUUUUUUUUGAAGACUUUAUGAUCCAUUUGCCGUGGGUCCCACCAGCUAUGUAGGAAUACCUAUCUUGUUUAUAAGAGCUUUGAUACAUGCAAAAUAUUUGAAAACAAUGUCCGAACGUAUAAUCUUCGUCCCGUAAUAUAGCAAAGAUCACGAAAAGGCCAGAAAAAGUACAUUAAGGUCAAAAUUUUGACUAGAAAAAAAAAACAAUAGAAAAAUUCCAUUGUCCUUCCUCAUUCAUCGGAGAGUUCUCUUUGGGCUUUCCGAAAAGGUAUCACAUGCCAAGUUUGGCCUCACGGUCUAAAACUUAUAGAAUCAUACAUUCUUAACAAAAAAAAAAAAAAAACCGAAAAAAAGAAGAAUGCAACACAAGGACUUUCCAGGAGGUCAACCAUCCUAGUAGUACUCUCGCCCAAUCACGCUUAACUGCAGAGUUCUGAUGGGAUCCGGUGCAUUAGUGCUGGUAUGAUCGCAUC
rnacentral:lncRNA from 1 species